UAGUGUUCAAGCUUCCACCUUUGCGGUAAACUUAAGUGGUGGCUUCAAGAAAUGGAUAAUCAGUGUAACCAAUGACGGGAUCAGGUAUGUAGAAUGUCUCUCUGUUGUACUUGUUUAGAGGAGCAUUAAGUUCAAAUCUCUUUGGCAAAUCUGGAUUCGCCAAGAAAAUACGGCCAUAAGCAAUAAGAUCUGCACUGCCCUUGGCCACAGCACUGUUUCCAUCUUCCCUAUCAUAACCACCAGCAGCAAUGAAGGUACCAUGGAAAGACUUUCUCAUGGGAAGAAGACUCUGGUGGGUUUCAUCUUUUUCCCCCAUUGUCUUCAUCCUCGGCUCAACCAUGUGGCAGUACACGAUUCCAUAUUUGUUCAAGGCAUUGGCCAUAUAGAGGCCUAAUUCUUUUGGAUUUGAAUCCCCUGAGUCCAUAUAGUCAGCAAAUGGAGAUAAUCUAAUUCCAACUUUAUCUGCUCCUAUUUCGUUAGCGACAGCUUCAACAACUUCCAGAGGAAGGCGGCAACGAUUCUCUAGAGAUCCACCAUAUUGGUCUGUUCGAUCAUUCACAUGAUCUUUCAGAAACUGAUCAAGAAGGUAGCCAUGCGCCCCAUGAAUUUCAACUCCAUCGAAGCCUAUAUAGCAGAUUAACAAUUUCAACAUACUGACGGUAUUAGAACCUUAAGCAUUGUAGCUGAAUUACCAAACAAAUAAUAUAAAGACAAACUACCGGCUUCAAUAGAAUUCCUUGCAUAAGCUUUGAAGCAAAUUGAGUUGUUGUAAAUUUUCUUUCAUUUUAACGUAAAGACAAAUUACCAGCUUCAAUAGAAUUCCUUGCAGCAAGUCUAAAAUCAUUGACAAUUUGUGGAAUUUCAUCUGUCCUUAAUCGUCUUGGAGGCGUGAAUUCAGAGGCAUCGAUGCCAUUUAAUCGUAUCGGCUUGUCAGUAGAAGAUAUUGGAGCUUGCCCAUUUGGUUGAUAACCUGUAAGCAAGGAGAGAAAGAAUUACAACCUGAAGUCUAACGACAGUAACUAACAUCCACAGCAGCACUCUUUUAAGUGGGAAUCCUUUGUUACAAAUUACUAUAACCACACGUGCUAUAUACUAGUUCUGAAUUCUGAGUUAUGUUAACAUCAAACUUAUUCCCAUCCAAUAAUAAUAAUAACAAUGCUUCCGAAACAGCAAAGUCAUAACAAGUCCAACUCGGAACUUAACAAGUCCAAGUUUUAUCGUCAUUUUGAGCAACAAUGUUGUCAUUUAUAAUCACUCGCUCGUUCUGAUGCAUAUACCAUUAUGUUAUACAUCAAACUUCUUAAUCGGUCUAAUUAUUCACUCAUGUUAACAAAGCAUUCUAUGGUAAAAGUGAGGUCAUAAAGGUGUAAGUCAGAAACGCACCGCUAUUAGAAACCCUUCCAACAUGCCAAAUCUGACAGAAGAAGAGGCCACCUUUAGCAUGAACAGCAUCAACAAUGGGUUUCCAGGCUUCAACUUGCUCCUUUGUCCAUAUACCAGGUGUGUUCGGGUACCUUCGUAUAUUAAAGAACCAAAAAUUUCAUCAAACUUUGAAACGAAAGAAGCACCCUCAAAUGCUUGUUAGUCUAUGAAUCUACUGUUGUUGAAAUUACCCUUGAGCUGUGUUGGAAACUCCAGUGGCUUCAGCUAUGAGAAGACCCCCGUUCGAAGUUCUCUGAGAGUAAUAUAAGAUAGCAUGUGGUUGAGGAACAUUGUUGUAUGAUCUCUGUCUGGUCAAUGGUGCUAAAACAAUUCUGGAAAGGAAAAAGCAAUUGUAAAUUAUAAAUACAGAGUGAUCAAGAUGGAAUGUGGCUGAGGAACAUUAUCGAAUGAUCUGUAUCUAGUCAUCAACGGUGAAAAUACAAUUCUAAACAGGAAAAACAUAUAAUAAACCAUAAAUACAACCUUCAGACUUUGUAGGAAGCAUUAGUUUGCUAAGGCUCCUUCAUAACAAAUUCGUUUUUAGUUUUCUUGUUUUAGUUAAAAAGGAGAAACGAGGGAGGAAGAAGGAAUUUGGGGCGAAAAUGUAUGAAAUAAAAAGUCGAAUUGUAGAUUAUCUGAAUUUGCUAAGGCUCCUUCAUAACAAAUUCGCUUUUAGUUUUCUUGUUUUACUUAAAAAGGAGAAACGAGGGAGGAAUAAGGAAUUUGGGACGAAAAUGUGUGAAAUAAAAACUCUAAUUGUAGACUAUCUGAAUUUGCUUUAUGUUCUUCAUUUUCGGUAUCAUUCCAUGCACAUUUGGUCCCUCAUCCAUCCCUUCCCCUUCCCCUUCCUCCUCCUCCUCCUCUUCUAUCAUGCAUUUUCUCUUUUACUUAAAAUUAAAAACUAAAAAUCAAAUACGAAAUCGUUACCAAACACAACCUAAACAAAGCAAUGUCUUACGAAGUGACCAUGGCCGAAAGGACACAUACUUUUAACAAUCUAUUGCAUCUAUUUUCAACAAUUAAUCAAUGAAAUAACUCAAGUGUACUGUUGUUUUGAUUUAAUUUGUAACAUCUGUACUAUUUUAUAGACAAAGAUACAGUUACUCUUUUUUUUUUUUUAGGUAAACUGGAAUUACACCAGGGCAAAGCCAGAGUACAACAGGAAAACCCACACAGAGGACUAACAUAGCUAAAACCAUUGAAACGACAAACAACAGAAUGAUCCAGGGCCAAGGACCAACACUAGUUCCGACAUUAUGUCACCCUUAAUCAUUCCAACAUAGACUCAACUUAGUGUGGGCAAGGUAGACCAUCCUUGUUCAACUUCUUGUCUCCUUCCCAACAUCUGUACUAUUUUAUACCAACAUGAUUCUCUCCAGAUUCUUUUGGUGAGAAUCUUGUCUGUUCAUCAUAAAUCGUGCGAUCAGUUUUUGUCAACUACUGUUCGUGUUUUAUUUUAAAUAAAAAUAUUUAAAAUAAUUUUUGACCGCACGAUGUACGAUGAACAGACAGGAUAACGGAUUUCCAAGAUUCUCACAAAGAGAAUCCGACGAGUAUCCGGAAUCUAUUUUAUAGACAAAGAUACAGUUACAAACAGUCCUUGUCUCCUUCCCCAAAUCAUUCUUCGUUUUUGUAUAGCUAUAUUUGACACACACACAUAAUAAACCACACAGUACGCUAAACUUGAAUAUAGACAAGCAGUAAUUUCAUCUUCUAUUUUUCUUGUUAGCCAAUAGCCAUCUGCAGACCUAGCUACUCUCUGAAUCCAAGUUCGGAUCUCCUCUCAUAGUUUUUACAACAUUAUAUUAAAAUAACGCCCGAAUAAAAUAAAUUAAACAAUUACACGACAGAGAAAUUUAAGAAGUAAACAAAUAGGAACAAUGUAUGAAAGUUUUAAGUACCUAUGAGAAAGAUUGAAGUUUCCCAAUUUGUAGGGAGUGAGGAGAGGAAUUGUGGGAGGUUGAGCAGCAGCAGACAUCUCAGAAUUCGAGUCGGUCGUCUACCACCUGAUCUUGCACUUGGCGUUUUAUACUGGAUUCUGGGAUGAAGGAAGGAAGGAAUGAAUGAAAACAGGACCCAAUUGGGUCUUUUAUACGUUCGGUAGGAGCUUAAAAGUCCGCCCUGCAGCUUUCCUCCACAAAAGUCAGAGAAGGCCGGGUCCCACAUCUCCCCUCCCUUGUGUGGUGGUGGCGGCGGCGGACGUCGGUGGGUGGAUGAUGGAUCUCUCCAAAGCAUUAAUUAAAUCGAUUAGGUGAAGAGAGGUAGGAAGGUUUGAUGAGGUCUGUAAUUACGUUUACGUGGGUUGAAAAUAAACCAGUUUUAUGAGGUCUGUAAUUACGUUUGCGUGGGUUGAAAGUUCACCAGUUUUCCCCAUGAAAAAGGACGUCUACGCACGUUCAUUUCGAUUUUGCUUUUUCAUCCUGCAUUAUUAGGCCAUGGUUAGAAAAAAUAUAUUAUAAUUUUGUAAAAAAAUUAAUUUUAAAUUAAUAGUGUCAGAUCAUAUUUAUAUACUAUCGCUAACCAAAUGAGCUAAACAUAGCCUCAUCAAUUUCCGAUGGAUAGCUAGACUAAAAUUCUAUGGAGCUCAUCAAGCCAUCAUUUGGCUAAAGGGGCAUUGGGCUGGCCAAAUGUAGCCCCCCUUCUUAGCCCUUUUUGGAGCCCAGCUCCUCUACUGCACUAUUUGAGUCAAAUUCAAUAACUAUGUUUGAAAACAUUUAAUGGAAGUUUAAUUAAAUUAAUCAAUAAAUUUAAUAUAUAAACUUAAAACUAAGUAAUUAUUGAGAGGGUUAUGUUUAGCCACUUCAGUGACGGUAUAAGUAUGAUGCGAUAUUGUUCAGUCAUUUCGGUUAAUGAUGGCCUACGGUUAGAAUUUUGAGGAUAUGUGAGACUAAAUGCAUGUUAGUUACAAAAUUAUGUUUGUUUAGAUCACUUGAAAUAUUUGACAACUUAAUAAAGAAAAACCAACUUAAAAUCCAUGAAUUAGAAAACUCAUUUUCUUUUUUGGUUUUAUUAAGUUGUCAAAUAUUUAAGCUUUUGAAUACAAACUAAUAUAAUCUUGUGGCUAAUAUACAUUUGGUCCUCACAAAUCUUUAAAAUGAAGACCUUACUUGAUCAAUGAAUUUAUGACAAAUUAAAUAGUCUAAAAAUAAAAGGCUCGAAUUAGGGCUAGGUUCAGUUCAAAUCAGUUCAAUUUUUUUUUCAGUUUGGGUUUUUUUUGGUUCCAAUUCGGUUUUUUUCGUGAUUUUUUUUAAAUCUUUUUUUUUUUGUCAAAAAUAUAAAGAAGAGUAAUUUUACUUUUUUUUUUUUCCGAUGAACUAAGAAAUUAAAGAAGGAACUUGAAUUAAAACUAGGGCAACUCGCAAUGAUGGCUGCAUCAACAAAUCAUCCAUAUCUACAAUACGAACAGAAACCUUUGUAAAUCAUAAAGUCCUUAAUGCUGAAUCCUUUAAGAACCAAGACUUGAAAACCCUAAAUCUGCAAUACAAACCCACAAGUAACAAACAAACCCACAACACAAAAAUCGACCAAAUCUGCAAUACAAACCAAACUCCCUCCAUGGCGCCAUGUCGCUGCCUCCGUUUUCCGGCCAAACCAAGGCGAUUUAACAUAAAAAAAAAAGGUACCAUUCUCUUCGUCUCAUCUAGAAGUAUGAUUUUUGUUUUUGAAUCACUUGAUUUCGUUGAGUAUUCAAGAAGUUAUGAACGUUUAAAGUUUACUCAGUUUCUGGCGAGUUUUCAAGUUUUCUAUCUUAUUCUACACUUUCCUAUCUUCAUUUUGAUAUUUUAUGGGUCGAAUUUGGUUAAGAAACGAUUGAGUUAUAAAGCUUUGAAAAUUGCCCAAGAACUCCGGGACACUUAACGGAGUUUUUAACGGAAUGACCAAAAUGAUGGAUGGUGGACAAUCUCAAGGACCACUUUUAUCGAUUUGAAAUGUUAGGGACCAAGGUGAUGAGUUAUGCAAAUCUCAGGGACUAUUUUGACUAUUUAGCCUUUUUUUUUUCAUAAACGAAAAUAAUUUUUUUUAAUGAAGAUAGAAAAGUGUAGAAUAAGAUUAUACCUAUUUGGAAGCCCAAUGGCUGCCGGAGAUAGCCGGAAAAUAGCCUCAAAGUUGACUGGUCCGAGGGAAAAUUGGAAAACUCGCCGGAAACUGGGUAAACUUUAAACGUUCAACUUCUUCAAUACUCAACUAAAUCAAGUGAUUCAAAAACAAAAAUCAUACUUCUCGAUGAGACGAAGAGAAUGGUACCUUUUAAGACGGUUAAAUCGCGGUGGUUUGGCCAUAAAAAGGCUCAAAAGUGUCUAACUCGAGACCAAGACAGCCACUUUGGAACCGUUUUCCGGGCAAACCACGGUGAUUUAGCCGUCAAAAUAGGUACCAUUCUCUUAUUAUCGUUGAGAAGUAUGAUUUUAGUUUUGAAUAACUUGAUUUCGUUGAGUAUUGAAGAAGUUAUGAACAUUUAAAGUUUACUCAGUUUUUGGCGAGUUUUCCAGUUUUCCUUCGGACCAGUCAACUUUGAGGCUAUUUUCUUGCUAUCUCCGGCAGCCAUUGGGCCUCCAAAUAGGUAUAAUCUUAUUCUACACUUUCCUAUCUUCAUUUUGAUAUAUUAUGGGUCGAAUUUGGUUAAGAAACGUUUGAGUUAUGAAGCUUUAAAAAUUGUCCAAAUUUCCAGCCAAGAACUCCAGGACACUUAACGGAGUUUUUAACUAAAUGACCAAAAUGAUGGAUGGUGGACAAUCUCAAGGACUAAUUUUAUCGAUUUGAAAUGUUAGGGACCAAAGUGAUGAGUUAUGCAAAUCUUAGGGACCAUUUUGGCUAUUUAGCCCAAAAAAAAUUGCAAACUUUAAAUGAUAAUAGAACAAAGUAAUACUAAUUUAUAAUAAAGAAGUCAGGUUGUUAAUAGAUGAAUUUGAUUGAAUUUUUAUUGUGUUAGGAAGUGUUAGGAGGAGGAUACAAUUAUCUUACUAGACUACGACACUUGUACAUCAUUAGCAUCGCAAGUACUCAUUUUCCAAAUGUGCAUUACAUUUGAUUUUAAAAAUUUGGUAUUCCUACCAUUAUCCUGAAAACAUAUAUAUUCACAUAUAAACUUUGUUCUUAUUGUGAGGAAACUCCAAAUGUUGAAGCCAUAUUCUUUAAUUGGUCUAUGAUUGAGGAGUGACCGUUGAAAUGUGUAGACUUCAAAAGGAUGUCUAACCUAAUAAUAGUGGUAAUUGUGGUUGAAUCUGAAAUAUUUGACUGCAAAUUCACCGGUUCUUUAGACCUUUCUGAUUCUCUUCGUUAUCUUUACUGGCAUGAUAUCCACUGAAAUCUUUACCGUAAAAUUUUACUCUAGAAAAUCUGGUUGAGCUUCAUAUGCCCGUAUGCAAUUUUAACAUUGAUUGUAUCAACAAGAAAGAUGUAAGACAAUGAAAGCUACAAUGAGGGAUUAUCCAUUCUAUAUAUGAAAAUCAAUCUUAAAAUGGAUGUUAAAAAAUUGAAAGCUACAAUGAGGGAUUAUCCAUUCUAGUCCUUCUCCAAAUGAUAGGAUUGUGAGGGAUAAGUUUGUUUCAUUCCAAUCCCCUUUGAAUUUUAAGAGUUACCUAUUACUUUAGUCUAAAGUAGGGGGAGGUGGCAUUGUGCAAUUUUGGGGUACAUUUCAGUUUACUUACGAAAUUGCCAUUGAGUCUCUCUGUUCCCUCAUUUAACGUUAUUUGCAAAAUUGCCAUUGGGCUUCAGAAAGGGUUUUGGGUCUUUGGGCUGGAAUUUCCGUCCAGAUUGGAAUUUUCGAUUAUUCGAUCCACGCGUUGAUCAUCGCUGGAUCGCCAGCUGUGUGGUAUUUGGUGAGGGGAUGGGUUACGUGUCCAUCAUUGUCGGAAGGUUUCCUUCGACUGCAACUUCUCGACUUUUCGUUCUGUUUCAACUUCUCUCUCACAAGCCUCUGCUUCAGUCGCUCUUGAUCUUCGCCUUUUCUAAGGCGUUUGAGGGACAAAAACCGAAAGCCAAACCACCACCACAAACGAAGUCACAAAUAGGGAUGGGCAACGGUUAUGGCGGACGGGUAACCGCGAUUAUUUACCCAUAACCAUUUAUACUUAUAUCCGCAUAAUUGUUUACCCGUUGGGUAAUUGCCCAAACAGUUAUACCCAUACUCAUAACCAUUUAUAAACGGUUAACCAUACCCAUAACAGCAUACCCAUUUAACCAUAACCGUUUAAUACCAGUUUACUCAUUUACUCUUUUUAACCUGUUUAAUUUUUAUUUAUUUUUUAUCAUUACCUCUUUUUUCACCCUUCUACAUGUUUUUUAACAACUUGAAAAUUAAAAAAAAAAUGUCAUAAUUUUUUUUUGGCAAUUAAACACCGUUAUAAGCACAUUCAUCUUACAUUUCCGUAUUAAAAUUUUUUAAAUCCUUAUCUCAUUCUAAUAAUUGAAAUAAUUUCCGGCAAAGACACAACGGUGUGCACUCGUACGUGGAUUAUUUAUAUGCUCAGCAAGCACCCUUAUAUGCAAGAAAAGGUUGUAACGGAAGUUUGAGAAGCAGCAAAUCUGAAAGAUGACUCAAGCAUUGUUGAACUUGCAGACAAUCUUAAUGAAGAUGCCCUUAAUAAAAUGCAGUAUGUCUUAGUAGCUUUGACUGAGACACAAAGGCUCUACCCUGUAAUUCCACUGGAAAUUUGACUAACAUCUUAACUAAAUCUAAUGCAUGCAUACUGCAAGGGAAAUGAUUUCAGUGCGCUCCCAUUUAUUUUUCUCACUUAAAUUUCUUUUGAUUUAUUCAAUUUAAGAAUAGAAAUACUCCAUGGAUCAUCGUUUAUUACUUUUUAAUUAAUUAAAACACUGCUAUAUAAACCACAUUAUAGUCAAUAGUAUUGAUCUAAGUUUUGUUUGAUAGAGAACAUGAUUUGUGUUAAUUUUAUAUAUAUAAAAUAAAUAGAUAAACGGUUACUCAUUUAUAACCAUGAUUAAUACUCAUAAUCAACUAUUUAUAUUUUACGGAUGAACGAUUAUACCUAUAACCGUUUAUUUAUUUAAACGGUUACCCAAAUGAUCGUGUAACCGCGGAUCAUCCCUAGUUACGAACGCCACUCUCACUCACCCUCCACCGUUACACACGCACCCAAUCAUAAUUCUGAAAUCCAAACACAACCCAGAUGUUAAUCCUUCAGAGAAUGGCAAUGGCCACUUCUUCUUCCUUCCUCUUAAUCCCUCUCCUCAAUACUCUUCUUUGCUUUCCCCAGUUAAACACCAAGCUCCGAGUUCAGGUCUCUGUCCUUGUACGGCGGUAGAACUGGAGACUCCACCUCCUCGGCGAUGGCCACAGAGGCUCAGGUCUCGACCCAAGACGACAAAUUGAAGGAUGCCCAGAUGGAGGUAGCUGAUAAACCUGAGACAGUCGUGCUUCCAACCAACGAGUCCUCCGAAAGCCUCAUCAUAAUUCGACACACGGUAUUUAUUGAAAUUUCAUUGCUUUGGAUUGGAUUUAUGAUUGUUUUAUGUUAAAUUGAAGUAGGGUGCUUUCCUGUUGAAUUUUUUGAAUUUUUAGAUUCUUAGGAGCUUCCCCUUUUUGAAAGUUUGAUGCUUUUAAUUAACUAUUUUCAAUUCUGCGUUACUAAUUGUCACCUGAUUCUAUUGUGAAGAAUGAGGAAGUGAGGAUGAAGAAAAUAAGAACCUAACUUUUCGGUAAUUUGAAAUUUGAUCGAAUAGGACAUGGAAAAAUGGGUGUACAUCAGUAGAUAAGCUGGGAAAAUUUUCAAGACUUGGAUUGUCUGCCCUCUAAUUUUGGUGCCCUCCCAGUGCCCUCUUGUUUUUGUGGUCAUGGUUAAGCCACAUCAACAUUUUAUAGUACUAUUUCUUUUUGUUUUAUUAUUUUUAUAAAAAAAUGAUAUAAAAUAUUGACGUGGCUUAACCGUGACCACACAAAACAGGAGGGCACCGAAAUGGGAGGGCAGACAAUCCAAGUCCAAAUUUUCAUCCUGUUUUUGGGAAUGUGAGAAGAUACAUGGGUUUCUGUAUUUUGAUAAAGUGUUGAGGUCGAGCUAUGUUCAUUUUUUUCUAAAUUUCCAUGUAGUUUGGUAUUAAUGGCGUCUUUUCCGCUGUUAUGGUGAUGAACUAUUUAUGUGUUUGACUGCAGUGUGCACACGUGAUGGCCCUGGCUGUUCAAAAGCUCUUCCCGGAUGCAAAAGUGACAAUUGGUCAGUGGAUAGAAAAUGGGUUCUAUUAUGAUUUUGAUAUGGAGCCUUUGACAGACAAAGAGUUGAAGAGAAUCAAGAAGGAGAUGGUAAGUGGAAUUUCUUUAUAAGUUAUCAUGUUUGUAUCAAAGUUUUGGAACCAUGAAACUAUUGAAAACUAUUCAUGAUCAUUUCUUUUGUGAUUUGUAGGAUCUCAUCAUUGGUAGAAACUUACCACUCAUAAGAGAAGAAGUUUCAAGAUAUGCUCACAAAAGAAUAACUGCGCUCAACGAAGCAUACAAAUUGGAAAUUUUGGAUAGUAUUAAAGAAGAUCCCAUUACCAUAUAUCAUAUUGGUAAGGGUUUCACUAUUUUCAGGCUCAAUAUAGUUUGGAAGGUGAUGAUUUAAUGUGCAGGAACUGUGCGUAAAUGAUAUUUUUAUUAGCUACACAAGUGAAAUGUACAGUGUUUGUGUCGAGUCUUAAGAUGGAAAUUUAAGGGAAUAAAAAAGAGAGGGCGGGGGUGUGCUCAGGGAAAACAAUGUUGUUGGUGCUCUUUAAAAAUGAGUUAUUGAUAUGCAAAUUGAAAAGGAGACUAAUUUGAAGGUGGGAGGAACCUUUUGGUCAAGCUAACCAAUUAUACUUAUGUUUAUACAUAUGCAUGCUUGUACUGGGAUUUGAUUGUGUUUUGAACUAGCAUCCUGUCAUAUUAGACUGUCUUUAUGUCAUAAUUCCUCAUAGUAUGCCGAAUUCUUCUUAUGUGAUGAAUGGUAGGAAGCAUGUGCAGGGCCCCAUGUUGAAAAAACUGGAAAUAUUAACGGAAAAGCUGUCGAACUUGAGUCUAUUGCUGGUGCUUGCUGGAGAGGAGAUGAAAAAAACCAAUGCUGCAGAGGAUCUAUGGCACUGCAUGGGAGAGUGAAGAUCAAUUGAAGGCAUAUCUUCAUUUCAAAGAGGAAGCUAAACGUCGAGAUCACAGGGGCUUUGAUCAAGUUCUUGACCUGUUUUCUAUACAGGUACUCAGAAUUGCCCUGAAUCUCUUUCUGCUGCUUACGCAGAUUUAUCAGUUAGCAAUCCCAUUAUUUGUAAUUAUGAGGAUUCUUGCAUUAACUCUGCCUGUGUAAGUUUAUCUUACAUUGCCGGUCCCAAGUCCGGGUAAAGGAGGAGGGGGAGGGCGUCAGGUAGUCGACAGCCGGCACUCCACAGUUACGUCGAAUCCUUAUGAAAAUGAAUCCAGAACGAAAUCGCGCUAAAGCUAGGGCGUCACCCGUAAGUGGCGCGCUGUGUGGCCCGAGCACAGUGAUAAGUGAGCAAGGGUCGCUGUAUCUCCAUCGGCACCCGGAUGCAGUGUUAAAUGAGCAAGGGGGCCAUAGAAACUUCUUUUCGAACGACUCCACUCAAAGUUGUUUGGGAGCAUAUACUCCUAUCAACUUUACACAGGACACACAAAAGAAGUACUUUGAUCCUAUUGGACGGGGGAGGGUGAAGAAGCUAGGACAAAAGGGUAGAGUUCAAGAGAGUAGAAUGCGUUUAGGAACGUGGAAUAUAGAAACCUUAACGGGAAAAUCUAUAGAAGUAGUGGAAGUUAUGGUGAGGAGAAGGAUAAAUAUUAUGUGCCUACAAGAAACUAAGUGGGUUGGUCUUAAGGCAAAGGAUCUAGAAAACUUAGGGUUUAAACUUUGGUAUUCGGGCACAAGUAGAACGAGAAACGGUGUUGGCAUCAUCUGUGGACAAGACCUUGACACAAGAUGUUGUAGAUGUCAAGAGGGUAGGAGAUAGAAUCAUGGCAAUCAAGAUUGUAAUAGGACAAGAACUCAUCAAUGUCAUUAGUGCGUACGCACCUCAAGUAGGGUUGGAUACGAGUUCGAAGGAGAAAUUUUGGGAAUACCUUGGAGACUUGGUGCUGGGAAUACCUUGGAGACUUGGUGCAAGGAAUUGCCCAGACGGAGAAGUUAUUUAUAGAGGAGAUUUAAAUGGACACGUGGGCAGGGAGACAGGCAACUAUAGAGGUUUUCAUGGUGGCCAUGGUUUUGGGGAGAGAAACGAGGAUGGGGAAGCUAUCUUGGAUUUUGCAAUGGCAUAUGAUCUCUUCUUAGCCAACACAUUCUUUAAGAAGAGAGAAGAACAUGUGAUCACCUACAAGAGUGGGUUGUCAAAAACACAAAUAGAUUUUCUUCUAAUGAGGAUAUGAGAUCGUAUAACUUGUAAGGAUUGCAAAGUUAUACCGGGAGAGAGCUUGGCUAAUUAACAUCGCUUGUUGGUGAUGGAUGUACAUAUCAAAAGAGUGAGAAAAAAGAACAAGACUUGGAAGUGCCCAAGGCCUAGAUGGUGGAAUCUAAAAGGAGAAAAACAAGCCAUUUUCAAAGAGAAAGUAAUCACCCAGUGUGGGUGGGAUAGAGAGGGGGAAGCUAGCUAAAUGUGGGAUUCCAUGGCUAGUUGUAUCCGAAAAGUAGCAAAAGAGGUAUUAGGAGAGUCCAAGGGCUUUGCCCCACACCAAAAGGAAUCUUGGUGGUGGAAUGAGGAGGUACAAACAAAGGUGAAGGCUAAGAAGGAAUGUUGUAAAGCCUUAUACAAGGACAGGACCGAUGAAAAUAGUGAAAGGUAUAGAAGAGCGAAGCAAGAGGCUAAGAAAGCUGUGAGAGAAGCUAAGUUAGCGGCUUAUGACGACAUGUAUAAGCGACUAGAUACCAAAGAAGGAGAGUUGGAUAUCUAUAAACUAGCUAGAGCAAGGGAAAAGAAGAUAAGGGACCUAAACCAAGUGAGGUGCAUCAAGGAUGAGGAUGGAAAGGUUCUUGCUACAGAGAAUGCGGUCAAAGACAGAUGGAGAGGUUAUUUUCAUAAUCUUUUCAAUGAAGGACAUGAAAGGAGUACUUCUUUAGGGGAGUUGAGUAAUUCAGAAGAGUGUAGAAACUACUCAUUUUAUCGUCGAAUCAGGAAGGAAAAAGUGGUUGUAGCUUUGAAGAAAAUGAAGCAUAGAAAAACAGUGGGCCCAGAUGAUAUAUCGAUCGAAGUGUGGAAAGUCUUGGGAGAGACAAGUAUAGCAUGGCUCACUGACCUUUUCAAUAGGAUUUUGAAAACGAAGAAGAUGCCAACUGAGUGGUGAAAGAGCACUUUGGUGCCUAUAUACAAGAAUAAGGGCGACGUACAAAAUUGCAUGAAUUAUAGGGGUAUUAAGCUAAUGAGCCAUACAAUGAAGCUCUGGGAGAGAGUCAUUGAGCAUAGAUUGAGGUAAGAGACACGGGUUUCGGACAACCAAUUCGGGUUCAUGCCAGGGCGCUCAACCAUGGAGGCAAUCUAUCUCUUACGAAGAUUGAUGGAAAGAUAUAGAGAUGGGAAAAAGGAUUUACACAUGGUCUUUAUAGAUUUGGAAAAAGCUUAUGAUAGGGUCCCAAGAGACAUUCUUUGGAGGAUUUUAGAGAAGGAAGAAGUACGAGCAGCAUAUAUCCAAGCUAUAAAGGAUAUGUAUGAAGGAGCAAAGACUGCCGUAAGAACUCAUGAAUGACAAACCGAAAGCUUCUCCAUAACUGUAGGAUUACAUCAAGGCUCAUCCUUAAGUCCUUACCUUUUUGCGUUGGUAAUGGAUGAGUUAACAGGACAUAUUCAAGAUGAUAUUCCUUGGUGUAUGCUUUCCGCAGAUGAUAUAGUGUUGAUAGAUGAAACUCAGGAAGGGGUAAAUGCGAAGCUUAACCUUUGGAGAGAAAUGUUGGAAUCUAAAGGUCUUCGCCUAAGCCGAUCAAAGAAAGAAUAUAUGGAGUGCAAGUUCAGUGCAAAUGGAGGCCAAAAUGAGUUAGGGGUGAGGAUCGGAGAUCAGGAAAUACCAAAGAGCGAUCGUUUUCGCUACUUAGGAUCUAUCUUGCAAAAGAACGGAGAAUUAGAUGGAGAUCUCAACCAUAGAAUACAAGCUGGAUGGAUGAAGUGGAAGAGUGCAUCCGGCGUGUUGUGUGACCGUCGUAUGCCACUGAAGCUCAAGGAAAAAUUUUAUAGGACAACAAUAAGGUCGGCGAUGCUGUAUGGCACAGAAUGUUGGGCGGUGAAGCAUCAACACGUACACAAAAUGGGUGUAGCGGAGAUGAGGAUGCUUCGUUGGAUGUGUGGGCACACGAGAAAUGAUAAGAUUAGGAAUGAGGAUAUCCGAGGUAAAGUAGGAGUAGCCGAAAUUGUACGAAAAUUGAGAGAAAAUUGGUUACAGUGGUUUGGACAUGUGCAAAGAAGGCCUACUGACGCUCCGGUUAGAAUAUGCGACUACAGGACAGAGGUUUAGGGCCGAAGGGGUAGAGGAAGACCUAGGAAAACUUUGGAAGAGACUCUAAGAAAAGACUUAGAGUAUUUGGAUCUAACGGAGGACAUGACACAGGACUGAGCACAAUGGCAUUCUAAGAUUCAUAUAGCCGACCCCACUCAGUGAAGAAGGCUUUGGUGUAUUUAACACAAUACGUUGAAAUGAAGCAAAACUUAUUUAUUGAUAUCUCCGAUAAGUUACAAAUAUGUACAUAUACAUGAGUCAAAAUAAACAAACAAGAGGGAGCCUUCACAAAGGUUGCUUAGGAGAAGUCUCAGCAGUUGGUAGAGCCCCAGAAAGAGAAGGCACCGGAGGGGUAUCAUUCGAAGCCUCAGUACUGGACAGAACCCUAGAAGGAGGAGGCAUCGAAGGUUGAUCAUUUGGAGCUUCAGUACGCGGUACAGCCCCAGAAGACGAAGGCAAUAAAUGCCUUUGGAACAAACCCACAAACCGCUGAUGAUCAAGUAAAACCUGACCAUCAGAUUCCUUCAUCUGGUCAAGCUUCCUCUUCAUGUUUGUAGCAUAGUCAUGUGCGAGCCGGUGCAACUGUUUAUUCUCAUGCUUGAGCCCUCUAAUCUCUUAUUUGAAACUCAUCACUUCAGCCGCCAAUGAUUCAACUUGGCAGGUUCGAGCAAAUAGGCGCUGGGCCAUAUUAGACACAGAACCUGCACACUGAACACUUAGAGCCAGAUAAUCCUUAACAGCCAACUCAUCAGACCGUUUGCAAAGUAAUCUGUUAUAUUUGGGAGUGAGAAAGUUCCUGGCCACCACCGCAGCAGUCAUAUCAUUCUUCAUCACGGAAUCCCCAACGGUAAGCGGACCAGUAGGGGAUAAGAAAGAUGGACGCCAUAUGUUGUCUGGAGAAGGCGUGGCUGCCUCUUCAACGAGGUUCAAGUCAAAACGACGGUCGGAGGGGCCAGAAAUUUUCAAAGGUGUUGAAGAGAGAAGUGGUCGGACAAAUCAAGAUCUUAGAAGUGCAAGAAUGGAGCUUCUACUGGUGAAGAUUCAAGUGUGCUUUGGAACUUAAUGUCAGCCUCUAUAAAAAUCUGCACUCGACGGAGCUUCAGAAAUCGAAGAGGCGCCUGCCCAGAAAUCGAAGAGGCAUUUGCUUUCUCAAAAGUUGGGCUGCUCAAAGACCACGAGGGUCGAUCUCAGAAAUCGAAGAGGCGUUUGCUUUCUCAAAAGCUGGGCUGCUCAAAGACCACGAAGGCCGAUCUCAGAAAUCGAAGAGGCACUUGCUUUCUCAAAAGCUGGGUUGCUUAGAGACCACGAAGGCCGAUCUCAGAAAUCGAAGAGGCACCUGCUUUUUUCAGCCUUGUCAGCACCUGUCACAUGCACACUCAGCUUUGCUGAAAUUACGGGCAUUCUGUUGAAUAUUUCUGGUGAAGUAGAAAGCACGUGAAUCUUAUUGUUCAAUCAUCCACUUUCCACACGCACCAUCAGCUCAUGGGUACCAUAGAUAACUUUGCCAAAGAUCUCUGACAAAGUUUAGACACGUGAAGCUUGCAGCUCCCACUACAUCGCUAUGAUCAAGAAGGGUAAAAGAAUAGCAAAGAAACAGCACUAACAAAGUUUAGAUACAUAAAUUUUGAAGGUCUAGCUACCAUAUUAUUACCUACAAGGGUAAAGGAACAGCACCGCUGCUGGAUAAUCGGAAAGUCCUUGUAUGUCAACCUAUGUGCUCUGUGGCAAGGUAGACUAGCAAACAUGCCCAAACUUUACUUACAUUCGAGAAAACACUCCCAACAAGAUUGCUUGCUCCAAAAUCGAAGAGGCACCGUCCUCUGAAUCUCGAGAGCCAGACUCCCAACAUGAUUACUUUCUCAAAAUUGAAGAGACACCGCUCUCCGAAUCUCGAGAGCUAGACUCCCAGCAGGAUUGCUCUCUCAAAAAUCGAAGAGGCACCGUUUUCCGAAUCUCGAGAGCCAGAUCUCCGACAAGAUUACUUGUACGAAAACCGAAAAGGCACCGCUUUCUCAACUUCAAGAGCCAGAUCUCCUUGGAUAAAGCUUGUCUGUAAUCUUCACACGCAACAUCAGCUUUCCAGAUACCACAGACCACUUUUUCAAAGUGCUCUGACACACGUGAAGCUAGCAACUCCCACUACCGUGCUAUGACCAAGCAGGGUAAAGGAAUAGUAUUACUACUUGUUGUUAGGGAAACUCCUAUAUAUGUCGACCUCCAUCCUCAACGGACAGGCAGACCUGCAAAAAUGCUCAACACUUCCUCAUAUCCGAGAGGGCACUCCCAACGAAGCCUCUCGAAAUACUCAGCUUUCUUUCCCCCCGAUAAUACCUCUGCAAACAAGCUACACCAGAGCAAGAAUAUCUCAUAUCAUCAGGGUUAAAAGCAAGAGUAUCCCAUAUCAUGCUUUUUCCCUGUCUUUUCCUUUGGCCUUGUUCUUACCUGCAAGACAAGGAGAAAGAGAGCAAUCAGUCAGCACUUGGAAUCAAGCUUCCAGUCAGGAACUGACUGCCUGGAACCCCUUACCUGAUUACUUACCUGGCAUUGCUCUCGAGUACCCAUCUUCAAAAUCUUAUGCUUCCAGAGAAGAUACCACAUCUGCCUGAGGAACAGAUAGGGAAAGUGAGAAGGAUACAAGGAAGCAUGUGGAGACAAACGUAACAGAACACGUGCCGAUACAUCCACUACUUUGUCAACAGCAAAAGUAUCUCAUAUCAGCAGGGUCGAACGUACUCUAGAUUUGAUGGACGUGUUUUGACCCUCAAAUUCUUCAGUCGGCCUUAUACUCUGGAAGAAACCAGAAAAUCCUCCAGCCCAGUUCAAGAAUAAGCCUGUGUAAAGUUACUUAUUCAAAAGCAAAAGUAUCUCAUAUCAUCUAUUCUCCUUUUCUUCUCUUUAUCCUUCAUGCUGCCUGCAAGAUAGGGAGAAUGAGAACAAUCAGCCGGAACUCGAAAUCAAACUUCUGAUCUGGGACUAAUUGCUUGGAGCUCUGAUUGCUUACCUUGUCUGUCACCUUUUUCAGCAUAUCCCCUAGCUCGGUGACUUGGGGGACUCCUACUACAUGGUUUGUAUCGCGCUUGACCAAGCCUGAAACUACAAGUAAGCUUCAAGUGAAUUUGAUACAUUACCUUGUGCAUCUCCACCAGUUAAAGAUACCACCCCUUGAUGGAGGAAGCGUACUUCCAGAGAAGAUGCCACAUCUACCUAUGAGACAGUUAAGGCAAGUGAAGACGAGAGCAUGCACCUAUGUGAUUUGUACUAAAUCAUUCACUUGUACUCACUAAAGGAGAGCUUGAACCUAUGUACUUGCGUAAACUCUUCACAAUUAAUGAGAACUCCUCUACUCCGUGGACGUAGCCAAUCUGGGCGAACCACGUACAUCUUGUGUUUGCUUUCUUGUCUCUAUCCAUUUACAUACUUAUCCACAUUAAUGACCAGAGCAAUCUAGCGAAGAUCACAAACUUAAUACUCUCUGUUGUACCAAAGUCCUCACUGAUUUUGUGCAUCAACAAUCCUUAAGUCUUUACAUUUUUGCGUUGGUAAUGGAUGAGUUAAUAGGACAUAUUCAAGAUGAUAUUCCUUGGUGUAUGCUUUUCGCAGAUGAUAUAGUGUUGAUAGAUGAAACUCAUACGGGGUAAAUGCGAAACUUAACUUUUGGAGAGAAGUGUUGGAAUCUAAAGGUCUUCGCCUAAGCCGAUCAAAGACAGAAUAUAUGAAGUGCAUGUUCAUUACAAAUGGAGGCCAAAAUGAGUUAUGGGUGAGGAUCGGAGAUCAGGAAAUACCAAAGAGCGACCGUUUUCGCUACCUAGGAUCUAUAUUGCAAAAGAAUGGAGAAUUAGAUGGAGAUCUCAACCAUAGAAUACAAGCUGGAUGGAUGAAGUGGAAUAGUGCUUCUGGCGUGUUGUGUAACCGUCGUAGGCCACUAAAGCUCAAGGAAAAAUUUUAUAGGACGGUAAUAAGGCCGACGAUGCUGUAUGGCACAGAAUGUUGGGCAGUGAAGCAUCAACACGUACACAAAAUGGGUUUAGACAUGUACAAAGAAGGCCUACUGACGCUCCGGUUCGAAGAUGGGACUACGAGAUAGAGGUUCAGGGCCGAAGGGGUAGAGGUAAACCUAGGAAAACUUUGGAAGAGACCCUAAGAAAAGACUUAGAGUACUUUGAUCUAACGGAGGAUAUGACACAAAAUUGCGCACAAUGGCGUUCUAGGAUUCAUAUAGCCGACCUCACUUAGUGGGAAAAGGCUUUGUUGUUGUUGUUGUAUGAGGAUUCUUGCAUUGAACAUUUUCAUUGUUGAAUUUUCACAGAAUGAUGCUGGUGGUGGUUUAGUGUUCUGGCAUCCAAAGGGUGCUAUUGUGAGGCAUGUAAUGGAAGAUUUGUGGAAAAAGAUUCACAUAGAACGUGGUUACAAUCUGCUUAUACUCCACAUGUUGCAAAGGCGAACCUUUGGCAGAUAAGUGGUCAUCUGGAUUACUACAAGGAGAAUAUGUAUGAUCAAAUGAAUGUUGAGGAUGAACUUUAUCAGCUUCGACCGAUGAACUGCCCCUAUCAUAUCUUGGUUUACAGAAAGAAGCCUUACUCAUAUCAUGAAUUUCCUAUUCAAGUUGUUGAGUUGGGAACCGUUUAUAGAUACGAAUUAUCUGGAAGCUUGCAUGGUCUUUUUCGUGUAAGAGGUUUUACUCAGGUACAGUGUUAGUAUUUGCAAACUAUUAGUCUAUAAUCCUUGGUGUAUGAAGUGUUUUUUUUUUUUUUAACCUCAGGACUUGUUGCAGGAUGAUGCCCACAUAUUUUUUCAAGAAGAUCAGAUCAAAGAUGAAAUUAAGGGUGUCCUAGAUCUUACCGAAUAACUUUUGUUGCAAUUCGGCUUCAGCAAAUAUGAGGUCAAUCUCUCUUCGAGGCCAGAGAAAGCUGUUGGAGAUGGUGAUAUAUGGGUGAAAGGCAACAUCUGCCCUUACUCCUUAGAGAUGCUUUGGAUGAUAAAGGUUGGAGCUAUCAAAUUGAUGAAGGUGGUGGUGCCUUUUAUGGUCCAAAGAUUGAUCUUAAGAUUGAGGAUGCCCUUGGAAGGAGGUGGCAGUGCUCAACUAUACAAGUUAAUCCUGAACUCAUGACGGGAUAAUUCUAAUGUACGCUUUGUUUUUUAAUUGGUAGUCUCUAUGUCUAUCUCCGUAUCACUUUGUAAAAUGUUCAUUGGAGAUUUGAGCAUCUUUUUUUAAUUGAGCGAAUUACAUGGAUUUGUUUGCUAGAGUAAAGCCACUUAUUAUUGUUAUUUUAAAUUGUUUGAUCUUUUGUACUUCCCAAAUUGUACAAGUUGAUUUUCCAUUAUGGCUUUCGCCAAUACAAGCUCAUGUUUUACCAGUUACUGACUCUCAGGUUUGUAAAGCAGUUGCACGUUUAAUGUUUCAAUUAACUCAAGGACCCUCAACACACCUGCACGACGGUUACCUGGGCUAUGACCCCUGACUCUCCUCCCAGUGAUUCGACUCCUUUGUCGACUCCGAGUCGCUCAAGGACUCCACCACCGAUUCCCCAAUCUUCCACGGCUCCACCAUAGACGACGCUUUCGAACGGCCAGGGCUUUGAUGGAGGGUUUGGCGGGUCCGACGAUCCCAUUUUGCCGGUUCCGUCUGAGAUACUGCCUGAGGAGGGCUUCGCUCUCAGAAAAUGGAGGAGGUAGGAUCUCGAAUUCUAAUUGUUUUCAAUUGAACCGAUAGUUCUGUAUAGCAAUUAAAUUUUGACUCUUUUGUGCAAUUUAGUUGAAAGUUGUUGGUUUUGAUUUGGCUUGAUCUUUCUGUUGAUGAGAAAUUAGGUGGAAAUUGUUGUUUUGAUUUCGAUAGUUUUCAAGAAUUGCAUGCUUAGUGAUCAGCAAUCGUCUGGCUUUAUCGGGUAAGGAGAUAAAGCAAUUAAAUUUCAAAAUUUGGAUUUACAGUUCGUAUUUUGAGCCUGAAUUCAUGAAAACAAACAUAACCCAUUAUUUAUUAGCGAUUAAUGAUCUGAUUAAUUUAGUUUUUAAUCAUAAUCAAUAGCAUGUAGCUUUAAUGGAAGUGGGGUUUGGGAAAUUGGCUAGCACCCAUUUUGCUUUUUGUUUGUCUGCUUUCCAUUUCUCCUCUCUCUUGCCAUCUUCUUUGUAUUUUGGCUACUUCUCUCUCCCGCACUCCCUUUUUAACUCUUGGUUCUGUGGUUCUCCGGCUGCCGUUAGGUUUUUGUGGUCGAACAACGAUGGAAUCCGAGGAUGAUGACUACUACAGCAACGACAAUGACUCCUAGAAAUUUUUAUUUUGAAUUCGGAAUUGGUUUGAUUGAAGCCCCCUAAUUGAUUGUAUUUAGGUUGGAUUUUUAUGCAUCAGGAAUUUCAAUUGAAGCCUCCUAAUUGGAUAAUGUUUUUCCCAUGUUAGGCUUCUCUGAUUGAGGUGAUACAGAUACCAAAUUGGAGCGGUGCUGUUAGUGGAGGAAUCUGGUAGAAACGAUGAGUUUGUAGAUUGAAUUUGUAUAUGAUGAUAAUAAAAAAUGAUAUGUUGUUUUCGUAAUUCUUUUUGCUUUCAAAGUUUAUUGCUUGGUUGUGUUCGUAACCUCUGGGUUCUUACGGUUCUUUGUCUCUCUUACUUCAGAUUCUUUGUGUUUUUUAUCAUUCGUUUGUGAAGAAAUGGGUCGUACGUAGUGGUAAGGCUCUGAGGAAGGCACUUGCCACCAAGGUGCGUUUCGUUUGGGUUUCUGAUGUCUAGAAAAUUAGAAUUGAUAAUUGCAAGCAAUUUUUUCCGAGAAACAAUCAGAUUAUUGAAUCUAAGUUGCUAAUUGUUUUAAUUUUGUAUAUGCUGCAAUUAAAUCAGCACCCGCAACUGAAGGUGUCAAGAAGCCUGACUGCUACCGCCUUGGAAUCGUCAUUUUUCGGUAAGUUUUCAACACAAUAUAGUUCAAAUCCUCUGAAUCAUGUUCUUGAAUUUUACUAUAUGUAUCGUGUUCUUUGCAUUUCGUUAUCUGAAAUUUGUUCUUUGAAUUUGGUUACCAGAAUCGUGCCUAAUGUUUGAUGUGGCCAGUGGCUUUGUAUGGUUGGCUGGUGUGAUUUGGGAGUGUUUUUAGUUAAUGGCAGACAUAGGACAAAGGUGUGGGGCAGCGAAGUCAAGUGGGAUUAGGAAUUUAGGAUAGUAGACUGUUUGCUAAUUUAUGGGAUUAGAAGUCUUCCUUUAUUUUUUCUCUUCAUGUAACAACAACAACAACAACAAAGCCUUUUCCCACUAAGUGGGGUCGGCUAUAUGAAUCCUAGAACGCCAUUACGCUCGGUUUUGCACAUGUCCAAACCCAUUUUGUGUACGUGUUGAUGCUUCACCACCCAACAUUCUGUGCCAUACAUCAUCGCCGGCCUUAUUGCCGUCCUAUAAAAUUUUCCCUUGAACUUCAGUGGCCUACGACGGUCACACAACACGCCGGAUGCACUCUUCCACUUCAUCCAUCCAGCUUGUCUUCUAUGGUUGAGAUCUCCAUCUAAUUCUCCGUUCUUUUGCAAGAUAGAUCCUAGGUAGCGAAAACGGUCGCUCUUUGGUAUUACAUGAUUUUCGAUCCUCGCCCCUAACUCAUUUUGGCCUCCAUUUGCACUGAGCUUGCACUCCAUAUAUUCUAUCUUUGAUCGACUUAGGCGAAGACCUUUAGAUUCCAACACUUGUCUCCAAAGGUUAAGCUUCGCAUUGACCCCUCAUGAGUUUCAUCUAUCAACACUAUAUCAUUUGCGAGAAGCAUACACCAAGGAAUAUCAUCUUGAAUAUGUCCGGUUAACUCAUCCAUUACCAACGUAAAAGGGUAAGGACUUAAGGAUUGUUGAUGCACAAAAUCAGUGAGGACUUUGGUACAACAGAAAGUAUUAAGUUAUUGCUCUGGUCAUUAGUGUGGAUAAGUAUGUAAAAGGAUAGAGAUAGGAAAGCAAACAUAAAAUGUACGUAGUUCACCCAGAAAGUAACUUUCCACAGGCUUAUUCUUGAACUGGGCUGGAGGGAUUUCUGGUUUCCUCCAGAGUAUAAGGCCGAUUGAAGAAUUUGAGGGUCAAAACAAGUCCAUCAAAUCUAGAGUACGUUCGACCCUGCUGAUAUGAGAUACUUUUGCUGUUGACAAAGUAGUGGAUGUAUCGGCACGCGUUCUGUUACGCUUGUCUCCAUAUGCUUCCUUGUAUCCUUCUCACUGUCCUUAUCGGUUCCUCAGGCAGAUGUGGUAUCUUCUCUGGAAGCAUAAGAUGUUGAAGAUGAGUACUCGAGAGCAGUGCCAGGUAAGUAAUCAGGUAAGGGUUCCAGGCAGUCAGUUCCUGACUGGAAGCUUGAUUCCAAGUGCUGACUGAUUGCUCUCUUUCUCCUUGUCUUUUGCAGGUAAGAACAAGGCCAAAGGAAAAGACAGGGAAAAAACAUGAUAUGGGAUACUCUUGCUUUUAACCCUGAUGAUAUGAGAUAUUCUUGCUUUGGUGUAGCUUGUUUGCAGAGGUAUUAUCGGAGGGAAAGAAAGCUGAGUAUUUCGAGAGACUUCUUUGGGAGUGCCCUCUCAGAUAUGAGGAAGGGUUGAGCAUUUUUGCAGGUCUGCCUGUCCGUUGAAGAUGAAGGUCGACAUAUAUAGGAGUCUCCCUAACAACAAGUAGUAAUGCUAUUCCUUUACCUUGCUUGGUCAUAGCACGGUAGUGGGAGCUGCCAGCUUCAUGUGUGUCAGAGCACUUUGAAAAAGUGGUAUGUGGUAUCUGGAAAGCUGAUGUUGCGUGUGAAGAUUAGACACAAGCUUUAUCCAAGGAGAUCUGGCUCUCGAAGUUGAGAAAGCGGUGCCUCUUCGGUUUUCAAACAAGCAAUCCUGCGGGGAUCUGGCUCUCAAUAUUCGGAGAACGGUGCCUCUUCGAUUUUUGAGAGAGCAAUCCUGCUGGGAGUCUGGCUCUCGAGAUUCGGAGAGCGAUGUCUCUUCGAUUUUGAGAAAUUAAUCAUGUUGGGAGUCUGGCUCUCAAGAUUCGGAGAACAGUGCCUCUUCAAUUUUAGAGCAAGCAAUCUUGUUGGGAGUGUUUUCUCGAAUGUGAGUAAAGGCAGGGCAUGUUUGCUAGUCUACCUUGCCACGGAGCACAGAGGUUGACACACAGGGACUUUCUAAUUAUCCAGCAGUGGUGCUGUUCCUUUACCCUUGUGGAUAAUAAUAUGAUAGCUAGACAUUCAAAAUUUAUGUGUCUAAACUUUGUUAGUGCUGUUUCUUUGCUAUUCUUUUACCCUUCUUGAUCAUAGCGAUGUAGUGGGAGCUGCAAGCUUCACGUGUUUAAACUUUGUCAAAGAUCUUUGACAAAGUUAUCUGUGGUACCCCUGAGCUGAUGGUGCGUGUGAAAAGUGGAUGAUUGAAUAGUAAGAUUCAUGUGCUUUUUACUUCACCAGAAAUCUUCAACAGAAUGCCCGUAAUUUCAGCAAAGCUGAGUGUGCAUGUGACAGGUGCUGACAAGGCUGAAAAAAGUAGGUGCCUCUUCGAUUUCUAAGAUCGACCCUCGUGGUCUCUAAGCAACCUAGCUUUUGAGAAAGCAAGCCUCUUCGAUUUCUAAGAUCGGUCUUCGCGGUCUUUUAGCAGCUCAGCUUUUAAGAAAGCAAACGCCUCUUCGAUUUCUGAGAUCGGCCCUCAUGGUCUCUGAGCAGCCUAGCUUUUGAGAAAGCAAACGCCUCUUCGAUUUCUGGGCAGACGCCUCUUCGAUUUUUUAAGCUCCGUCGAGUGCAGAUUUUUAUAGCGGCUGGCAUUAAGUUUCAAAGCACACUUGAAUCUUCACCAGGAGAAGCUCCCUUCUUGCACUUCUAAAAUCUUGAUUUGUCCGACCUCUUCUCUCUUCAACACCUUUGAAAAUGUCUGGCCCAUCCGACCGUCGUUUUGACUUGAACCUUGUUGAAGAGGCAGCCACGCCUUCUCUAGACAACAUAUGGCGCCCAUCCUUCUUAUCCCCUACUGGUCAUCUUACCGUUGGGGAUUCCGUGAUGAAGAAUGAUAUGACCGCUACGGUGGUGACCAUGAACCUUCUCACUCCCAAAGAUAACAGACUAUUUUCCAAACGGUCUAAUGAAUUGGCUGUUAAGGAUUCUCUGGCUCUGAGUAUUCAGUGUGCAGGUUCUGUGUCUAAUAUGGCCCAACGCCUAUUUGCUCUAACCCGCCAAGUUGAAUCAUUGGCAGCUGAAAUGAUGAGUCUCAAACAAGAAAUUAGAGGGCUCAAGCAUGAGAAUAAACAGUUGCACCGGCUCGCACAUAACUAUGCUAUAAACAUGAAGUGGAAGCUUAACCAGAUGAAGGAAUCUGAUGGUCAGGUUUUACUUGAUCAUCAGCGGUUUGUGGGUUUGUUCCAAAGGCAUUUAUUGCCUUCGUCUUCUGGGGCUGUACCGCAUAAUGAAGCUCCAAAUGAUCAACCUCCGAUGCCUCCUCCUUCUAGGGUUCUGUCCAAUACUGAGGCUCCUAAUGAUCCCCCUCCGAUGCCUUCUCUUUCUAGAGCUCUACCAACUGCUGAGACUUCUCCUAAGCAACCUUUAUGAAGGCUCCCUCUUGUUUGUUUAUUUUGACUCAUGUAUAUGUACAUAUUUGUAACUUAUCGGAGAUAUCAAUAACUAAGCUUUGCUUCAUUUCCAACGUAUUGUGUUAAAUACACCAAAGCCUUCUUCAUUGAGUGGAGUCCGCUAUAUGAAUCUUAGAACGCCAUUGUGCUCGGUCCUGUGUCAUGUCCUCCGUUAGAUCCAAAUACUCUAAGUCUUUUCUUAGAGACUCUUCCAAAGUUUUCCUAGGUCUUCCUCUACCCCUUCGGCCCUGAACCUCUGUCCCGUAGUAACAUCUUCUAACCGGAGCGUCAGUAGGCCUUUUUUGCACAUGUCCAAACCACCGUAACCGAUUUUCUCUCAACUUUCCUACAAUUUCGGCUACUCCUACUUUACCUCGGAUAUCCUCAUUCCUAAUCUUAUCCUUUCUCGUGUGCCCACACAUCCAACGAAGCAUCCUCAUCUCCGCUACACCCAUUUUGUGUACGUGUUAAUGCUUCACCGCCCAACAUUCUGUGCCAUACAGCAUCGCCGACCUUAUUGUCGUCCUAUAAAAUUUUCCCUUGAGCUUCAGUGGCAUACGGCGGUCACACAACACGCCGGAUGCACUCUUCCACUUCAUCCAUCUAGCUUGUAUUCUAUGGUUGAGAUCUCCAUCUAAUUCUCCGUUCUUUUGCAAGAUAGAUUCUAAGUAGCGAAAACGAUCGCUCUUUGGUAUUUCCUGAUCUCCGAUCCUCACCCCUAACUCAUUUUGGCCUCCAUUUGCACUAAACUUGCACUUCAUAUAUUCUGUCUUUGAUCGGCUUAGGCGAAGACCUUUAGAUUCCAACAGUUGUCUCCAAAGGUUAAGCUUCGCAUUUACCCCUUCCUGAGUUUCAUCUAUCAAUACUAUAUCGUCUGCGAAAAGCAUACACCAAGGAAUAUCAUCUUGAAUAUGUCAUGUUAACUCAUCCAUUACCAACGCAAAAAGGUAAGGACUUAAGGAUGAGCCUUGAUGUAAUCCUACAAUUAUGGAGAAGCUUUCGGUUUGUCAUUCAUGAGUUCUUACGGCAGUCUUUGCUCCUUCAUACAUAUCCUUUAUAGCUUGGAUAUAUGCUACUCGUACUCCUUCAUUCUCUAAAAUCCUCAAAAGAAUGUCUCUUGGGACCCUAUCAUAAGCUUUUUCCAAAUCUAUAAAGACCAUGUGUAAAUCCUUUUUCCCAUCUCUAUAUCUUUCCAUCAAUCUUCGUAAGAGAUAGAUUGCCUCCAUGGUUGAGCGCCCUGGCAUGAACCCGAAUUGGUUGUCCGAAACCCGUGUCACUUACCUCAAUCUAUGCUCAAUGACUCUCUCCCAAAGCUUCAUUGUAUGACUCAUUAGCUUAAUACCCCUAUAGUUCAUGCAAUUUUGUACGUUGCCCUUAUUCUUGUAGAUAGGCACCAAAGUGCUCUUUCGCCACUCAUUUGGCAUCUUCUUCGUUUUCAAAAUCCUAUUGAAAAGGUCAGUGAGCCAUGCUAUACCUGUCUCUCCCAAGACUUUCCACACUUCGAUCGGUAUAUUGUCUAGGCCCACUGCUUUAUAAUGCUUCAUCUUCUUCAAAGCUACAACCACUUCUUCUUUCCUGAUUCGACGAUAAAAUGAGUAGUUUCUACACUCUUCUGAGUUACUCAACUCCCCUAAAGAAGUACUCCUUUCAUGUCCUUCAUUAAAAAGAUUAUGAAAAUAACCUCUCCAUCUGUCUUUGACCGCGUUCUCUGUAGCAAGAACCUUUCCAUCCUCAUCCUUGAUGCACCUCACUUGGUUUAGGUCCCUUGUCUUCUUUUCCCUUGCUCUAGCUAGUUUAUAGAUAUCUAACUCUCCUUCUUUGGUAUCUAGUCGCUUAUACAUAUCGUCAUAAGCCGCUAACUUAGCUUCUCUCACAACUUUCUUCGCCUCUUGCUUCGCUCUUCUAUACCUUUCACCAUUUUCAUCGGUCAUGUCCUUGUAUAAGGCUUUACAACAUUCCUUCUUAGCCUUCACCUUUGUUUGUACCUCCUCAUUCCACCACCAAGAUUCCUUUUGGUAUGGAGCAAAGCCCUUAGACUCUCCUAAUACCUCUUUUGCUACUUUUCGGAUACAACUAGCCAUGGAAUCCCACCUUUGGCUAGCUUCCCCCUCUCUAUCCCACCCAUACUGGGUGAUUACUUUCUCUUUGAAAAUGACUUGUUUUUCUCCUUUUAGAUUCCACCAUCUAGUCCUUGGGCACUUCCAAGUCUUGUUCUUUUUUUCUCACUCUUUUGAUAUGUACAUCCAUCACCAACAAGCGAUGUUAAUUAGCCAAGCUCUCUCCCGGUAUAACUUUGCAAUCCUUACAAGUUAUACGAUCCCCUUUCCUCAUUAGAAGAAAAUCUAUUUGUGUUUUUGACGACCCACUCUUGUAAGUGAUCACAUGUUCUUCUCUCUUCUUAAAGAAGGUGUUGGCUAAGAAGAGAUCAUAUGCCAUUGCAAAAUCCAAGAUAGCUUCCCCAUCCUCGUUUCUCUCCCCAAAACCAUGGCCACCAUGAAAACCUCCAUAGUUGCCUGUCUCCCUGCCCACGUGUCCAUUUAAAUCUCCUUCUAUAAAUAACUUCUCCGUCUGGGCAAUUCCUUGCACCAAGUCUCCAAGGUCUUCCCAAAAUUUCUCCUUCGAACUCGUAUCAAACCCUACUUGAGGUGCAUACGCACUAAUCACAUUGAUGAGUUCUUGUCCUAUUACAAUCUUGAUUGCCAUGAUUCUAUCUCCUACCCUCUUGACAUUUACAACAUCUUGUGUCAAGGUCUUGUCCACGAUGAUGCCAACACCGUUUCUCGUUCUAUUUGUGCCCGAAUACCAAAGUUUAAACCCUGAGUUUUCUAGAUCCUUUGCCUUAAGACCAACCCACUUAGUUUCUUGUAGGAACAUAAUAUUUAUCCUUCUCUUCACCAUAACUUCCACUACUUCCUUAGAUUUUCCGGUUAAGGUUCCUAUAUUCCACGUUCCUAAAUGCAUUCUGCUAUCUUGAACUCUACCUUUCUGUCCUAGCUUCUUCACCCUCCCCCGUCCAAUAGAAUCAAAGUACUUCUUUUGUGUGUCCUGUGUAAAGUUGAUAGGAGCAUAUGCUCCCAAACAACUUUGAGUGGAGUCGUUCGAAAAGAAGUUUAUAUGGCCCCCUUGCUCAUUUAACACUGCAUCUAGGUGCUGAUGGAGAUACGGCAACCCUUGCUCACUUAUCACUAUGCUCGGGCCACACAACGCGCCAUUUACGGGUGACGCCCUAGCUUUAGCGCGAUUUCGUGCGAUGAAAAAAAAAAGGUGAGUAAUUUUAACUCUAGUUUGAGGUAAUAACAUGUGAAUUUUUCGUAUUACUGGUUUUUCCCUUUCUAUUAAAAACAACCUUUGAUUUCUUUGAUAGUGCGUUUUUCUAUCUGUGCUAUUGUUGAACUCCCCCAGUUAUCAGUUUUGACUCAAAAAAAAUAUUCGAUGAUAACAUGCAUUGAAUAUUGGCUAAAAUUAUAUUGAAAUUUGCUGGCCGAAGCAGAUAUCGUUAAAAGAGCUCUAAGUCACCCUCUGAAAUUAAUUGCCAAAAGUGAUGUUGUAAAUGGAAGAGUUGUUAGUGAGAAGGCAUUUUUUUUCGUUUCACUUUAUAGACUAUGCUCACUAUCUGUUUAAUAUGUUUCAUCGUAUUAAUUAAAGUCUCAUUUCUCAGGUGCUUUCAAGUGACAACCCCAACUAUGGAUGCAUGCUGCCACUGGAAACUAUGAAAAUUUCAUGGUUGCUGGGAUCACUGAUCCAACUAAAGUGGGUUUCUUUAUCAAGUACUUCAUGAAUAGAAUAUUUUGGAGAUCCUAUCGCUGGGACAGAUUGAAGAAGAUGAAGAUCACAAGGGUGGGAUACUGGGGAGGGUGGUAGGGUUAUGAGGAGUGGGCUCUGGUUGGUUUCGAUUUGACCAAUGUCAUGGUUCGAUGGAAUCGAGGUGAUGGGGAUGAUUCAUGAGGUCACAACCACAAGAUGUAGGGCCUACGCGUGGGGUUUAGGGGUUUCACAUAGAGGCUUACAGAGGGAGGGGGUGCACACGUGAAUUGCAGAGGGAGAGGGAGAAAGAGGGGGAGUAGGGUUGCUAUAUUCAAGUUCUCUUUUUUAUUUUUACUUGAAUUUGAUUUGAUUCUUUUUUUUUUUUGCGACAGGUUGAGAAUGCGAAAGCUCAGCUGGAGGUGGAGGUGAGAAUUUUAAUUUAAUUCAUGGUAUAUCUUUUUUUUUUUGUGGGAUUGUGCUGUUUUUGGGAAAACAAUAUUAAAUUGAAGUUUAGAUAUUUCUGUAAUUGGGAUUUAGAGUAAGAGAUGAAGAACUAUAUGUGAUUGCAAAUUUAAAAGUUUAGAACUUUUUUGGUUUGGAAGCUAAUUUUAAAUUCAGCUAGCUGAUUAAUUAAUAGAGAAAUUAUAACGAAUGUGUGAUACGUUUUUCAAUGCGUAUGAGCAGACAUGGGUACUGCUUCAGCGGCAGCAGCUGCUAUAUGAUGGUAGAUGAGGAAUUCUGAGAUGCUGAGUGCUCUUAGUGUCAGAGAUGAAGACUUGAUAAUGAUCGUUCCAAUUCUGCCUCAAGGUAUACUUGAUAAUGUUGUCCUUUAUGUGCAAUUCACUGUAUGAUGCUCGUUCCUUUAAUGAGCCUGUCAAUAUAUUUCAAUGCACCCACCAAUUGGUUUUAUCAUCAUACAUCAUUCGUGAGAAAUGGGAUGGUGAGUUUCUCAAUACAGUUUUAAUUUUUGUGCGAAUAAUGUUUGUAAAAAGUCUGUUUUUAUUUAGUUCAUUGCAGAUUCUUAUUCUUUUAUUUAGUUCACGAUUCAUGCUUUUAAAGAUAAGAAGUGCAAGGCUCUCUCGGAUGUUAGUUUUGGGUGGCAAUUGAAAGAUACGAGGACAAACAAAAAUACCUACCAAUUGAAAGGAUAAAUUCAAUUGAAAAUAUUUGGUUCAUCAAUUAUUAUAGUUUGAGCUUUCUGCAUUAAAUGUCCAGUUUUCGGGAAGAGUGAUUCAUGUAAUUGGGUUUUAUUAAAAUUUUCAUGAUUUUAUACAGUUUUUCGUUUAAAUUUGUGGAUUCAUAAACACUUUUAUGAGUGUUAAUUUCUGUUCGUAUGUCUAAAAUUUGUUUGGAAUUUGGCUGUUUCUUCAAUUUCAUCACCACCUAUUCUCACAACUUCAUUUAAAGUGUUUUGCAUGUAUAAGAUUCAUAUUCAUGGAGGUCAUUUCAAACGGAUUUCAAGCUGAGCUGCAGAAAUUUGAUUCAAAUUGGUGGAUUUGGGUAAGAAACUAAGAAACCAUUAUCUUUUGUUUCGGUUUUAAGAACUGAAUUUAAUGGUUAAGUUUAUGUUUCAAGAUUAUCUUCCUUUCUCCUAAAUACUGAGUUUUAUGAGAUUACAUUUGGCAAGUCUGAAAACGGAUUAGAAAUACAGAGUUUUAUGAGAUCUAUUUGGCAAGAUUAUCUUCCUUUGUCCUAAAUACUGAGUUUUAUGAGAUCUAUUUGGCAAGUCUGAAAGUGGAUUGCGUAUGUUUAUAUCUCCCUUUCUUCUAAAUACUGAGUUUUAUGAGAUCACACCAUCUUAUGUUUAUUGUAUAAUCUUAUGCAGUCAGAAGAAUUAUCAUCUUUUUCCUUUUAGAUUUCAACAUAUUUGGAAAUACUUCAAAUUUUUUGUAGUGUAGUUUGUACUUGUAGUUUACAUGAUUACGUAAGUUCUAUUUCUUUAGUAAAUUUUUAUGCAGGAAAGAAAGUCAUUUCUCAGUUUAUAGUUAACAUGAUUACAUAAGUUAUGCUUAUCUUAUCAACCUCAUUCACUCGUAUGUUGCUCUGUUCAUUCAUGAUUGUGUUAAAUUUAUUCAGGUUAAAAGUGUCUUAUUCAUGCAGUUACGCAUGAAACAGUUGUUCCCGCGGCAACACGUGGGCUUAUUUUCUAGUUCCAAUGUAAACCUAGAGACGAAACGAGGUCAUAUAUUACAAAGACAUAUUCUAAAACAGCCUUAGCUCAGAGAAUAAAAAAAGGAAAACUAAUGAAAAUGGCUUGAAAACUUUGAGUUUUAACGAUAUGGACAAAAUAAAGGGUAAAGUGAACAGUAUCAGGUUUGACUUUUUAGUGUAAAAAUGUGAUUUUUCGUUAAAGUAAACAGUACAGCAGACUUUUCGUUAAAACUCCCAAUAAAAAAAACCAUGCAGUGAAAACAUCUAAGGGAAACGAGUUGAUCCUCAAUAAACGCCUCAAUAGAAUGACAUCUUUGUUAAAGCAUCUGUUAUAAAAUUAGCUUCAUCUAAAACAUGAUAGAAGCUGAUAUGAUCAAGCAUACCAUGUUUGCCAACAUAAAAGAAGGAUCUUUCCAAGUUUAGGAAGGUGGGAGUUGCCAAAGAGAAACCGAUUUGAGCCGCAUUUUCUUCAAAUAUCUCAGGCAAACGGUCGGCUGACAAAAUGCAGUCAAUGGCUUCAACAUCUUGAGAAUAAAAGGCACAACUAGGAUCAAUUGGUUGUACUUCAUAUAGGGAUAAGACUUGAGUCUCGUCUUUCACAUAUGUUUACUUGUUCAUUCCGGCCAUUAUAUGGUACAACACUGAACAUAGAGUACAACUUUUCCGGCCUCUAAGUCCGGAACCCUCCCAAACAUUGGACACUACAAUACCAAAAUAAAGCAAUAAAAUACAACAGUACAAUACAAUAUAGUUAAAAGCAAUCCAUCUUAGUACAGACUCAAUCGGAUGAAUCAACGGAGCCCUAGUGUUCAAGCUUCCAUCCUUGCGGUAAACUUAAGUGGUGGCUUCAAGAAAUGGAUAAUCAGUGUAACCAAUGACGGGAUCAGUGUGUAAAAUGUCUCUCUGUUGUACUUGUUUAGAGGAGCAUUAAGUUCAAAUCUCUUUGGCAAAUCCGGAUUCGCCAAGAAAAUACGGCCAUAAGCAAUAAGAUCUGCACGGCCCUCGCCCACAGCUCUGUUUCCAUCUUCCCUGUGAUAACUGUAAAUCAUUGUGUAUGUUGAUGAAGAAAGAAUAUGCAGGAAGAAAGACAGAGAGAAAUGUAGAAGAAUAAGAGAGUAAGAGAGUUUAGAGAGUAGAGAGAGAAUCAAGAAUUGUAUUUUCUUUCUAGUUAGUUACAACUGACUAUUACAACAUGUAUUUAUUUGUAUUGGUAGCUUACACUCUAAGCCACACAAUAACCACCUUAACUAACUCUUAUAUCACAGCUAUAGAAUCUUAGUACACCUAUCAUCCCCCCUCAAGCUCAGGGGCAGAGAAAUUGAGCCUGAGAUUGGCACAAUGAGUCUGAAAGAGUGGUGUAGAAAGACCCUUGGUGAGGAUAUCUGCAAACUGCUCAGUAGACGAUACAAACUGAACAUGUAGUUGCUGUUUUGCAACCCUUUCUCGAACAAAAUGGACAUCAACCUCAAUAUGUUUCGUACGUUGAUGUUGAAUUGGAUUGCAAGUCAGUGCAAUUGCAGACAGGUUGUCACAGAAAAGUAAUGGGGGCUCGGCCAAAGGAAUCUGCAAGAACGACAACAGAGAUUUAAUCCAAUCCAAUUCAGCCGCUGUAGUAGAGAGAGCUCGAUAUUCAGCCUCAGUUGAUGAGCGAGAGACAGUGUGUUGUUUCUUAUACAUCCAUGAAAUGGGAUUAGACCCCAAGAACACCACCAUUCCAGUUGUGGACCGUCUAUCGUUCGGAUCACCCGCCCAGUCUGCAUCACUAUAGGCAGUAAGAUCAAGGGAACCUCGAAUAUACUGAAUACCACAGCCUCGAGUAGCCUUUAAGUACCUAAGAAUCCGUUUGACAGCCAUAAAGUGGGAGUCCAUUGGUCGCUGCAUAAACUGGCAGACCUGAUGCACUGCGAAAACAAUGUCAGGCCGCGUAAAAGUCAAGUACUGGAGAGCACCAACCAAGCUCCUGUACAUUGUAGGAUUAUUAUAAGGCUUGCCAUCAUUGCUGAGAAGACGGUUGUAAGGCAAACAUGGAGUAUCACACGGUUUGGACAAUAGCAUAUCAGAUUUAGUAAGCAGAUCCGUAACAUACUUGUCUUGAGAGAGAAACAAACCAUUCUUGUUCUGUACAAUUUGAAUGCCUAGAAAAUAAUGAAGAGGUCCCAAGUCUUUCAUAUCAAACUCAUGAGUAAGAGCUUGAAUAACCUCAGUGAUAGCUUGUGGAUGGCUGCCUGUGAUGAUAAUAUCAUCAACAUACAACAACAGAAUCACCACAUAUGUGUCAACAGUUUUUACAAAUAAAGAUGAAUCUGCAAAUGUAGACUUGAACCCUAAGGAAGGUAGAAAAGUAGUGAACCUUUCAUUCCACCUGUGGUGCCUGUUUCAACCCAUAAAGCGAUUUAUGUAAUCGACAAACAUAAUCUUCAUGUUUAAGAUCAACAAACCCAGGUGGCUGUGUCAUGUAGACCUCUUUCUUGUAAAUAUGCCAUGGAGGAAGGCAUUUUUCACAUCUAAUUGUCUCAAUGUCCAACCAAAGUUUGCUGAUAAAGCUAGAACGAUUCUCACUGUUGUAGGUUUAACAACAGGGCUAAAAGUCUCUCCAUAAUCGAUUCCUUCUUCUUGAUUAAAGCCUUUUGCCACCAGCCGUGCCUUAUACCUCCCAAUUGAGCCAUCAGCAUUCUUUUUUAUCUUAUAUACCCAUUUACACCCGAUUAAAUUCUUGUGACGGGGCAAUGGAACCAAUGACCAUGUUCCCUGAUUAUGCAAAGCCAAUAUCUCAUCUUGCAUAGCAUUAAACCAAACUGGGGAUUUCAACGCAGACUUAUAUGUUGCAGGUUCCACUUAUGUCAAAUCAACCCCCCCAUGUUCAUGAACCUGAGCAAGUAAAGCAAGCUUCUUAAUAAUACCACUUUUGGAUCGUGUCUGCAUAGGAUGGAAGUUCACUGGGGGAACAGAGAGAACCACUUGGAGCUGCUCAGGUUGGAAUUCAGGUACCACAGGAGGUGCAGGGGAGAAGGGUUGUGUAGUUGGAGAAGUAAUGGAAUGAGUAGCAGUUGAAUUUCCUGCACUGUCAGGUGAACCUGUAAUUGGAACCGUAGUGGAGGCUGCUGAAAGUUGCUGGAGUACCAGAUUUGGCAUGCCACUAGAGAUAGAAUCUGAGCUUAAUGAUGCAGGACACUCAGUGUAGGGAUUAAGUGACUCGUGUAACACAAGUACAUUACUAUGAUUAGGAACUGGAAUUGGUGUUUGAGAAUGUGAUGGAGGUGGUGAAAUAGUGGUACAGUGAGAUUUAGAGACCAAAGAACGAUAAGGAAACUCUGUCUCAUCAAAUAAAACAUGUCUAGAAAUAUACAUUUUGUUUUUAGAAGCAUCAUAACAAAGAUAGCCUUUAUAGUUAGAUGCAUAUCCCAAAAAGAUACAUUUUGCAGUGCGGGGAUCUAACUUGGUAUGAGUAUAAGGCCUUAACCAAGGAUAACAAGAACAGCCAAAUAUUUUCAAAUGUGUUAUUACUGGUAUGGAAUUGUGCAGCAAUUGAAACGGAGAUAAAUUUCCCAAGGAAGAAGAUGGCAUUCUAUUAAUGAGGUACACUGAGGUUUUGCAGGCAAAAGACCAAAACACUGAGGGUAAGGAAGCAGACUGUAGCAAAGCAAUGGAAAUUUCAAUAAUAUGCCUGUGUUUUUGUUUAGCUAUUCCAUUCUGUUCGGGUGUGUAAGGACAGGAAAGUUGGUGCUUAAUUCUUUUAUCAGACAAAAAUUGUUGAAAUGCUUUGUUUAUGUAUUCACCACCACCAUCACUGUGAAGAGUUUUAAUGGCUACUUGAAACUGAUUUAAGAUGAAAUUGUAUAAAGAAACAAAUAUACCCGAAACAUCACUUUUAUUGCACAUGGGAAAAAUCCAGCAAUAUUUUGUACAAUGGUCAAUGAAAGUGACAUAAUAUCUAAAUCCAUCUAGAGACACACAAGGAGCAGGACCCCACACAUCACUGUGAACAAGAUCAAAAGGUUUUACAGAUUUAUCUACGGAGGAAGGAAAUGGGAGUUUACUGAAUUUGCCCUCUAAACAUGGGUGACACAGUGAAGGUGUUUGAUCAGCAACACAAAGAACAUGUGAGGAUUCUAAAAUGCGGGAAACAAUUGAAUUAGAGGGAUGACCUAAUCUCUUAUGCCAAAUACUGGUAGUAACUUGUUGUCCCAGAAAAGCUGCAAGGUUCCUUUUGUGGAUGACUGCAGGAGAACUUGGUGAGAUGAUCGGAUACAAACCAUUGUUACACAGCCCUUUGUAAAGCACCCUCCCUGUGGCUUUGUCGUGAGAGAUAGCUAAACCUUCACCAUUUGCAGUCUGAAUAGUCUCAUUAGACGGAUAUGGAGUGGACAAGGAAAGAUUUCCCAAGUCUGAAGUCAUAUGAUUAUUUGCACCUGAAUCAGUAAGCGAAAUUUGCUGCUGUGGAGGAGGAGAUGGCACUGAGAAAGAAGGAUUAGGACCAUUGAGUGUUGCAGCAUGCAUAGCACUCAUUUGAGGAUUGGCAUUCUUUUGAAAACAUGUUUCUGCAGUAUGAUUGGAGUUCCCACAAAUAAAGCAGCCUGAGGGACCACUUGUAUUUCGAAAUCUACAGGUAUCAGCCAUAUGGUUGUGCUUCCCACAAAUUUGGCAACCUUGUGAAACAUUCAUGUUUCGAAAACGACAUGUAGAAGCCAAAUGAUUUGACUUCCCACAUAUUUGACAAAGUUAAGGCUGAAACCCAUAAAUCUGUGUUCUUGGCGGAGAAGCACCAAGAAUGCCAGGUGCAGGAUUUGAAGAGAAGUUCUUUUUAUUACCAUAUCUCGGAUUGAAUUAGAACCAAAACGAUUUCUGCCUUUACCAUUGUGAUUAAAAGACCUGUAUGCAUUUGUAUUGGAACUAGGAUAAUUUCCACCAGAACCUGAAAAAGACUGAUUCUUGGACACCAAGUCAUUGUUCUGUGCCAUUAGUGCAGACAAAACAGGUGAUGCAGAAAUGGUUUCAAUCAAUGCUUCUUCAGCCAACAAUUGAGAACGAAGAUCUUUCAACGAUAUCACAGUUUCACGACCCCGAAUCACAGAUCUUAUAGUAUUAAAUUCAGCAGGCAGACCAUUCAAUGUAAGAAUCACCAUAUCAUCAUCAUCAAAGAAAACACCAGCAGCAAAUAGUAAAUCCCGUGCUUCUUUAAUCUUCUGCAAAUACACAGUGAUAGAAUCAUUACCCUUCUUUAUAUUUUGCAGUUCAGAUUUGAGUUGAAAGAUACUGGUUCUUGUGAUAGUUGAGAACUGUUCUUUAAGCCUAGUCCACAAUUCUUUGGAACUGGUACUACCAAUCGCACAAGAAAUCCCAGCAGGGGACAAGGUUGCAGUGAUCAACUGCAUUAAUGCUUUAUCAUGCAUCUUCCAUACUCUGUAAUCAUCCGAUUGAACUUGGGUAGUAGAACCCCCAGAUAAUUCUUGGCAAAAUUGGUCAGGACAAGGAAUCGAGCCAUCAACAAACCCAAUUAUACUAUGGCCUUCAAGCAGGAGCUCCAUCUGAAAAUGCCAAGCCAAAUAAUUUGUUUCAUCCAACUUCACAUUAACUGAACUUGAAACCGACGAGAUCAAAGAAGCAAUCGGAGACUGAAGAAUAUGUAACUGAGUAGCAGUCACCAUUGUUACCAAUUAGGAGAAAAAUCCCAAGAAAUCUUGACAGAGGAAUAACCACAAACACUUGGUGGGUGUACUUUGAUCGAGAACGAAUCAAAGGAAGAAGAAGACUAAACCAGCCCAAAUUUUAACACAAGAAAUCACAGCAAGGAGAAGUAAUAGGGUAGAAGCGGAAGCAACCAUAACCAAGAUCGAAAUCCGUCAAGCUUUCAUGCUUGUUCCGGCGAUGAUACCAUGUAAACCAUUGUGUAUGUUGAUGAAGAAAGAAUAUGCAGGAAGAAAGGCAGAGAGAAAUGUAGAAGAAUAAGAGAGUAAGAAAGUUUAGAGAGUAGAGAGAGAAUCAAGAAUUGUAUUUUCUUUCUAGUUAGUUACAACUGACUAUUACAACAUGUAUUUAUUUGUAUUGGCAGCUUACACUCUAAGCCACACAAUAACCACCUUAACUAACUCUUAUAUCACAGCUAUAGAAUCUUAGUACACCUAUCAAUAACCACCACCAGCAAUGAAGGUACCAUGGAAAGCCUUUCUCAUGGGAAGAAGACUCUGGUGGGUUUCAGCUUUUUCUCCUAAUGUCUUCAUCCUCGGCUCAACCAUGUGGCAGUACACGAUUCCAUAUUUGUUCAAGGCAUUGGCCAUAUAGAGGCCUAAUUCUUUUGGAUUUGAAUCCCCUGAGUCCAUAUAGUCAGCAAAUGGAGAUAAUCUAAUUCCAACUUUAUCUGCUCCUAUUUCGUUAGCGACAGCUUCAACAACUUCCAGAGGAAGGCGGCAACGAUUCUCUAGAGAUCCACCAUAUUGGUCUGUUCGAUCAUUCACAUGAUCUUUCAGAAACUGAUCAAGAAGGUAGCCAUGCGCCCCAUGAAUUUCAACUCCAUCGAAGCCUAUAUAGCAGAUUAACAAUUUCAACAUACUGACGGUAUUAGAACCCUAAGCAUUGUCGCUGAAUUACCAAACAAAUAAUAUAAAGACAAACUACCGGCUUCAAUAGAAUUCCUUGCAUAAGCUUUGAAGCAAAUUGAGUUGUUGUAAAUUAUGUUUCAUAUGUAACGUAAAGACAAAUUACCAGCUUCAAUAGAAUUCCUUGCAGUAAGUCUAAAAUCAUUGACAAUUUGCGGAAUUUCAUCCGUCCUUAAUCGUCUUGGAGGCGUGAAUUCAGAAGCAUCGAUGCCAUUUAAUCGUAUCGGCUUGUCAGUAGAAGAUAUGGGAGCUUGCCCAUUUGGUUGAUAACCUGUAAGCAAGGAGAGAGAAUUACAACCUGAAGUCUAACGACAGUAACUAACAUCCACAGCAGCACUCUUUUAAGUGGGAAUCCUUUGUUACAAAUUACUAUAACCACACGUGCUAUAUACUAGUUCUGAAUUCUGAGUUAUGUUAACAUCAAGCUUCUUCCCAUCCAAUAAUAAUAAUAACAAUGCUUCCGAAGCAGCAAAGUCAUAACAAGUCCAACUCGGAACUUAACAAGUCCAAGUUUUAUCGUCAUUUUGAGCAACAAUGUUGUCAAUUAUAAUCACUAGCUCGUUCUGAUGCAUACACCAUUAUGUUAUACAUCAAACUUCUUAAUCGGUCUAAUUAUUCACUCAUGUUAACAAAGCAUACUAUGGUAAAAGUGUUGUGCCUUGGCCCGUUUAUCAGUGCGGAAACGAGAUUCAGAUUACAACCUCACCAUAAUCACACUCAGUUGAACAGAAUAAAAUACAAGAAAUAAAGACACCGAGAAAUUUACGAGGUUCGGCAAAAAUCCUGCCUACGUCCCCGGAGAGAUAUUGCUCUUCACUAUGAGAAUAACAGUACAAGUACACAUGAGUUAAAUCAACAUAACCCAAUCCCGAAUCCCUUGCACACCCACUCAUAGAAUUUUCCCAAGAGCCUCACUCUAUCCCAAGAGUUCUUUCACCAGAGACCUUUCACUCUAGCUCUCUUGAUUUCUCUCUCACCCGUGUUCAACCCUUCCCAUGGGAGAGCUGAAUGCUCUCCCCUUUUGGAUGCUCACUCCAUCCUCACAAUCGGCAAGCUCUCUUCAUUUUGUGUGUGAAAAAUGCCUUCACUUAUAGACAUGCACCAUCAAUUAUGUCAACCACAAAACAUGCUUCCACAAAACAUGCUUCCUCAAAACAUGCUUCCACAAAACAUGCUUCCACAAAACAUGCUUCCAAAGUCCACAAAGUUGAGAGGAAAUGGUUGCCAACUCAUAAUUAUAUGAGCCAAACACAACAAUCUCCACCUUGGCGAAUAUACUGUGCAAAAAUCCUUGCACCCAUCACCAAUGUCCAUUGGCCUUACGUACCAGCAUACACAUUCUGAAUCAACCUUGUUGGUCCUGUUCCUGAUUCAGUCACUGCCAAUGCAUGUGCAGCUGCUGCAAGCUAAAAAUCACCAUUUAGCUUCAGACAGGAUCUCGACACAUCCUCGUCUCCUCCAGCAGGUUUUCCUUCUCUUCAUUGUCUGCAACUAGGAAACUCGUCAGCGCGCCCGUUUCCAGUAACAACCCAUCGAGCCAGACAAAAUUCCCACACUUCCUCCUACCUCAUGAUCAUCUCAUCACCUGUGAAUCCCAUAGCUCCACCUGCUGCAAAACCCCUGCAACACUUGAGACUAAACAUCACCAGGAGAAGUGUUGCUUCGAGUACCUAGAGGACAUACUCAAAGUCUUCCGCCACAAACUUGCUACAACCCGGCCUUGCACCGUAGCACUGUGGACCCUUGCCUCCGGAACCGGAUCUGAACCUGCUGUCUCUCUCUGAUCCUCUUUCCAAUUUUCUUCCACGAUUCCAACCUUGAAUAACUUAAGCAGUCUUGUGCCCACCAUCAUCCAUGGUCUCCUUUGUGUAUCAUUCCACACCAAAGAAGCUUGCACCUGCUCCAAACUUACUGUAUCUUUCCAUGCAGUAAAGUUUCACAAGGUUCUAAGACAAAUCUGAAAGUGAGGUAAGAAGAAAGAGGCCUUUGUUUUCUUCCUCAACAUCAACUUUCGCAGUUGAUCCAAGCAUCCCUGAACACGGCUUCCAUUACUCUCCUUUGCCAAGAGUAAAACCGCCUCUUCCUUUAAACUGCUCAACUGAAAAUUCCAUGGUGAACAACAAAUCUGGACCUCCAACGAACCAAAGACUCCAACGAUGCUCUGAUACCAAUUGUUAUGCCUUGGCCCGUUUAUCAGUGCGGAAACGAGAUUCAAAUUACAACCUCACCAUAAUCACACUCAGUUGAACAGAAUAAAAUACAAGAAAUAAAGACACCGAGAAAUUUACGAGGUUCGGCAAAAAUCCUGCCUACGUCCCCGGAGAGAUAUUGCUCUUCACUAUGAGAAUAACAGUACAAGUACACAUGAGUUAAAUCAACAUAACCCAAUCCCGAAUCCCUUGCACACCCACUCAUAGAAUUUUCCCAAGAGCCUCACUCUACCCCAAGAGUUCUUUCACUAGAGACCUUUCACUCUAGCUCUCUUGAUUUCUCUCUCACCCGUGUUCAACCCUUCCCAUGGGAGAGCCGAAUGCUCUCCCCUUUUGGAUGCUCACUCCAUCCUCACAAUCGGCAAGCUCUCUUCAUUUUGUGUGUGAAAAAUGCCUUCACUUAUAGACAUGCACCAUCAAUUAUGUCAACCACAAAACAUGCUUCCACAAAACAUGCUUCCUCAAAACAUGCUUCCACAAAACAUGCUUCCACAAAACAUGCUUCCUCAAAACAUGCUUCCACAAAACAUGCUUCCACAAAACAUGCUUCCAAAGUCCACAAAGUUGAGAGGAAAUGGUUGCCAACUCAUAAUUAUAUGAGCCAAACACAACAAAAAGGGAGGUCAUAAAGGUGUAAGUCAGAAACGCACCGCUAUUAGAAACCCUUCCAGCAUGCCAAAUCUGACAGAAGAAGACGCCACCUUUAGCAUGAACAGCAUUAACAAUGGGUUUCCAGGCUUCAACUUGCUCCUUUGUCCAUAUACCAGGUGUGUUUGGGUACCUUCGUAUAUUAAAGAACCAAAAAUUUCAUCAAACUUUGAAACGAAAGAAGCACCCUCAAAUGCUUGUUAGUCUAUGAAUCUACUGUUGUUGAAAUUACCCUUGAGCUGUGUUGGAAACUCCAGCGGCUUCAGCUAUGAGAAGACCCCCGUUCGAAGUUCUCUGAGAGUAAUAUAAGAUAGCAUGUGGUUGAGGAACAUUGUUGUAUGAUCUCUGUCUGGUCAAUGGUGCUAAAACAAUUCUGGAAAGGAAAAAGCAAUUGUAAAUUAUAAAUACAGAGUGAUCAAGACGGAAUGUGGCUGAGGAACAUUAUCGAAUGAUCUGUUUCUAGUCAUCAACGGUGAAAAUACAAUUCUAAAGAGGAAAAACAUAUAACAAACCAUAAAUACAACCUUCAGACUUUGUAGGAAGCAUUAGUUUGCUAAGGCUCUUUGAUAACAAAUUCGCUUUUAGUUUUCUUGUUUUAGUUAAAAAGGAGAAACGAGGGAGGAAGAAGGAAUUUGGGACGAAAAUGUAUGAAAUAAAAACUCGAAUUGUAGAUUAUCUGAAUUUGCUAAGGCUCCUUCAUAACAAAUUCGCUUUUAGUUUUCUUGUUUUACUUAAAAAGGAGAAACGAGGGAGGAAUAAGGAAUUUGGGACGAAAAUGUGUGAAAUAAAAACUCUAAUUGUAGACAAUCUGAAUUUGCUUUAUGUUCUUCAUUUUCGGUAUCAUUCCAUGAACAUUUGGUCCCUCAUCCAUCCCUUCCCCUUCCCCUUCCUCCUCCUCCUCCUCUUCUAUCAUGCAUUUUCUCUUUUACUUAAAAUUAAAAACUAAAAAUCAAAUACGAAAUCGUUACCAAACACAACCUAAACAAAGCAAUGUCUUACGAAGUGACCAUGGCCGAAAGGGCACAUACUUUUAACAAUCUAUUGCAUCUAUUUUCAACAAUUAAUCAAUGAAAUAACUCAAGUGUACUGUUGUUUUGAUUUAAUUUGUAACAUCUGUACUAUUUUAUAGACAAAGAUACAGUUACUCUUUUUUUUUUUUUAGGUAAACUAGAAUUACACCAGGGCAAAGCCAGAGUACAACAGGAAAGCCCACACAGAGGACUAACAUAGCUAAAACCAUUGAGACGACAAACAACAAAAUGAUCCAGGGCCAAGGACCAACACUAGUCCCGACAUUAUGUCACCCUUAAUCAUUCCAACAUAGACUCAACUUAGUGUGGGCAAGGUAGACCAUCCUUGUUCAACUUCUUGUCUCCUUCCCAACAUCUGUACUAUUUUAUACCAACAUGAUUCUCUCUGGAUUCUUUUGGUGAGAAUCUUGUCCGUUCAUCGUACAUCGUGCGAUCAGUUUUUGUCAAAUAAUUUUGUGUUUAAUUUUAAAUAAAAAUAUUUAAAAUAAUUUUUUACUGCACGAUAUACGAUGAACGGACAAAAUAACGGAUUUUCAGGAUUCUCACAAAGAGAAUUCGACGAGUAUCCGGAUUCUAUUUUAUAGACAAAGAUACAGUUACAAACACUCCUUGUCUCCUUCCCCAAAUCAUUCUUCGUUUUUGUAAAAUAGGAACAAUGUAUGAAAGUUUUAAUUACCUAUGAGAAAGAUUGAAGUUUCCAAUUUGUAGGGAGUGAGGAGAGGAACUGUGGGAGGUUGAGCAGCAGCAGACAUCUCAGAAUUCGAGUCGGUCGUCUACCACCUGAUCUUGCACUUGGCCUUUUAUACUGGAUUCUGGGAUGAAGGAAGGAAGGAAUGAAUGAAAACAGGACCCAAUUGGGUCUUUAUACGUUCGGUAGGAGCUUAAAAGUCCGCCCUGCAGCUUUCCUCCACAAAAGUCAGAGAAGGCCGGGUCCCACAUCUCCCCUCCCUUGUGUGGUGGUGGCGGCGGCGGACGUCGGUGGGUGGACGAUGGAUCUCUCCAAAGCAUUAAUUAAACCGAUUAGGUGAAGACAGGUAGGAAGGUUUGAUGAGGUCUGUAAUUACGUUUACGUGGGUUGAAAAUUCACCAGUUUUAUGAGGUCUGUAAUUACGUUUGCGUGGGUUGAAAGUUCACCAGUUUUCCCCAUGAAAAAGGACGUCUACGCACGUUCAUUUCGAUUUUGCUUUUUCAUCCUGCAUUAUUAGGCCAUGGUUAGAAAAAUAUAUUAUUUAGGUCCUUAAGGCCACCUCCAAUCAGAAGGGUUAAAACAUAAUCUCAUAUAGAAUUAUAAUUUUGUAAAAAAAUUAAUUUUAAAUUAAUAGUGUCAGAUCAUAUUCAUAUACUAUCUAUAACCAAAUGAGCUAAACAUAGCCUCAUCAAUUUCCGAUGGAUAGCUAGACUAAAAUUCUAUGGAGCUCAUCAAGCCAUCAUUUGGCUAAAGGGGCAUUGGGUUGGCCAAAUGUAGCCCCCCUUCUUAGCCCUUUUUGGAGCUCAGCUCCUCUACUGCACUAUUUGAGUCAAAUUCAACAACUAUGUUUGAAAACAUUUAAUGGAAGUUUAAUUAAAUUAAUCGAUAAAUUUAAUAUAUAAACUUAAAACUAAGUAAUUAUUGAGAAGGUUAUGUUUAGCCACUUCAGUGACGGUAUAUAAGUAUGACGCGAUAUUGUUCAGUCAUUUCGGUUGAAGAUGGCCUAAGGUAAGAAUUUUGAGGAUAUGUGAGACUAAUGUAUGUUAGUUACAAAAUUAUGUUUGUAUAGAUCACUUGAAAUAUUUGACAACUUAAUAAAGAAAAACCAACUUAAAAUCCAUGAACCAUUAGAAAACUCAUUUUCUUUUUUGGUUUUAUUAAGUUGUCAAAUAUUUAAGCUUUUGAAUACAAACUAAUAUAAUCUUGUGGCUAAUAUACAUUUGGUCCUCACAAAUCUUUAAAAUGAAGACCUUACUUGAUCAAUGAAUUUAUGACAAAUUAAAUAGUCUAAAAAUAAAAGGCUCGAAUUAGGGCUAGGUUCGGUUCAAAUCGGUUCAAUUUUUUUUUUCGGUUUUGGUUUUUUUUUGGUUCCGGUUCGGUUUUUUCCGUGAUUUUUUUAAAUCUUUUUUAUUUUUGUCAAAAAUAUAAAGAAGAGUAAUUUUACUUUUUGUUUCCGAUGAACUAAGAAAUUAAAGAAGGAACUUGAAUUAAAACUAGGGCAACUCGCAAUGAUGGCUGCAUCAAACAAAUCAUCCAUAUCUACAAUAUGAACAGAAACCUUUGUAAAUCAUAAAGUCCUUAAUGCUAAAUCCUUUAAGAACCAAGACUUGAAAACCCUAAAUCUGCAAUACAAACCCACAAGUAAGAAACAAACCCACAACACAAAAAUCGAACAAAUCUGCAAUACAAACCAAACUCCCUCCAUGGCGCCAUGUCACUGCCUCCGUUUUCCGGCCAAACCAAGGCGAUUUAGCCCAAAAAAAAGGUACAUCUUCGUCUCAUCUAGAAGUAUGAUUUUUGUUUUUGAAUCACUUGAUUUCGUUGAGUAUUCAAGAAGUUAUGAACGUUUAAAGUUUACCCAGUUUCUGGCGAGUUUCCAAGUUUUCCCUCGUACCAAUCAACUUUGAGGCUAUUUUCCCGCCAUCUCCAGCAACCAUUGGGCUUCCAAAUAGGUUUAAUCUUAUUAUAUAUUUUCCUAUCUUCAUUUUGAUAUUUUAUGGGUCGAAUUUGGUUAAGAAACGAUUAAGUUACAAAGCUUUGAAAAUUGCCCAAGAACUCCGGGACACUUAACGGAGUUUUUAACGGAAGGACCAAAAUGAUGGAUGGUGGACAAUCUCAAGGACCACUUUUAUCGAUUUGAAAUGUUAGGGACCAAAGUGAAGAGUUAUGCAAAUCUCAGGGACUAUUUUGACUAUUUAGCCUUUUUUUUUCCUAAACGAAAAAUAUUUUUUUUAAAUGAAGAUAGAAAAGUGUAGAAUAAGAUUAUACCUAUUUGGAAGCCCCAAUGGCUGCCGGAGAUAGCCGGAAAAUAGCCUCAAAGUUGACUGGUCUGAGGGAAAAUUGGAAAACUCGCCGGAAACUGGGUAAACUUUAAACGUUCAUAACUUCUUUAAUACUAAACUAAAUCAAGUGAUUCAAAAACAAAAAUCAUACUUCUCGAUGAGACGAAGAGAAUGGUACCUUUUUAGACAGUUUAAAUUGCGGUGGUUUGGCCAUAAAAGGCUAAAUAGUGUCUAACUCGAGACUAAGACAGCAUUUAUAGAACCGUUUUCUGCCAAACCACAGUGAAUUUACCCUUCAAAUAGGUACCAUUCUCUUAUUAUCGUCGAGAAGUAUGAUUUAGUUUUGAAUAACUUGAUUCGUUUAGUAUUGAAGAAGUUAUGAAUUUAAAGUUACUCAGUUUCUGGUGAGUUUUCCAGUUUUCCUUCGGACCAGUCAACUUGAGGCUAUUUUCCGGGCUAUCUCGGCAGCCAUUGGGCUCAAUAGGUAUAAUCUUAUUCUACACUUCUAUCCAAUUAUUAAGGCUAAAUAGUCAAAGCUUUGGAAAACCCACACAGAAAAAGUUCGCAACACUAACUUAACCAAAUUCGCCAAUAUCAAAGCCCCUGGAAGGGAGCCUCCCUCCAUGGUGGAAUGUCACUGCCUCCUUUUACCGAUUUGCGAAGCCCAAAAAGGGAGUUAUGCAAAUAGAAGAGAUUUUGUUUUUUUUCUUUUUUUUUCCCUAAACGAAAAUAAUUUUUUUUAGGUUUUACCCAAUAAGAUGGGAAGCCCUGGCUGCCGCGAAUAGACGAAAAUAGCCUUCAAAGUUGACUGGUCUGAUGGGGAAAAUUGGAAAACUUGACUACUGGGUUAAACUUUUAAACGUUUCAUAAGAUUAAUAAUAAAACUAAUUUUGGUGAUUCAAAACAAAAAUCAGGGACUUCUCAUGAGACGAAUAUAAAGAAUUGGUCACCCUUUUUAGACAGUUAAAAUUGCCCAUAAAGGCUAAUAAGUGUUCUAACUCGAGACUAAGACAGCCAUUUUAGAACCGUUUUGGGCCAAACCACAGUGAUAGCCUUCAAAAUAGGUACCAUUCUCUUAUUAUCGUCGAGAAGUAUGAUUUAGUUUUGAUAAACUUGAUUUCGUGAGUAUUGAGAAGUUAUGAACAUUUUAAAGUUACUCAGUUUCUGGUGAGUUUUCAGUUUUCCUUCGGACCAGUCAACUUUGAGCUAUUUUUCGGGCUAUCCCGGCAGCAUUGGGCUUCCAAAUAGGUAUAAUUCUUAUUCUACACUUUCCUAUCUUCAUUUGUUUAUUAAUUUGGUUUAAGAAAAGAGUUAUGUUAUGAAGCUUCUAAAGAACUCCGGGUCCAAAAACUUCUAAAGGCCAAACUCCGGGACACUUCUCAGGGAGUUUUUCGAUUUGAAAAGACCGACCAAAUCUUAAGGACAUUUUUGGCUAUUUAGCCAAUCUUAAUGUACUCCCCAAAUAUGAAUGCAAGUUAGGACCAAGAAGUUGGGUUUUUAGCCAAAAAUUACAAACUUUAAAUGAUUAAUAGAACCAAAGUCAAUACUAAUUAUAGCCAUAGAAGUAUUGGGUUGACCGUUUAGAAACGUGAGAUUUCAAAAGGAUGUUACUAAUAAUAUGGUAAUUGUGGUGAUUGAAAUAUUUACUGCAAAUUCACCUUUUCAAGAUUCUGAUUCUCUUGAUUUAAAAAAUUGAUAUCCACUUCCUGAAAAAUCUUUACAAAACUUGUCUUCUGGUUGAGCUUCAAAUGCCCGUAUGCUAUUCUUUUGAUUGUAUAUUACAAAAGAUGUUAAACAUGAAACUUCAAAAGGGGAUUUAAUCCAUUCUAUAUUUGAAAAUUUCCUAAAAUGGAUGUUAAAACUGAAAUUCAAAUGUUUUUAUCCAUUUCUGUCCUUACUUCCAAAAUGACUGGGAUCGUGACCGAUAAUUUUACAAUUCCAAUCCCCUUUGAAUUUUAAGAGUUAUGCUAUUACUUUAGUCUAACUAGGGUUAUGUGGCAUUAUGCAAUUUUGGACAUUUCAGUUCUACUUACGAUAAUUCAUUGAGUUUUCUGUUUCCUUCAUUUAAUUUAUUUGCAAAUUUGCCAUUGGGCUUAGAAAGGUUUUUGUCUUUACGGUUAUUUCCGUUCAUUGGAAUUUUUUCGAUUAUUCGAUCCACGCGUUGAUCAUCGCUGGAUCGCCGGCUGUGUGGGAUCUGGUGAGGGGAUGGGUUACGUGUCCAUCAUUGUCGAAAGGUUUGCUUCGACUGCAACCUCUCGACUUUUCGUUUCGUUUCAACUUCUAUCUCACAAGCCUCUGCUUCAGUCGCUCUUGAUCUUCGCCUUUUCUAAGGCGUUCGAGGGACAAAAACCGAAAGCCAAACCUCCACCACAAACGAAGUCACAAAUAGGGAUGGGCAACGGCGGACGGGUAACCGCGGUUAUUUACCCAUAACCAUUUAUACUUAUACCCGCAUAAUUGUUUACCCAUUGGGUAAUUGCCCAAGCAGUUAUACUCAUACUCAUAACCAUUUAUAAACGGUUAACCAUAUCCAUAACAGCAUACCCAUUUAACCAUAAUCGUUUAAUACCAGUUUACUCAUUUACUCUUUUUAACCCGUUUAUUUUUUAUUUAUUUUUUACCAUUACCUCUUUUUUCACCCUUAUACAUGGUUUUUAACAACUUGAAAAUUAAAAAAAAAAUGUCAUAAUUUUUUUUGGCAAUUAAACACCGUUAUAAGCACAUUCAUCAUACAUUUCUGUAUUUUAAUUUUUUAAAUCCUUAUCUCAUUCCAAUAAUUGAAAUAAUUUCCGGCAAAGACACAACGGCGUGCACUCGUACGUGGGUUAUUUAUAUGCUCAGCAAGCACCCUUAUAUGCAAGAAAAGGUUGUAACAGAAGUUUGAGAAGCAGCAAAUCUGAAAGAUGACUCAAGCAUUGUUGAACUUGCAGACAAUCUUAAUGAAGAUGCCCUUAAUAAAAUGCAGUAUGUCUUAGUAGCUUUGACUGAGACACAGAGGCUCUACCCUGUAAUUCCACCGUAAAUUUGACUAACAUCUUAACUAAAUCUAAUGCAUGCAUACCGCAAGGGAAAUGAUUUCAGUGCGCUCCCGUUUAGUUUUCUCACUUAAAUUUCUUUUGAUUUAUUCAAUUUAAGAAUAGAAAUACUCCAUGGAUCAUCGUUGAUUACUUUUUAAUUAAUUAAAACACUACUAUAUAAACCACAUUAUAGUCAAUAGUAUUGAUCUAAGUUUUGUCUGAUAGAGAACAUGAUUUGUAUUAAUUUUACAUAUAUAAAAUAAAUAGGUAAACAGUUAUUCGUUUAUAAUCGUGAUUAAUACUCAUAACCAACCAUUUAAAUUUUACAGAUGAACGAUUAUACCUAUAACCAUUUAUUUAUUUAAACAGUUACCCAAAUGAGCAUGUAACCGCGGGCCAUCCCUAGUCACGAACGCCACUCUCACUCACCCUCCACCGUUACACACGAACCCAAUCAUAAUUCUGAAAUCCAAACACAACCCAGAUGUUAAUCCUUCAGAGAAUGGCAAUGGCCACUUCUUCUUCCUUCCUCUUAAUCCCUCUCCUCAAUAAUCUUCUUUGCUUUCCCCAGUUAAACACCAAGCUCCGAGUUCAGGUCUCUGUCCUUCUACGGCGGUAGAACUGGAGUCUCCACCUCCUCGGCGAUGGCCACGGAGGCUCAGGUCUCGACCCAAGACGACAAAUUGAAGGAUGCCCAGAUGGAGGUAGCUGAUAAGCCUGAGACAGUCGUGCUUCCAACCAACGAGUCCUCCGAAAGCCUCAUCAUAAUUCGACACACGGUAUUUAUUGAAAUUUCAUUGCUUUGGAUUGGAUUUAUGAUUGUUUUAUGUUAAAUUGAAGUAGGGUGCUUUCCUGUUGAAUUUUUUGAAUUUUUAGAUUCUUAGGAGCUUCCCUUUUUGAAAGUUUGAUGCUUUUAAUUAACUAUUUUCAAUUCUGCGUUACUAAUGGUCACCUGAUUCUAUUGUGAAGAAUGAGAAAGUGAGGAUGAAGAAAAUAAGAACCUAACUUUUCGGUAAUUUGAAAUUUGAUCGCAUAGGACAUGGAAAAAUGGGUGUACAGCGGUAGAUAAGUUGGGAAAAAUUUCAUCCUGUUUUUGGGAAUGUGAGAAGAUACAUGGGUUUCUGUAUUUUGAUAAAGUGUUGAGGUCGAGCCAUGUUCAUUUUUUUCUGAAUUUUCUUGUAGUUUGGUAUUAAUGGCGCCUUUUCCGCUGUUAUGGUGAUGAACCAUUUAUAUGUGUUUGACUGCAGUGUGCACACGUGAUGGCCAUGGCUGUUCAAAAGCUCUUCCCGGAUGCAAAAGUGACAAUUGGUCCAUGGAUAGAAAAUGGGUUCUAUUAUGAUUUUGAUAUGGAGCCUUUGACGGACAAAGAGUUGAAGAGAAUCAAGAAGGAGAUGGUAAGUGGAAUUUCUGUAUAAGUUAUCAUGUUUGUAUCAAAGUUUUGGAACCAUGAAACUAUUGAAAACUAUUCAUGCACAUUUCUUUUGUGAUUUGUAGGAUAGCAUCAUUGGUAGAAACUUACUAUUAGUAAAGAGUCCUCCACGUCUAUACCCUUGUCAUAAUCUCCAUAAUUAUCUUAUGUAUAUUAUCACGUUAUCUUAGAGAUUUGUAAUCCCGUUAGGAUUUGUAUUGGGAGCUACACAAUCCCUUUAGGACUCUUUGUAAACUGGUAUAUUUAUACCUGAUUAUGAGCAAUGGAAAGUUAAGUCUUCCACCAAUAUUACUGCUUCGUGUUUACUGUGCUCUUUCUCUGAAUAUAUAUAUUUCUACAUGGUAUCAUCCCUUUCUCCGGCUUAACCACCCUUCUCGAUCCGCUUCCCAUCAUGUCCUCUACCUCCCCACUUCCUGGCCCUGCUAUUGCCCAGUUUCUCAAACUCAAUGACUCCAAUUACCUCACAUGGCUUCGUCAGAUCAAGCCCUUUCUUGUUGGUCAUGAUCUGUGGAAGGUCGUUAAUGGCUUCUACCCACCCCCUCCGGCCACCUUCACCGUCACUGCCACCCCUUCCUCUGCCGCUACUAACUCCGACAGUUCUUUCGUGACUACUACCUUUACUCUUCCCAACCCCACUUUCGCUCAUUUGUACCAACACGAUCAGUUGGUCGUAAGCUACAUAGCCGCCACCUUAACAGAACCUGUCCUUGCUCUCACUGUGGGCCAUGACUCCGCCCAAGCCGUUUGGGCAUGUCUUCAACGGCGCUUCGCCUACGACCCUGUCCUCAACUCCGUCGCCUUGCGUUACCAACUGCUUGAUAUUUCCAACAGAUCUUGCUCUAUUGCUGACUAUCUUCAACAUGCUAAAUCUCUUGCUGACAAACUCGCUACUAUCGGCCGUCCUGUUGAUCUUGAAGACUUCAUCACCGUUGUUCUCCGUGGUCUUGGAUCUGACUACCUUACCCUUACCACUGCUAUCAUCAACGUCACCAUUCUUCUAACCUUUGAGGAGUUGACCUCCAAGAUUGAAGCUUUUGAUCUCCAGAACCUUCGCACCUCCACCACGUCUGCCGCUUUGUAAAUUGCCCUCAUCACUACCCACCAACCCCGUGCUUCUUCUCAGUCCUCAGGCAGUCACGAUGGAAAUUAGAACGGUCGUUUCCAACGGAACAAUGGUCCGCAGUGUAAUACCUCCGGCUGGCAUCCUAGCAAGAAUACCAAUUCCCGCAACCAACAACAACAAUGGAAUGGGCCUCCUCCAUUCAAUUAUCAACAACCUUGGCAUGGACCCUCUGCUCCCAUUUAUUGGCCAGGCCCACGUGGUUUUUCUGGGCCAGGCCCACUUGUUCCACCUCGCAACAUAGUGCUACACACUGUCCACACCGCUAUGGCGGCCCCGAACCUUUCCCCCCCUUUGAGGGCUCUCAGGUGAUUUCUUAUUAGGAUCCCAACAUUUGGUUUCCCGAUACUGGCGCUACCUACCACAUGACGGGCGAUCCCAAUGCCCUCCCCCACCCACAACCUUAUCGUGGUCCUAAUUCCGUUCAAUUGGGUAAUGGUGAUUCUCUAAACAUUACAUCCACUGGUACAAUUCCUAUCUCUCUUAACUCUAUUCCGUUUAGUCUUUGUAAUGUCUUUCUUGUUUCGGCCUUACGUAAAAACCUCUUGUCUGUUACAUACUUUACACAUGAUAACAAUGUCGUUAUUUGUUUCUUUCCAUCCUUUUAUCGUAUCUAUGAUUUACACUCUGGUGUUUUAUUGUUUCAAGUCCCAUGUAGAGAUGGCCUUUAUCCAUUAUCCUUCUCCUCACCACAGGCCCUUGCCGCUUCAUCCUUUACCCUUUGGCAUCAACGUCUCGGUCACCCUUCAUCUUCGGUUUUGUCCCGUCUUAGCUCUAGUUUCGGUUCUACGUCAUUUUCUUCAAAGCAUUUUUGUAAAAGUUGUGCUUUAGGCAAGUCCACACAACUUCCUUUUUCAAUUAAAUAAUGCAAGGGCUACUACUCCAUUUUAUAUUAUACAUUCUGAUGUUUGGAUGUCCACUUCUACCUCUGUUUCUGGCUUUCGUUAUUACGUAUUAUUCACUGACGAUUAUUCUUGUUAUUCUUGGAUUUACCCCAUGAAAAAGAAGUAUGAGGUCUUUACACAUUUUCAAACCUUUGUUGCAAUGACUCAUAACCUAUUUAACGCAUUUAUUUAAUAUUUUCAAAGUGAUGGCGGCACCGAAUAUGUUAAUCACUCAUUUUCUGCAUUUUGUCGUCAAUUAGGUAUCCAACACCGUCUUUCGUAUCCACACACACCCCAACAAAAUGGACUUGCUGAACGUAAGCACCGUCAUAUUGCUGAUAUGACUCGCACACUGCUUACUACAGCUCAUACCCCACUCACCUUGUGGGUGGAAGCUACGCUUGAUGCGAAAAUUAACUUAACACACAAAUUAAACCCUCUUGUUGUCAAUUGUAGUAAAGAAUGUAAGUAGGGAUCGUUCUAGGCCGGAGAUUAGAAGGGAUUGCUAAAACACUUGAAACUGACUUAAAUAUGUGAAAACAAACUUAAAAGCAUGAAAUUAAACUUACAAGACUCAAAACAAAGCCACAAGACUCAAAACAGAUUAUAGAGACUCAAAACUGCCUAAAAACAACUCUAAGGCAGUUUCUGCCACUAACACAAAGUUUGGACGAAAAUUGAUUUUAUUUUAACUUAAAACACUUAAAAACACAAUCUAAAACAAGUACUGACUAAUAGACACUCUAAAGUAAAGGGGGAUUUGGUUUUGGAUGAAUUUAAGUAAAAACAAGUAAUUAAAGACUUAAAACAGAUUUUGGACGAAUUUGGUGAUUGGAAUGGAUGAUGGGCUAGCUAGAAGGUCUUUCUCCACACAUGACACACUUGCAUAUAAAACGAUUUCCAGUUGCUUUUCAAUAAACCAUGAACCUCAACACCCCAGAUUAAUUAGGUACGCUUAAAUUAAUCCUCAGAUUUUCCUAAUUUCAUUGAAUUGGAUGAUUGCAUACAACAACCCAAAGCAUUCCCCACAAGUUCCCUACAUGAAUUGCAUAAUAGAGAUACAAGUAAGAAUCAUUAAGUUCUAGGAAAAUCAUAAGCAUUGACGAAACACUUGUAACUAUGAAUUGCAUGAAACUUAUGCCAAGAAUUUACUUAACACGGUUGUGACGAACAACCUUUAGUACUUGUAAAUAUAAGUUCAUAACGAUUAGGUGAAACUCCCUUAAUCCUAGCAUCAUAUUUAUGCAUGAAAAUUAAGCGUGCACUCUCAACCAACAUACACAAAUCAGUUUUAAUUCAAAUGGAUAAGUAAAUUGAAUUCACAACUUAUGAAUCACAACUGAAAGUAACCAAAUCAUAUUGCAAGCAUGAACAUGGUUUCGAAUUCCCCCCUAGCUAAGGAGGUUUAGUUUCUCAUACUUACAAAGUAAAGAUAAACAAAUUUAGACAUUGAGAACAAAAGAAAGAAAACACCUAAAAACGCUCCAACAAUCCAACUUGAAUGGCAAGCACGUCGAAGGGUCUUCCUUCUUCUCUUUGUUGCAGCACAAGGUGUGGUUUGAUGGAUGAGUGGUAAAUUAUAGUAGUGGAUGGAUAUGCACGGCUGAGAGAUGAAAGUGUAUGGAUUGGUGAGAUGUAGUAUGGCUAAAUGAAUGGAUGGAGGUCACGACAAGGAAAUUGUGUUUGCGAAUGAAGUUGUGAGAUGUGAAAUGUAGUGUCUUUGUAUGAUGGCCCCCAAAUUAUGGUGAAGGGUGGAUGUAUUUAUAGGCUAGGGAGAGGAGUGUAUGGAGUUGUAAUGAGUGGAUGUAAUGGGUGUAGUGGGUGAGUGUUGUGAUAAUGAGUCGAUGUAAUGGGUGUAGUGGGUGGAUGUUUGGUAAUGAGUAGAUGUAAUGGGUGUAGUGGAUGAGUUUUUAGUAAUGAGUAGUGUUUGGUAAUGAGUGAAUGUAAUGGGUGUAGUUGAUGAGUGUUUGGUAAUGAGUGGAUGUAAUGGGUGUAAUGGGUGAGUGUUGUGGUAAUGAAUGGAUGUAAUGGGUGUAGUGGGUAGAUGUUUGGUAAUGAGUGGAUGUAAUGGGUGUAGUGGAUAAGUGUUUGGUAAUGAGUGGAUGUAAUGAGUGUAGUGGGUGGAUGUUUAGUAAUGAGUGGAUGUAAUGGGUGUAGUGGAUGAGUGUUUGGUAAUGAGUGGAUGUAAUGGGUGUAGUGGAUGGAUGUUUGGAGUUGUAGGUCAACACACUUGCACACACACAUGCUGAUUUCUAGCCUUCAAAUCUUCAAAAAUGUCCAUCCUCAUGUCCUCAUGCUUGCACUAUCCAAUCUUGGCUAAAAAAUGCUCUAAAAUGCUCCAAAAUGCACUUUCUUGCCAACUUUGUUAUUAUGACCUACAAACACAUGAAAAUAGCUUAAAAUUCAUAAUUAACUAAGAAAUAACAACACAAAUGCACAAGAACAAGCUAACUAAGUCGCAUAAAUAUGCUCCUAUCAGCGCUCACUUCUGUCCACCUCAUCAAUCUUCUCCCCACCUCUACCCUCAAUUGGUCAACUCCCUAUACACUUCUAUUUGGUUAGACACCCACUUACUCUCACCUACGUACCUUUGGAUGUAUGUGCUUUCCAUACCUUCGGGAUUAUGUUCACGAUAAACUAAGCCACGUUCUAUUGAGUGUGUUUUUGUGGGUUACAGUGCCUCUCAUAAAGGUUACAGGUGCCUUGAUCAGACCACUGGACGUAUUUAUAUCUCUCACCAUGUGGUGUUCAAUGAGGCUACUUUUCCUUUUGCAACCUCUCUCGGCCAGCCACCAACCACAUAUGUGGAGCUGGAAAUUCAUCCUACUGCCAUCCCACAAUUUGCUUGCUCAUUGCCCAUCCCUACCUCUCUUGGUCUCGUGGGCUCCUCCUCUAAUGAUGGCCAGUCAAUGCCACAUGACAAUGACCUACCUACUUCUGCUGCUUCUCCACCGCAGCCUGCCGCUACCCAGUCACGGUCACCACCACUUAUGCUUCCAUCUCAUCCCAUGGUCACCCGAACUAAAGACGGCACGCGUAAACCCAAGUCCUGGACUGAUGGCUCUAUCCGGUAUCCUCUCCAUCAUGCUCUUUCAGUUUUGCUUACCACUGACGAACCCACAUGCUUUACACAGGCUGUUCGCAAACCCGAAUGGCGGGCUGCCAUGACCGAGGAAAUUAAUGCCCUUUUUUUAAAUAAUACUUGGGUUCUUGUUCCGCCAUCACCCACCCAAAACAAAGUCGGCUGCAAGUGGGUUUAUCGCAUAAAAUGGAAAUCUGAUGGAAGCAUCGAUAGAUACAAAGCACGUCUGGUGGCAAAGAGCUUUCACCAACAACCAGGAAUUGACUACGAUGAAACUUUCAGCCCUGUGGUCAAACUUGCAACUAUACGUACAGUUCUCAGCCUUGCUAUUUCAAAUCAUUGGUCCGUUCGUCAGCUCGACGUGAAAAAUGCUUUUCUGCAUGGUCAUUUGAAGGAGGAAGUCUACAUGUCACAACCCCCUGGUUUUGUUGAUCCCCAACAUCCCAAUCAUGUUUGUUGUCUCACCAAGGCACUUUAUGGUCUUAAGCAGGCUCCUCGGGCCUAGUUUCACCGCUUUAGCUCAGUCAUCAAGAGAUGAAGCUCCCAAAAGAAUAACCGCUCUCAGUGAACCAUACAAAUUGGAAAUUUUGGAUAGUAUUAAAGAAGAUCCCAUUACCAUAUAUCAUAUUGGUAAGGGUUUCACUAUUUUCAAGCUCAAUAUAGUGUAUGGAAGGUGAUGAUUUAAUGUGUAGGAACUGUGCGUAAAUGAUAUUUUUAUUAGCUACACAAGUGAAAUGUACAGUGUUUGUGUUGAGUCUUAAGAUGGAAAUUUAAAGGAAUAAAAAAGAGAGGGCGGGGUGUGCUCAGGGAAAACAAUGUUGUUGGUGCUCUUUAAAAAUGAGUUAUUGAUAUGCAGAUUGAAAAUAAGACUAAUUUGGAGGUGGGAGGAACCUUUUGGUCAAGCUAACCAAAUUAUACUUAUGUUUAUACAUAUGCAUGCUUGUACUAGGAUUUGAUUGUGUUUUGAACUAGCAUCCUGUCAUAUUAGACUGUCUUGAUGUCAUAAUUCCUCAUAGUAUGCCGAAUUCUUCAUAGGUGAUGAAUGGUGGAACCUAUGUGCGGGGCCCCAUGUUGAAAAAAUUGGGAAUAUUAACAGAAAACUUGUCGAACUUGAGUCUAUGUUGGUGCCUACUGGAGAGGACAUGAAAUGAAACCAAUGCUGCAGUGGAUCUAUGACACUGCAUGGGAGAGUGAAGAUCAAUUGAAGGCAUAACUUCAAUUGAAAGAGGAAGCUAAACGUAGAGAUCACAGGCGCCUUGGUCAAGUCAAAUCAAAGAUGAAAUUAAGGGUGUCAUAGAUCUUACAGAAGAACUUUCGUUGCAAUUCGGCUUCAGCAAAUAUGAGGUCAAUCUCUUUACAAGGCUAGAGAAAGCUGUUGGAGAUGAUAUAUGGGUGAAAGCAACAUAUGCCCUUAAAGAUGCUUUGGAUGAUAAAGGCUGGAGCUAUCAAAUUGAUGAAGGCGAUGGUGCCUUUUAUGGUCCAAAAAUUGAUCUUAAGAUUAAGGAUGCCCUUGGAAGGAAGUGGCAGUGCUCAACUAUGUAGGUUAAUCCAGUGCUCAACUAUGCAGGUUAAUCCUGAACUCAUGACGGGAUAAUUCUAAGGAAAACUAAUGAAAAGGGUUUGAAAACUUUGAGUUUUAACGAUAAAGACAAAAUAAAGGGUAAAGUAAAUAGUACCAAGUUUGACUUUUUAGUAUAAAAAUGUGGUUUUUCAUUAAAAUGAACAGUACCACAGACUUUUCGUUAAAAUUCCCAUAAUUCUAAUAUAUGCUUUGUUUUUUAAUUGGUAAUCUCUCAGUCUAUCUCUGUAUCACUUUGUAAAAUGUUCAUUGGAGAUUUGAGCAUCUUUUUUGAAUUGAGCGAAUUACAUGGAUUUGUUUGAUAGACUAAAGCCACUUAUUACUGUUAUUUUAAAUUUUUGAUCUUUUGUAUUUCCCAAAUUGUACAGGUUUGUAAAGCAGUUGCACGUUUAAUGUUUCAAUUAACUCAAGAACCCUCAACACACCUGCACGACGGUUACCUAGGCUACGACCCCUGGCUUUCCUCCCAGCGAUUCGACUCCGAGUCCCUCAAGGACCUCGCCAUGGAUUCCCCAAUCUUCCACGGCUCCGCCGUAGAUGACGCUUUCGCCACUCAGCCGGCGUCGGAGGCCUUCUCUCCUCCGUCGAUCUACGCCGAAUCGAACGGCCAGGGCUUUGAUGGAGGGUUUGGCAGGUCCGUGUUAGAUACCAAUUCCAGCCACUAGUUCAUCCUUAACUGGAAGCAAGAAUUGUAGGAAAUGGCGAGAGGGAAAAGAUGGAGUAUUUUUUGCAAAAUGAUUUUUUAUAUUUGAUUUCAUCUAUCCCCGUUCAACAAGAAAGGGAGAGCUUUAAUAGCACUAGCAACCUCCCCAAUGAAAGAUUGUGACAUGGCAUACAUAGCCUAAACUCUUAAACAACAGCACAAAGGAAAGGCAAAUUACACAACGACCCUAAAACAUUACAUUUCGACCCAAAACUUUGUUGCUUGUGAUCAAGGCAAUCACAGUACAUAACAAUGCUUCGUCUUUGAAAAAUAACCUUGUCCACAAGGUUUACACUGGAAAAUCGGGGUGUCGGGUCUUAAAUGCAUCGAAAUCUUCCCAUGAAGCUUUAGCUGCUUCCUGUCCAUUCCAUUGCACUAAUAGCUGCACCAUAGUUGCAUUUCCCUUCUUAUACAUCCUCCUAGCCAAGAUUGCCUGUGGUAAGUUCUGCAUCAACCCAUCAUCUGCAGCAAUGGGCAGAUUCACAUGUGAAACUACUUUUUCCCCCAAUUGCUUUUUGAGGCAGCUUACAUGGAACACAGGAUGUAUCUUUGAUCCUUCAGGUAAUUUUAGUUUAUAAGCCACCAUACCAAUAUUUUCCAACACUUCAUAAGGACCAUAGAACCUAGGCUGCAGUUUAUGGUAACUGUGCUGCCAAUGCUUGCAACUGAUAAGGAACUAGCUUCAAGUAUACCUUAUCCCCCACAUUGAAAUGCCUUUUAGUUCUUCUUUUAUCAACUUGAACUUUCAUCUUGUUUUGUGCUAAUUCCAAAUUGUGUUUGAGAACAGUAAGCAUGUUAUCCCUUUCGAGAAGACUUUGUGCCACAUAGUCCAUUUUUGCAGUUCCCACUUCAUAUGGAGCUAUAUGAGGUGGAGCAUGACCAUACACCAAUUCAAAAGGUGUAAAACCUGCAGAGGUGUGAUGUGAUGUAUUGAAGCACCACUCAGCCCAUGGCAACCAAUUCACCCAUUUUUUAGGCUGCCCUCCAAUAAAACAUCUUAAGUAGGUCUCCAAACACCUAUUCAUAACCUCAGUUUGUCCAUCACUCUAGGGGUGAUAACCUGAACUCAUGCACAGUUUUGAGCCUUGCAACUUAAAAAACUCCCUCCAAAAUGCACUGAUAAACAUAGGAUCUCUAUCACUCACAAUGGAACUUGGCAUACCAUGCAAUUUGAAGACAAACUCAAUGAAUAUUUGAGCCACACUCACUGCAAUAUAUGGAUGGGAAAGAGCAAUGAAAUGUGCAUACUUAGAAAGUUUGUCCACCAUCACCAUGAUCACAGUUUUGCCCCUACAAUUUGGCAAACCAAGUAUGAAAUCCAUGCUAAUGUCCGACCAAUUCUUCUGUGGAAUUGGUAGUGCUUGUAACAAUCCAGGUGGAGCUAUUGUUUCCACUUUGUUUUGUUGACAAAUGCUACAUUCAACCACAAAAUUUCAAAUAUCCUUCUUCAUUCCCUGCCAAUAGAACCUCUUUUUGAUCCUGUGAUAUGUUUUAACCACCCCUUGGUGACCUCAUCCAGAAGUAGAGUGAUACUCUUCAAUGAUUUUGUGUCUCCAAGGUGAUGUGGGACUCAAAACUACCCUCUUUUUAUAGCAUAAGAACCCAUUAUCAACAGUAUACUUGGAAACUGCAGCUUUAUCAGUAACUGUCUUAGAACUAUCAAGCACAAAUUUAAUCCUUUCCAAAACCCACUUAUCACUUUCAAAACUCCUCCUUAAAUCAUCCAUCCAGCCAAAAUAAGGGUAGAUGAUGGCAGUGAGUUCCAUGUCAAGGUGAACAGGUUUCUCUACCAACUCAGAAUUGACAUUUGGUACCUUAGAGAGUGCAUCAGCCACUGUGUUUUCAACUCCACUCCUAUACUGGAUCUCAUAAUCAAAACCCAAGAGUUUUGAAACCCAUUUUUGUUGAAAAUGAGUAUUAGCUCUCUGACUUAAGAAGUACUUGAGACUAUUGUGAUCAGUCUUAAUUAUGAAGUGUUUACCUUGCAAAUAGUUAUGCCAUUUUUUUACAGCAUGAACUAUUGCAAUCAGUUCUCUUUCAUAAGUAGAAAGAGCUUGAUUCUUAGGUCCUAAUGCCUGACUGGUGAAUGCAAUUAGUCUAAGGUUUUGCUGCAUAACUGCUCCAAUUCCAUUGUCUGAAGCAUCACAUUCCAAGACAAAGGGUUGAUUGAAAUUUGGCAAUGCCAAUACUUGUGGUGAGGACAUAAUCUUUUUGAGUUUUUUAAAUGCUUCCAAAGCUUCCACUCCUCAAUAGAAUCCAUCCUUCUUAGUGAGAUUAUACAAAGGCUGGCAUAUUUUCCCAUAUCCAGGCACAAAUUUUCUGUAGUACCCAGUGAGGCCUAGAAAUCCUCUCAAUUCCUUCACAUUCCUUGGUACAAGCCAGUCAGUGAUUGCUUGGAGUUUGCUAGGAUCUGCCAUAACACCAUCCUUUGACACAAUAUGGCCAAGGUACUCUACUUUACUUUGACCAAAGGAACAUUUAGAUUUUUUCAAAAACAACCGAUUGUCUUGCAAUAUCUGAAAAACUUGUUGUAGAUGUGUCAAGUGAUCUUCCCAAGACUUGCUAUAUAUUAAAAUGUCAUCAAAGAAUACCAGUACAAACUUCCUGAGAAGUGGUUUGAAAAGAUCAUUCAUCAAGUUCUGAAAAGUUGCAGGUGCAUUGAUAAGCCCAAAGGGUAUCACUAAAAACUCAUGAUGUCCUCUAUGGGUCCUAAAUGCAGUCUUAGCAAUGUCUUCUUUGUGCAUCAAUAUCUGGUGAUAACCUGACCUUAAGUCAAAUUUUGAGAAGAAAACAGCACCAUGUAGUUCAUCCAGCAAGUCAUCAAUUAGAGGGGUUGGAUACUUAUCCUUGAUGGUCAAAGCAUUAAGCUCCCUAUAAUCGACACACAUCUUCCAUGUACCCUCUUUCUUCUUCACUAGUAACACUGGAAAUGAGAAAGAACUAUGACUUGGUCUUAUAAACCCAGCUUCCAAAAGUUCUUGAACUGCUUUCUCAAUUUCUGUUUUCUGCAAGGGACCAUAGUGAUAGGGUCUGAUAUUUUGUGGUUUUGCUCUUAGAACCAAUGGUAUAUGAUGAUCAUGGACUAUGGAGGGUGGGGGUUUAGAUAGUAGAACAAAAAUAGACUCAAACUGUCCCAACAGAGUCUGUAAUUCCUGUAGUUGUGACUGAGUGAGAUCACUAGCUUCAAGUUUUUCCCCUUCCAUAGAGUAUAAGAACAACCCCAAGUUGGAAUUAUAAAUGUCCUUGUCAAGGUGCUGCAAAAAGACUUCCUGAAUAACUGGCAAUGUCAUAGGGCUAUGAUGCAACUUGUAUUGCUGAUUAUUUUUAACAAACUCUAUAGUCAGCAACUGGAAAUCCCAGAGCAUAGGACUAAUGGAAGAAAGCCAUUGAACCCCAAGCACAAUGUCAUAACCCCCUAAAGGUAAAGUGUAGAGAUCCACUGCACAUUUAUACCCUCCUGUAGUGAGAGAGGUUGACUUACAACACCCUGAACUCCUCACCUUCCCUCCAUCAGCUAUCAUCACCCAAAUUGCUUGGUGUGAUGAACUUGCUGCCCCCACUGCUUCAAUAGUCGAGCAUCAAUAAAAUUAUGCGUGCUACCGGAAUCCAAAAGGAUUUUCACAGGAUGACCAUUAAUAACAUCAUCCACUUUCUUUGUUUGAAUAGUUUGCCUAGCCUUAGUCCCAUAAAAUGCACAUUCACUAAGCUCCACAUGAAGAAGCUCAGGUUGUAUCCCCACAGAUUCAUCAUCAGAUAAUUCAUCAUUGACCACAUCAAGCAUCAACAAUUGUUUUAGACCACAUUUAUGUCCCGGAGUCCACUUAUCAGUACAAAACCAAGACUCCCCAUUUUCUCUCUUCUUUUGAAUCUCAACAGGGAUGAGUUUUAUAAUGGCUAAAUUUCCAACUCUAGGCACUUGGAUAUGUGGGAAUGACAGCUGAGAACUUAACUGGUGGUGUGGAUUUAGGAGGGAAAACUUUCAACUCAAAGUGUUUGGUAUCUAAUUGGAUUGCAAGAGCAAUUGCUUCAUGAACAUUUGUAGGUUUCAACAAUGACAUCAAAUUUGAGUUCACGUUUAAGGCCACCAAAAAACAACUCCUAAGCAGAAUCAGACCAAUAACAGUCGCUCUAGUAGCCAAACGACGAAAUUCAUAAUGUAUUCACGGAGAGUACCUGUUUAGCGGAGCUUGAAUAAGGACUCAGCAUUAUCCUCGAAUUUGGAAGGCCCAAACUCUUGACAAAAGGCGCGAGUGAAUUCCUCCCAACUCGGAGUAGUCUGAACACAAUCCAGCCAACGAAACCACUGUAAAACCUCACCCUCCAAAUGAAAAGAAGCAGUGAAAACACAAUGAUCGGACGAAGUGUUAUAAAAGGAGAAAUACUGUUCAGCUUUGAAAUUGCCCACUUUAAGCAGUUCGUGAGUUAUGGCUAAUUUCAUUUGUCCCACAAGUUUGUCCUCUCUCAGCUUAGGAAGCCUUCACAAAGGUUGCUUAGGAAAAGUCUCAGCAGUCGGUAGAGCCCCAGAAAGAGAAGGUACCGGAGGGGGAUCAUUCGGAGCCUCAGUACUGGACAGAACCCUAAAAGGAGGAGGCAUCGGAGGUUGAUCAUUUGGAGCUUCAUUACGCGGUACAGCCCUAGAAGACGAAGGUAAUAAAUGUCUUUGGAACAAACCCACAAACCUCUGAUGAUCAAGUAAAACCUGACCAUCAGAUUUCUUCAUCUGGUCAAGCUUCAUCUUUAUGUUUGUAGCAUGGUUAUGUGCUAGCCGGUGCAACUGUUUAUUCUCAUGCUUGAGUCCUCUAAUCUCCUGUUUGAGACUCAUCACUUCAGCCGCCAAUGAUUUAACUUGGCGGGUUCAUACAAAUAGGCGUUGGGCCAUAUUAGACACAGAACCUGCACACUGAACACUGAGAGCCAGAGAAUCCUUAACAGCCAACUCAUCACACUGUUUGAAAAGUAGUCUGUUAUCUUUGGGAGUGAGAAGGUUCUUGGCCACUACCGAAGCGGUCAUAUCAUUCUUCAUCACGGAAUCCCCAACGGUAAGAGGACCAGUAGGGGAUAAGAAGGAUGGGUGCCAUAUGUUGUCUGGAGAAGACAUGGCUGCCUCUUCAACAAGUGGUAGCUAGAUCUUCAAAAUUUAUGUGUCUAAACUUUGUUAGUGCUGUUUCUUUGCUAUUCUUUUACCCUUCUUGGUCAUAGCGAUGUAGUGGGAGUUGCAAGCUUCACGUGUCUUCCAGGCAGUCAGUUCCUGACUGGAAGCUUAAUUCCAAGUGCUGACUGAUUACUCUCUUUCUCCCUCUCUUGCAGGUAAGAACAAGGCCAAAGGAAAAGACAGGGAAAAAGCAUGAUAUGGGAUACUCUUGCUUUUAACCCUGAUAAUAUGAGAUAUUCUUACUCUGAUGUAGCUUGUUUGCAGAGGUAUUAUCGGGGGGGGGGAAAGAAAGCUGAGUAUUUCGAGAGGCUUCGUUGGGAGUGCCCUCUCAGAUAUGAGGAAGGGUUGAACAUUUUUGCAGGUCUGCCUGUCCAUUGAGGAUGAAGGUCGACAUAUAUAGGAGUCUCCCCAACAACAAGUGGUAAUGCUAUUCCUUUACCCUGCUUGGUCAUAGCACGGUAGUGGGAGAUGCCAGCUUCAAGUGUUUUAACUCUGUCAGAGCACUUUGAAAAAAUGGUAUGUGGUAUCUGGAAAGCUGAUGUCGCGUGUGAAGAUUACAGACAAGCUUUAUCCAAUGAGAUCUGACUCUCAAAGUUGAGAAAAUUGUGACUCUUCGAUUUUCGAACAAGCAAUCCUGUCGGGGAUCUGGCUCUCGAGAUUCGGAGAACGGUGCCUCUUCGAUUUUUGAGAAACCAAUCAUACUGGGAGUCUGGCUCUCGAGAUUUGGAUAGCGGUGUCUCUUCGAUUUUUGAGAAAGUAAUCAUGUUGGGAGUCUGGCUCUCGAGAUUCGGAGGGCGGUGCUUCUUCGAUUUUGGAGCAAGUAAUCUUGUUGGGAGUGUUUUCUCGAAUGUGAGUAAAGGUUGGGCAUGUUUGUUAGUCUACCUUGCCACGGAGCACAGAAGUUGACACACAGGGACUUUCCAAUUAUCCAACAGUAGUGAUGUUCCUUUACCUUUGUGGGUAAUAAUAUGGUAGCUAGACCUUCAAAAUUUAUGUGUUUAAACUUUGUUAAUGCUGUUUCUUUGCUAUUCUUUUACCCUUCUUGGUCAUAGCGAUGUAGUGGGAGCUGCAAGCUUCACGUGUCUAAACUUUGUCAGAGAUCUUUGGCAAAGUUAUUUGUGGUACCCAUGAGCUAAUGUUGCACGUGUGGAAAGUAGAUGAUUGAACAGUAAGAUUCACGUGCUUUCUACUUCACCAGUAAUCUUCGACAGAAUGCCCGUAAUUUUGGCAAAGCUGAGUGUGCAUGUGAAGGUGUUGACAAGGCUGAAAAAGCAGGUGCCUCUUCGAUUUCUGAGAACGGCCCUCGUGGUCUCUGAGCAGCCCAACUUUUGAGAAAGCAAGCGCCUCUUCGAUUUCUGAGAUCGGCUUUCGUGGUCUUUGAGCAGCCCAGCUUUUAAGAAAGCAAACGCCUCUUCGAUUUCUGAGAUUGGCCAUCGUGGUCUCUGAGCAGCCCAGCUUUUGAGAAAGCAAACGCCUCUUCGAUUUCUAAGCAGGCGCCUCUUCGAUUUCUGAAGCUCCGUCGAGUGCAGAUUUUUAUAGAGGUUGGCAUUAAGUUCCAAAGCACACUUGAAUCUCCACCAGUAGAAGCUCCCUUUUUACACUUCUAAGACCUUGAUUUGUCUGACCUCUUCUCUCUUCAACACCUUUGAAAAUGUCUGGCCCCUCCGACCGUCGUUUUGACUUGAACCUUGUUGAAGAGGCAGCCAUGUCUUCUCCAGACAACAUAUGGCACCCAUCAUUCUUAUCCCCUACUGGUCCUCUUACGUUGGGGAUUCCAUGAUGAAGAAUGAUAUGACCGCUGCGGUGGUGGCCAAGAACCUUCUCACUCCCAAAGAUAACAGACUACUUUUCAAACAGUGUGAUGAGUUGGUUGUUAAGGAUUCUCUGGCUCUUAGUGUUCAGUGUGCAGGUUCUGUGUCUAAUAUGGCCCAACGCCUAUUUGCAUAAACCCGCCAAGUUGAAUCAUUGGCGGCUGAAGUGAUGAGUCUCAAACAGAAGAUUAGAGGACUCAAGCAUGAGAAUAAACAGUUGCACCGGCUCGCACAUGACCAUGCUACAAACAUGAAGAUGAAGCUUGACCAGAUGAAGAAAUCUGAUGGUCAGGUUUUACUUGAUCAUCAGAGGUUUGUGGGUUUGUUCCAAAGACAUUUAUUACCUUCGUCUUCUAGGGCUGUACCGCGUAAUGAAGCUCCAAAUGAUUAACCUCCUAUGCCUCAUCCUUUUAGGGUUCUGUCCAGUACUGAGGCUCCGAAUGAUCCCCCUCCGGUACCUUCUCUUUCUGAGGCUCUACCGACUACUGAGAGUUUUCCUAAGCAACCUUUGUGAAGGCUUCCUAAGCUGAGAGAGGACAAACUUGUGGGACAAAUGAAAUUGGCCAUAACUCACGAACUGCUUAAAGUGGGCAAACACAAGCAAUGGUGUGCUCAUUGGAAACUUUGGUAUUUUAAAUUUUAAUCUUGUAUUUAUAGACGGAUGUAUGUGUAACUCUUUUAUUGAUCAUUUUGUGGCAUGCCACUGGAGGAAAUAUGUGGCCCCUCCAACUUUUGAGCAGCCCAGAUUUUGAGAAAGCAAACGCCUCUUUGAUUUCUAAGUAGGCGCCUCUUCGAUUUCUGAAGCUCCGUCGAGUGCAGAUUUUUAUAGAGGCUGGCAUUAAGUUCCAAAGCACACUUGAAUCUCCACCAGUAGAAGCUCCCUUCUUACACUUCUAAGAUUUUGAUUUGUCCGACCUCUUCUCUCUUCAACACCUUUGAAAAUGUCUGGCCCAUCCGACCGUCGUUUUGACUUGAACCUUGUUGAAGAGGCAGCCACGUCUUCUCCAGACAACAUAUGGCACCCAUCCUUCUUAUCCUCUACUCGUCCUCUUACUGUUGGGAAUUCUGUGAUGAAGAAUGAUAUGACCGCUGUGGUGGUGGCCAGGAACCUUCUCACUCCCAAAGAUAACAGACUACUUUUCAAACGAUGUGAUGAGUUAGCUGUUAAGGAUUCUCUGGCUCUCAGUGUUCAGUGUGCAGGUUCUGUGUCUAAUAUGGCCCAACGCCUAUUUGCAUGAACCCGCCAAGUUGAAUCAUUGGCGGCUGAAGUGAUGAGUCUCAAAUAGGAGAUUAGAGGACUCAAGCAUGAGAAUAAACAGUUGCACCGGCUCGCACAUGACCAUGCUACAAACAUGAAGAGGAAGCUUGACCAGAUGAAGGAAUCUGAUGGUCAGGUUUUACUUGAUCAUCAGAGGUUUGUGGGUUUGUUCCAAAGACAUUUAUUACCUUCGUCUUCUAGGGCUGUACCACGUAAUGAAACUCCAAAUGAUCAACCUCCGAUGCCUCCUCCUUUUAGGGUUCUGUCCAGUACUGAGGCUCCGAAUGACCCCCCUCCGGUACCUUCUCUUUCUGGGGCUCUACCGACUGCUGAGACUUUUCCUAAGCAACCUUUGUGAAGGCUUCCUAAGCUGAGAGAGGACAAACUUGUGGGACAAAUGAAAUUGGCCAUAACUCACGAACUGCUUAAAGUGGGCAAACACAAGCAAUGGUGUGCUCAUUGGAAACUUUGGUAUUUUAAAUUUUAAUCUUGUAUUUAUAGACGAAUGUAUGUGUAACUCUUUUAUUGAUCAUUUUGUAGCAUGCCACUGGAGGAAAUAUUUGGCCCCUUCAGCUUUUGAGCAGCCCAACUUUUAACAAAAGCAAACGCCUCUUCGAUUUCUAAGCAGGCGCUUCUUCGAUUUCUGAAGCUCCGUUGAGUGCAGAUUUUUAUAGAGGCUGGCAUUAAGUUCCAAAGCACACUUGAAUCUCCACCAGUAGAAGCUCCAUUCUUACACUUCUAAGAUCUUGAUUUGUCCGACCUCUUCUCUCUUCAACACCUUUGAAAAUGUCUGGCCCCUCCGACCGUCAUUUUGACUUGAACAUUGUUGAAGAGGCAGCCACGUCUUCUCCAAACAAUAUAAGGCACCCAUCCUUCUUAUCCCCUACUAGUCCUCUUACCGUGGGGGAUUCCGUGAUGAAUAAUGAUAUGACCGCUGCGGUGGUGGCCAGGAACCUUCUCACUCCCAAAGAUAACAGACUACUUUUCAAACGGUGUGAUGAGUUGACUGUUAAGGAUUCUCUGGCUCUCAGUGUUCAGUGUGCAGGUUCUGUGUCUAAUAUGGUCCAACGCCUAUUUGCAUGAAUCCGCCAAGUUGAAUCAUUGGCGGUUGAAGUGAUGAGUCUUAAACAGGAGAUUAGAGGACUCAAGCAUGAGAAUAAACAGUUGCACCGGCUCGCACAUGACUAUGCUACAAACAUGAAGAGGAAGCUUGACCAGAUGAAGGAAUCUGAUGGUCAGGUUUUACUUGAUCAUCAGAGGUUUGUGGGUUUGUUCCAAAGACAUUUAUUACCUUCGUCUUCUAGGGCUGUACCGCGCAAUGAAGCUCCAAAUGAUCAACCUCCGAUACUUCCUCAUUCUAGGGUUCUGUCAAGUACUGAGGCUCCGAAUGAUCCUCCUCCGGUACCUUCUCUUUCUGGGGCUCUACCGACUGCUGAGACUUUUCCUAAGCAACCUUUGUGAAGGCUUCCUAAGUUGAGAGAGGACAAACUUGUGGGACAAAUGAAAUUGGCCAUAACUCACGAACUGCUUAAAGUGGGCAAACACAAGCAAUGGUGUGCUCAUUGGAAACUUUGGUAUUUUAAAUUUUAAUCUUGUAUUUAUAGACGGAUGUAUGUGUAACUCUUUUAUUGAUCAUUUUGUAGCAUGCCACUGGAGGAAAUAUGGGACGUGAAACUCAACCAAAUCAGGGACAAGAAUAAUCUGCAUCUAAUGCAAGUUUUGACCUAUGUCUUUGUCCCUUUCUCGUGUGCGCUUUUAUAACCCAAUGCCAUUUGUUAAUUUUUCAGGUUUUUUUUUUAUUGUUUAUAGGUUUCGAAAAGGGGUAGAGUGAAACAAAAUGCAAGAGGCAGGUCAAUGCACAAUUCAAGGAAGCCACCUAAAAACCGUAGAAUCUGAAGGAAAUCAUUUGAAAAUUUAGACUUUUUGUUAAUGUCAAUUUUUUUCUUGGAUGAAGACAAUGUUGUGAACUUUAAGCCCCCAGGAUUUGGUGUUUUUUAUUUUGAGCAUAACCAAGCAAUGAAACAAUAUUUUUGAUAUGGUAGCAAUGAAAUGAUCAGGCAUUGCAUUCUCUUAUGGUUGCUCAAAAUAUCUUUAAGAUACAAAAGUGGGUGUGUUCAGUUUAGCAUGUCACGAAAUCAAAUUUUAUAUAGGUUUUGUAAUAUGAGAAACGGGUUGAGGUUUGGUGCCAUAAAUGGAGUUGUAGAUGCAUAUGCACUACUCAAACACAACUAUCUACAUGAAUACUUUCUAACACAAAUUUUAAAGGUUUUACUAAGAAAAGUAAAAACUUGUUAAAAGAUCUUAAAAUGACAGAAAUAACCUUGAACACAAGCCAUGUGCGAGGCACAUGACUUAUUUUGGAUGAAAAACGUAACGGAGUUAGGGUGGAAUGACAAAUUGAUGAUUUCGGCAAGUUGGUAUGACAAAUUACUUAAAAUUAUAGUUUGUGUAUAUGAUAUUUCAAAAAAAAAUUCCUUGGGAAAAUUAUGGUCCCUAUGUCCCAACCAAAUAAUAAGGUUUUUGAUGAGAUAAUCCAUGCAAACUUGAGCAUUAUAAUGUUCAUGAUUUUGUUUGAGUCUAUUCAUAUAUUUACUCUGUAAAUAUAGAUUAGAUCGGUUGGUAAGGCAUUGUAUCUGUCUCGUUUUUAUAUUUAAGUUUAAAUUCUUCUCUCUUAAGUUAUAGCUUAUAAUAUCGUCUUAACAAAACUAAAUAUACAUAUUUUUAGUGGGAUAUAUUUUGCUUAAGUAUGCAUGUUUGCAAGAUUAAAUGAAAACCUCCAAAAUGUAUGGGGUUUUAAAUUGAAUUCUAACCACCACCACCACCCUCAUAUAAUUAGGGCAAAAGGCGAAUUUAGGAAGGUUCGUGUUACAACCCGUUUAUAAUUUUAUUUUUGAAAAAAAAUGUGAAACGAUCAAAAUGCUCUUAGAGGGUAUGUGUCGACUUUCAUUGACUUACUGGUCAGGUCACGUGUGACAUAUUAAUUAGUAUAUUCUGUCAGCACUCGUUAUUAUGAAAGACUGAUCAUAAGCGUAGCGAAAAUUAGAACUAGAAUAAAGAUUUUACGAAACACGUAUAAAUCAUUUUAUUUUAAAGUAAUGGAAAAGAUAAUAACACUAGAUAUAAAAUAAUAAUGAUAGAAUAAAAUAAUAAAAAAAAGAGAGAAGAAAAGAUGAGAGGUGGAGAAGGAUCGGGAAGAAACGAAAAGAAGGGGAAAGGGGAGAAGGGGGGAAAGAAACUUUUCUUCUUCCUCCUUCACUCACGGGAUCCCUUUCAAACUAUUUUCAUCAUAAUUUCCUCCUACGAUAACGAAAUCACAUGAGGUCGUAAGCUAUAGUUUCGUAGCGAGGCCGUCUUCAAUCUUACCAUACCCACCCUUAGAAAACCGUUGUAUAAAGAAAACGAGGUCCAAACAUAUUGACUUGUUCCGGCGACUUUUCUCUGAUUUCGGGCAAUCCCGCUGGAAUCUGGCUCGACCCAAGUGAAAAUAAUGAUUCUCCCCUCGUGGGCUCUCCUCUAGCGUAAGUAUUUUCCCAAGGUUUUAACUUUUAGUUUUGGGGUCAAUUCAUGGUUUCGAAUUUCAAUUCGAUAUUUUGUAUGUAUAUUUGAGAUGAUGCUUGUUGUAUUGUUUAGGAGUUGAAUCGGAACCGGGUAGUCAUGAUUGGUUACAUAUAUAGGGAAGAACAUUGAAAUCCUAACCUCAAUUCGGUUCUCUUCAGAAAUUUAAGGGUUGGGUUUGUGUUAUAAGCAUUAAUGUUAUUCCAUAAUGGAGGCCAGAUACGUUGGAAUAUUUUGUGUGCCAUAUUUGUCCUACCCUUUAUGCACUGAAAAGAACAUUGCUGAAAUUGUAUGUGUUGCAGCCUAGGUUUGUGCAGUUAAUUAGAGUUCUAAAACUACUGAAUGGUUCUUUAUUCUUCCCAUGGCAUCGCCAGAUGCUGAUGCUGAAUAUUUGAUUGGACAAUGCUAUUAUUAGAGUAUUAUAUGACUCUUGUUUUGGCCGUGAAUUUAUUGGUGGUUCUUUAUUUCAUUCUUUCAGCGGAUGAAGAGCUUAAGACUGCUAGGAAUUUACAUUUUUAUUUUGAAGCACUUGAAUAAACAGUUUGGUUUUUCUAUAAUAAUAAUAAUUAAGGAUCAUUGAUAUGGUUAGGCUAGUGUACUAGUUACGAAUAAUUACAUGAAUGUUAUAGUUUAGGGAUUGCAUGUUAUUCUAUGGCCUGAGAACUAGUUCCUUGGUAAGAUUAAUGGAUUAUCAAACAUUAUACAUAUUCUCUAAUUGAAUACAUUACUAUGUUUAUGAGUUCAAGAUCAACUUAUUAUGGCUGGUAUGGAUAUCAAUAGUUGACAGAUCCAAUUUGGUGUGGUUACUUUUCCAUUAAGUAUUUCACGUUUAUACAUAUCAUGUUGUUUGCUUAAAUAAUACAAUGGAUGUCCUAUUAAGUGUAAAUGUCUAUAUGCGUAUACUGAAACCAAAAUCAAGUUGAUGAUUCACGUUUUGAAGUUAUAUAUAUAUAUAUAUAUAUAUAUAUAUAUAUUUCUCAUAUGCCUAGACAAGCUAUACAAAGAAAGUAUACCGUUUCUAUUAGUUAUUUUGAUUACAUGUAUGUAGUAAUGACUUGCAGUGGUGAUAGGAGUUUAUUGAAAUGGUGAACUACGAAUGGUUUGAUCCCUUUAGGGUAGUCUAACAAGGAGGUUAGAUGCAGCCAUAAAGUAUACUGAAAUUACUACGCAGUUCGAAUCUUGAGUUAUGCUUUGUACAUAUCCCGGAGCGCGGGGUAUGUUAGAUAUACGGAUGCGGGGUAUGUUAGAUAUAUGGAUACUUGGUGACGUCACGUGUCGAUCCUGGACGUAUGUCGGGAUUGGGGCCGUUAAAUGAAUUGCACCAAAUAGGGGAGGCCUUCGCCGGAUCUCUGUGUCCGAAGCCGACAAACACAGAGAUCCAAACCACUCAUUUUAAAUCAUAUGGUUCUCAUUAGCUCAUUCUAUUGGCCUUCCUCACACAAACCACGAGUUCAGAUCUCCCUCUCUUUAACUACCUGGAUAUUCGAGUUCUUGAACUUCGAAAACAAAAAUCCAGAGAGGAUCUCGACUCCAAAUAAGGUAGUUUUUCUACUGUGCAUGUAGAUAGCCCCAAAAAUAAGGGAAACCGCACCCCCCCCCCUCCGAAAAAAAAAAACCCCACCCAUAACAACAGUACAACUAUAAGUAAAGCUUUAUGAGGGGUCGCUCUAAACAAUGUUGCAUUAAAAUUAUCUGACAAUAUAACAUUAUUUCGAAUAAAACUUUUGUAUAAAUUAUAAGUUCAAACAAAAGACACUAUACAACUUCUUCUUGACUAUUUUAGGUGUAUAUAUACUCCAUUGCUGAAAAUUCUACUAUGCUCAUCAUAAUUCUUGCCAAUCCAUCAGGCAAUUGGGUUAAAUUGCCCUUGACCAAAAAAAUGAUGGUCCAUUGGUGCCAAAUUGGGCAGGCAAUUGGUGGGCUCCAAUAAGCUCGUUGAACUACCCUUGUAGCCCGUUGGCAAUAAGUAACGAUGGGCCUGACGUCAAGUAGCAAAAGGCUGACCUUAACCCUGUGCACCACACUUUGUGGCGCAUUUGAUAUUAAAAUUUUGAAAAAUUCAACGGUCAAGAUUAAUCCCAUGGUAAAAAAUCCAAAAAAAAUUUACAACAAAAAGUAUUUAAAAAACUUACAAAGUUCCUGCUUAAACAAAAAUUUGAGCUGAUAUUACUAAUAGAUAAUGACACGUGGUGCAAUGAAAGUGGUGAAAAUGGAAAAGUAUCCUCCCCAGCUCCCUUCCACCAAAUCCAUCAAGUUCAAAGAUCCGGAUCUUUGAAAUUUAAUCCAACGGCUACAAACAAGGUCUACUAUAAAAGCUAUAAUAGAUUGGAUCAAAUUUCAAGGGCCGGAUCCGAGCUUGUGAAUUUGGUGGAAGGGAUCCGGAGUCCUUUCCAUUGAAAAUCUCAUCGCCUCUCCUUUCAGCCCUUCAAGGGAAACCCACUUCUUGGGCCGUCUUCAACCACGUAAAGCUUCACUCUUUUAUUAGUUUCUGUGUUUAAAUUUGUUGGGGUUUGCAGUUUUGGAUUGAAAUUGGUGUUUUGGGAUUUGUUGGGUGCUCACAUGUGGAAAUUUGGAAAAUUUUAGUUGUGGAUUGUGGGGAACUGACGCAGUGGCGGUCCUAUUUCAUGUAAAUUGCUUUCGUUUGUGUGUUUUUGGUGAAAUUAUGAUGAGGGUUGGAUAGUUGGACUGGUUAGAUUUGUUUUGUGAAAUUAGAGUGGGAUCAAUCAAGGUUGAGACCUUUUUAGGUAAAGUAAUUGUGAAAGUUAUGUUUUUACAAUUUUUUUUUUGCAAAUUUUGUGACUUGGUGGAUUUGGAAUUUUGGUUAUAUUAGAUAUAUGUGUAAAGAAAAUAGUUGAACUGCAUGAAGCUUGAGGGGUAAUGAGGGUUUUAGGUAUUUAGUGACAUUCAGGCCAUGCUUGAUGUCUAUUUGAUGUCGGCGUAUCAGAAAUGCUUGAACAAAGAAGAAAGGUGCUCGAAGAGCUGUAGUAGUUAACUACUUGGUUUGAUUAGAUUGCUAUGUUAAUCAAAAUGUCCCCUAUAGUAUGUUAUAGGGUCAAAGUUUUACAUUAGUGUUCUUUAGCGACUUGGUUUCAAAAUUUUCGUUUUCGUUCGACUUUCCUUGGUCUGUGAGGCCAAUGGUAGAAUGAUCAUGGAAAUAUUUUUGUCUUAAUAUCUCUGGUAACAGCGGGUGUGCAUUCUUAAAGGACUUGUUUGUCACUCUUUUAAGCUGUUUAAUGUGCUCAUUUUAGUAUGCAUCAUCCAAAGUCUAUAACUGGUAAAAGUAGCACUACAAGGGCGAGGGAGCUAUCAUCUGUUUGGAAAUAAGAGCUAUAGACAUGCCCCAUAAGGGUCAAUAGGUCUCAGUUGCAUAUCUAACUUGUUUCUCAUGUGUUUUCAUCCUGAAGGUUAGAAAAGGUGGGCACUCUAGACGCGCAGAGAGUGGUUCAUCAACACCAAGGAUGGCGGGUGAUCUCAUGUAUGUGGUUACAUGCUGGAGUUUUCCAUGUGCUUGCCAAUAUGCUGAGUCUUGUAUUCAUUGGAAUUCGGCUUGAGCAAGAAUUUGGAUUUGGUAUGCAUCUGGAUUUUUAGCUUUAUGUAUGUUAUCAUGCAUGUAUGGCCACAUCCAUAAGUGUUUGUAGUAAAAGAUAAAGCUCACGAUGUAAGUUGUAGAAUAAUAAAUUAGUUACCAAGUGCAAAACUUCUUUCAUAAAUCUAGAAGAGAAACACUUUCCGGAUGGCUUUAGCUACCUUGCGAUUAAUCUACAGAGGAUUUCUAUGCAUUUGUUUAUUGAAUUGUAAUCCUAGAGUAGUGGUCAUGUAGUGCUGGUUGCAUUAUAACUUACAUCGGUAUGUUGUUUGGUUUGAUGGAAACAAGAGGACGUUUUGUUCAGCGGUGAGCAACGAAAAGAGUUUAUACACUGAAGAUGGGGUUCAAACUUUAGUUUUAGAUAUAGUAUUCCAUUUUACAGAAUAAAAUUGCUUGAAACAGAAGCUGAGAGAUUAUUUCAAUUUCCAUCACAUCUAUGGGAACAAUGAUUGUUUUGGAUAUCCUGUACAUGUAGACAUGGCGCCUCAUUUUGAAAUGUUUCAAGAUGCCGUCUAUUUGAAAAGAUUGAAAAAAUAAUAGUUUGAUGCGGAUCUACAUCAUGUACAGUUGUUUUGAUGAACUGUUUUAACUAAUUGGUUUGAAAUUCUAAUGUUUUUCUGAUUUGUUCUUCGGCAGUUCGAAUUGGUUUCCUAUAUCUCAUGUCUGGUUUUGGUGGGAGUUUGCUUUCAGCUCUUUUAUUCAAUAUGGUAUUUCUGUUGGUGCUUCUGGUGCACUUUUUGGUUUACUAGGAAGCAUGCUUUCAGAGCUCACAUCAAAUUGGACAAUGUAUGUAAAUAAGGCAAAUAAAAUUCUGUAUACUCAAUGAUGGACCUCUUUAUAGUAUGUGCACGACCCUUUGAUCUUACAGUUUCAGAUUUCGAUCCGCAGUUAGCAGCAUUGCUUACUCUCCUUUUCAUCAUCAUAAUAACUUAGCAGUGGGAAUUCUACCACACGUGGACAACUUUGCUCAUAUUGGAGGAUUUGUCUCUGGAUUUCUUCUUGGAUUUUUGUUUUUGAUCUGCCCCCAGUUUAAAUGGCUUACCCAACGGAAUGCUCCCCCUGGACGUGUUACUACUCCAGUGAAAUCUAAACACAAGACGUAUCAAUAUGUAUUGUGGGUCCUCUCUUUGAUACUAUUGAUUGUUGGGUAAGCUCCUCCUCGAUCUCUGAUUUAAUUGUUUGACUUCAUGAACCUAAUCAACUCCCUGCAUGAAAAUCUGGUAGCCACAGUUGACAUAUGCACAUUUUUUUUUUUAUCAAAUCAGAGAACUGGAUUUUGUAUAGAUAUGUAGAUCUCGUGUGUCCUGUAAUAUUUUCAUUGCAAAUAGGCUCUGUAUCUGCUUGUUUCUCAUCAGAAUGGUUAGGAGAAGGCAUUGUGUUAUAGCUAUUCUCUGUGUAAUACUAAUUGAUCACUUUGUUGAUAGCGGCUUCUACUUUGCUGUUUUGGAUUGCAUGUAUUGGAAAUAAAGGUUCAUUUUCCUCGUAUUUGUGUAGUAUCAGUAUAUGCAGGCAUUUUCUGACAGAAGUCAUGUUUUUGACAGGUAUACUCUUGGCUUGGUUGCUCUUUUUCGAGGGGUCAAUCUAAACAACCACUGUUCCUAGUGUCAUUACUUGAGCUAUGUCCCUACAUCAAAAUGGAAUUGCGAGUCGCAAAUAUUUAUUGUCUGAUAAUAUGCUGUACUUUUCUACUCAUAUUAACUUCCACCUUAAUAUUUGAUUGACAGAAGUGCUUGCUUAUUAAUAUGAUCAUGGUUGCAUUCAGUCGUUCUAGUUUGGCAUGCCGUUUAGUCUAAUGCCUUAAAGAAAUGUAAUUUAAGAAAUGACUUCUGAAAUUCUGUGUCAGGAAAUUGCUUUUGCAACGUACUUUGUUAGUACUAUAAGUUGGUUUUGUACUGACAUAUUGUUCUUUAUAUGCAUAUAUGCACCAAUCUUGCAGUUGAGCCAGAUAGGGAAUCAGCUGAACUUAACGUGCGUAAGCAAUGGUAGAAAUGGGACAUAAUCAUUGUCAGAUCCCAGCCCCUCCCGGACUUAGCAGCUAUAUGCUGAGCUUUGCAGUUGACCAUACAUGUACAGAUUUCAGAGUUGAUAGAAUGUUGAUUGAUAUGCUUCAUUCUUGUAGUAAGUAUUCUUUCUCUUACUUCUAUUUUUUGUUGGGUGAAAUAGUCAUGUGUAUUCACCAAGCAAUGGUUCUCAUUGUCAUUAUUCUUUUCAUUCUUUUACUGCCUUUGUACCUCUUUUCUACUAUUCAUAACAGUUGAAACCCAUACCGAUAACUAUGAAAUUUAUUUGCCAUGUAAAACUACUCAAUCACGCAAUUUACCCAUACCUAAGUUUGUUGAAUGUGGAAUGUUAUGGAUCCUCUCAAGCGGACCCUCUCGGCUCUCUCAUUCUGCAAUGUUGCAAGAUGAUCGGACAUAUGUAUACUUUGUAGUUCAUCCUCUAGAGACCAACUUUGAAAAAAAAAUCAACUAAAUAAAAAAUCAUUUAACCAUUUAAUUAACAUUGUCAAACUUUCAGUAUUUAAUUGAAAAACAUAGUUCAUUUAUUUAUUGGAUAACAAUUAGAUGACAAAACAAGUAUGAAUUACUUUGGUUUUUGGCGAAGUUGGACUUUAAAGUGAGGCGUUAAUAACUGGAUAUGUCUACAGUGGUGGAAUUCUCUUGCUAAAGACUUGAGCCCCCAUGAAGUUUAAAAAUUAAGAAAGCUUGAUCUCACUAGUAACUGGUACAAUUUUUAGAAAGGUUGCAUCCACAACAAGCUUUCUUGCAAUGGUACUUUAGGGGAACUAUGAGAAAAUCAGCAAUCUCACAGUCCAGCCCCUUAUAAAACAUAGAGACUUCAAAAUUUCCAUUCAUAGCUAGGGUCGCUGAUCACUCAUAUAUUUCAUGCAUUUAUACCAUCCAUUCUAAAGUCUUUGUGAUGUUUUGUGUUAAAAUUGUGGCAUUUUACCUUACCUUGUGUUAGUGUGCAGUUAAAUUUGUUUUAGGAUCAAUUUCAAGCAAAAAGGAGAAAAUGAAAUAAUAAAAAAACAAACAAAAGAAUUGGAGUCAAUUAUUCAAUGGCCUUGCACGAUGAUAGCAAUGUUUGAGCAUUUACACUUUGGUUAUGUUCAACAGUUAUAUGGAGCCUUAAACAUUGACAAAAGAAAGGGAAUAUGUGGCCAGGGAACACACGGAAGUGGAACAAAAAAAGGAAAGAAAAGGUGGUGGAAAAGAAAGGAAAUGGGAUUAUUGGGUUUUGGUAGGCAACUUUACAGUUAGUAGUCAAAAUACUUCCCCGAGGAGGACCACUUCUCUCAAAGGAUAGGAGCAGCGACAAGAUAUUGAUCAUCAUGAAGUGGUUAGUCCUCCUACUGCAACUAAGAAGCACGGCAGGAGAGAAAAGAAUAAUGGAGCAGAAAGACAGCGCAGAGGAGAGAGACUGACAGACACGGGACAGAGUGGAGAGACCGACAGAGUGGAGAGAAGACAGAGAGGGCAGACUGACAGAAAAAAAGAAAAGAAAAGAAAAAAAAAAGGGAAAUAGAGAAGAGAGGGCACGGCAGAAGGGAUGGCACACGGACAGAAAGAAUAAAAGCAAAGAGAGUAGAGAGAGCCAGGGGAGAAAAAGAAAAAGGAUAGCAGAAAAAUAUAGAGAGAAGCCGUGGAGGGCAGAGAUGGAGCAACAUACAGCAGAGCAGAAAGAAGCAUGCUCAUCUCUUUGAGGAGAAGAUCGGAGAGCUUCCUUGUAAAAAAGGUUGUCUCUUUCUUUGAUUCUUCAUGAAUUUCUUAUAUAUUCAAAUAAUUAUGUGCAACUAAUUUCCUUUUGCUAGAGUGAGGUCAUGAGCCGCAACAUGAUUACGUAGAUUUCUCUUUCAAUUGCUUAAGUGUUGUUAAAUGCUUGCUUUGAUAUUUUCAAUCUCUAAAUUAAACUAUCUAUGUGUCUAGAAGCUUGAUCACCAUUAGGAUGCUUAGAAAAGUUAUCGGAUGCAAUUUUGAACGAAUGUCACGUUAAAAUUGGUUAUGCUUCUUGUGAUUGAGGAUUGUACUCUCCUAAGGUAAAUAUCAUGCUCUUAGGGAUUACAUGGUUUGAAGAAAAGAAAAAAGGAUUUUUCACUAAGAUUAAUGAAUCACUCAUGUUUAUAUUUAGUACAAAUGUUAUGGAUAAGUUGCAUGUAGUGGUAUGCGUUUUAGCUUGAAUGUUACAAGUAAAACAUACACAAGGAAAAUCCAACCUUCAAAGAAUGUGUUUUCAAUUAUUUAAGCAAUUGGAAUAGCUACAUAGGAGUGUUGUUGUAAAGGUUGAACUCUAGGAUAUUGUCAAUCUAUUUUUCUUCAAUCAUUUAUUUUAUCUUGAAUUUCCUCAUUUACUUGUUUUGUUUAGUUGAAUCACUAUUCCUAUAAGCCAAUUCCUAUUUUAGAUAUUUGUUUAAGUCACAUCGAGGAGUAUUUAGUUUCGUCAAAUUAGUGUAGUUCUUAGAGUUAAAUAAGUUAAAUACACAAAAACUCGUAAAUUGUUUAUAUCAGUCUCUGAGGAGAUCGACCUUGCUUGAGCCAUUCUAUACUACAACACUUAUUCUCUUACAAGAAUUUUCUAUGGUUUAACCCUUUGUUUUACAAGUGGUAAAAUCGCUAUCAAUCGCCUAGCAAGGUAACUUUCAUAUUAAAAGACACCAGCGUGACGUCUGAUGUGACCAAAAUAUAGGGUUCCAUGUAUUUAUUUUUUCAUUUUGGAUGGUUGCCAAAUGUUUCGAGUCAGCUUCUGGAAUCAAGGUGCUUUAAUGGUCUUCGUCCUUGGCGUACCGAAAGUGCCGGACAAUAGGUGGUUGCCAAAUGUUUCGAGUCAGCUUCUGGAAUCAAGGUGCUUUAAUGGUCUUUCCAGUCAGCUUCUGGAAUCAAGGUGCUUUAAUGGUCUUCGUCCUUGGCGUACCGAAAGUGCCAGACAAUAGGUGGUUGCCAAAUGUUUCCAGUUAGCUUUUGGAAUCAAGGUGCUUUAAUGGUCUUGGUCCUUGGCGUUCACCGAAAAUGCCAAACAACAGUUCCCAGUAGUGGAAGUAAGCUAGUGAAGUCGUCUAAAAAAACAAGCCAAAGUGGUUAUCAUUUACUUGGACUUAUUCCUUCUCAUAUUUGAAUUUUCAAGAAACAGAAACUGUGGUGUAAGUUCCUCCUAUGAUCCUAUCCUUCUAUAAAUUUCCUUGUCAUGUAACAAAUGGAACUCACCAAAAACUCAACACCCAUCUCUUUAUUUCUUUCUGCUUCUCUCACUAGUUAUAUAGUUAACCAGAUUAGAAAUGGGGGUUUUGGUUGUGAAAUUGAUCUUAAUAUACUUGCUUUUCAGUGCAAUGUUCGUUUGCUGUUGGAGCUCCCUGCAAUCGGGACUCGGAGGGAAUGCGACGGAUAGGCUGGCUCUGCUUGCCAUCAAAGCUCAAAUAAAGCAAGAUCUCCAUAAUUACAAUGUGAUGAGCUCCUGGAAUGAAUCCACGCACUUUUGCAUGUGGCAUGGUGUGACGUGCAGUCGACGACAUCGCCAAAGGGUCACUAACCUGGACCUGCAAUCUCAAAAUCUGGUAGGGAAACUAUCCCCAAACAUAGGAAAUCUAAGUUUUCUAAGGGAGCUAUGGCUGCGAAAUAACAGCUUCAGUCAUGAAAUUCCUCCACAAAUUGGGAAUUUGCGUAGAUUGCAGGUAUUGCGAUUAGACUUAAACUCAUUUAGUGGCAGUAUUCCACCCAAUAUAUCACAUUGCUUCAACCUUAUCCUAAUGCGUUUCUCUCGCAACAAGUUGGUGGGUAAAAUUCCUUCAGAAAUUGGAUUGCUGUCAAAACUGCAAAAAUUUUCAUUAAAUUUUAAUAAUGCAACGGGACAGGUCCCUCCUUCCUUAGGGAACCUUUCGUCUCUCCAGCGACUAAGUCUUGUUGAUAAUAACUUGAUGGGAAACAUCCCCGGUUCUCUUGGCCAAUUGAAAAAAUUAACCUUCUUGGGAUUGGGGUUAAAUCAGUUGUCUGGUAGCAUCCCUUCCUCAUUUUAUAACCUCUCUUCUCUUGAUACAUUUUCCAUAGAAAUUAACCAAAUUCAAGGGAGUAUUGCAUCAGAUAUUGGCCAAAGUCUUCCCAAUCUCGGAGUCUUCAACGUCGGCGCAAACCAACUUACUGGGUCCAUACCUCCCUCAAUAUCCAAUUUCACAAGUAUUCGGAAAUUUGAAGUUGGGAGUAACAACCUAAUCGGACAGGUACCGAAUCUCCAAAAGUUUCACAACCUCCUGAAGUUCAACAUUCAAUUUAAUAAUAUUGGAAGCGGUAAAGAUGGUGACUUAAGUUUUCUCUCGGACUUGACCAAUGCCACCUAGUUACAAUCGCUGGUUAUUAACACCAACAAUUUUGGAGGGACAUUGCCCAUUUCAAUAUCCAAUCUUUCAACCAAACUUGAAUUGUUUUGGGUUGACGAUAACCAAUUAUAUGGAAGCAUCCCAUCUGGGAUAGGGAACCUGGUGAGCUUGGCAUCGUUGCGUUGGGGGAAUAAUAGCUUCACAGGUAACAUCCCCUCUGACAUGGGUAAGCUUUCAAACCUUGGAGUAUUAUAUAUUUCCAAUAACAACUUAUCAGGAAAUAUCCCGUCUUCCUUAAGAAAUUUAACCAAGUUAUACCAUCUUCGGUUGGAUGAAAAUUAUCUUGAGGGCAGCAUUCCUUCAGGUCUGGGGGAAUGCCUUUGGUUGCAAUUGUUGAAUCUUUCUUAUAACCUUCUUAAUGGCACAAUACCCAAACAAGUUUUUAGACUCUCCUCCUUAUCAAUUUAUUUGGGCCUGUCUAAUAACCUCUUCACAGGUUCCCUUCCUCCGGAGGUUGGGAAUUUAAAUAGUCUAAGUGAACUGGAUCUUUCUGAUAACAUGUUAUCUGGAGAACUCCCCAGUAGCCUUGGUGGUUGUGAGAGUUUAGAAGUCCUGCAUUUGCAAGGAAACUUCUUCAAUGGGUCCCUUCCUUUGUCUAUGAGUUCAGUGAGAGGGAUUCAAGAUCUAGACCUUUCUCGCAAUAAUUUUUCAGGUGAAAUUCCACAUUUUUUAGAAGGCUUUAGAAUCCUGAAUAAUCUGAACUUAUCAUUCAAUCAAUUUUGGGGAGUGGUACCAACUGGAGGUGUUUUCAAAAAUGCAAGUGUUAUUUCAGUUGUUGGCAACACUAAUCUGUGCAGCCCUGUUGCUAAUUUAAAGCUUCCCAAGUGCAAGUCUAAAGAGACCAAGAAACAAAGAUUGUCUCGUAGCUUGAAACUAAUACUCCCUUUAGUAUUUGGACUUACUCUUCUAGGAAUAGCCAUGGUGUUCUCCUAUUUCUUUCUUUGUUCGUCAAGGAAGAAAAGGACAGAAAUUUCAUUGAGCACUUUGGAGAACACUAUUUUGCAAGUGUCAUAUGCUACUCUACUCAAAGCUACUAACGGGUUCUCAAAGGCUAAUUUAAUUGGUGCUGGUAGUUUUGGGUAUGUAUACAAAGGAGUUCUUGAUGAUGAUGAUAAAGCUCAACUUGUUGCAGUGAAGGUGUUUAACUUGUUAUGUUGUGGAGCUUCGAAGAGUUUCAUAGCCGAAUGUGAAGCUUUGAGAAAUAUUAGGCAUCGAAAUCUCGUCAAGAUUAUAACCGUGUGUUCAAGUGUUGAUUUUCAUGGUAAUGAUUUCAAGGCUCUAGUUUAUAAGUUCAUGGACAACGGGGAGCUUAGAGGAGUGGCUGCAUCCACCCGCUGGAACUGAAGAGUUAAGAGAUCAUGUACCCGUGAAGUUAAGUCUUCUUUAGAGGCUAGAAAUUGUCAUUGGUGUUGCUUGUGCACUGGAUUAUCUUCAUAAUUAUUGUGAAGCGCCAAUAGUUCAUUGUGAUCUCAAGCCAAGCAACGUUCUCUUGGACAACGAAUUGACUGGCCAUGUUUCUGACUUUGGAUUAGUAAGGUUUCUCUCACAAGUAACGAGUAAUGUUUCAACAAUUCAGAGUCAGACAAGUUCCGUUGGAAUAAGAGGAACCAUUGGUUAUGUAGCUCCAGGUAUAUAUAUGUUAGAUAUAUACUUCAUUAUAUUUCCUUUUUUAUUCUGCAGUAUUUAAUUUACAAAAUUCAAACUGAACUAUUUAUACACAAAUGUGAUGUUUGAAUUGUAGAGUAUGGCAUGGGGAGUGAGGUGUCAACGAAUGUUGAUAUCUACAGCUUUGGCAUUCUCUUGUUGGAGAUGUUUACAGGGAAGAGACCCAUUGACAACAUGUUUGGUGAUAGCUUGAACCUUCAUAAUUUUGUCAAGAUGGCUCUCCCCGGGCGAGUUACUGAGAUUGCAGAUGCACCACUUCUUCAAGGAGGCCCGAAUGAGAAUCCCAAUCAAUGCAGUGCGAGAAUUCAUAGAGUUGAGGUGUGCUUGAGUUCAAUAUUUAGAAUUGGAAUUGCUUGUUCUGCUGAAUCCGCAACAGAUCGACUAAAGAAUAUCAAUGAUGUUGCAUCUAAACUUCAUUCCAUUAGGAAUACUUUUCUUGGAUAGAAACUCCUUUUUAUGUGCUUUUGUGAUAGAGAAAUUUCGUGUACUGCUUGUGAAGUCUAGCUUUUAUGUUACCACAGUAGAUGUGGAAGUUUGCAAUGUAAAUAAUCAUCAAUGAAGUUCAUUGUGUGAAAAGUGUGUUACUACUACUUGUACUUGGUAGUUUUGUGUAAUAUUCACAUCGAUUAAAGUCUAGUUCGUGCCACAAAAUUGUUGAAUAUUCACAUUGACAGAUUCCAAAUUUUUGAAAGAUUCGUAACCUCAAGACCCUCAACAUUCAAUAAAAUCAUCUUGGAAGCUGUAAAGAUGGUGAGUUGAGUUUCCUAUCAUACUUGACCACCAUCUGUGUAAGGUGUUUUCGAAAAUCAAAGUGCUAUUUCAAUUGUUGACAACACUAGAUUCUGCGAGGGAAUUCCUAAUCUCAAGCUGCCCAAUUGCAAUCUAAAGAGCUCCAAGAAAAGAAGAUUAGCUUAUAGAUUGAAAUUAAUAAUCCCUUUAGUAUUCAGACUUGCUCUACUUGCAAGUGUCAUAUGCUACUUUCUCAAAAGCCACUGAUCGUUUUCUUCAACUAAUUUGACUGGUGUUGGCAGUAUCCUCCAUAUAAGUGAAGGGAAUUGGGUUCAAGUUGGUUGGUAUGGUUAAUAGGGUUUGCAAAUAGUCAUUUUUUUGUAGAAUUUUAACCCCAACUUUAAAGCCCAUGGCCUAUGACAAAUCAGUGUUUUCUAGCAUUGUUGCUAUCAAUAUUCUCCCAUGUGCAUUCUGAAUUCUAAUCCAAUGGUUUUAGCAUUCAUUCUACUAAUCUUGACAAUGAAAGAGUUUUUUUUUUUUUUUUUGGUUCGAAUAAAUGAUAUUAUCUACACAAAGAGGAAGGGGAUAGACUUAGCUUAAGUGGCAUGAAAGAAUUUCUAUUAAACCUGCAAAAAUGAAAAUUCUCAGCCGGUCAUUAAUGGAUUUGAAUUUAGAUUUAUUACAAUUGAUAAAGAUUUUUUUUUUUUCGGCAAUCAAUAGGAUACUAACAAAUUUGUUUUUAGUACAAAGAUGUCACGAUAAUGUGACUUAUAGUUGUGUCACUGACCUUUUAACUUAUUGCCCUAUCUUUAACACACUUCAAUUAAUAUCAUCCUCUAAUUGUUAGUAUUUAAUGAAUCUCAUCAUAAAUUGUUAGCCAAAAUAUUAAUUAUCAAAGCAAACAAACUUGAUUGAGUUAUAAAUUUAACAUGACCCAGUUGGCAUGGCUAGGAGAAAAAUCAAUUUUGUUCAUAAUUUUCAUGUCUUCCAAGUGAACAUGGGGCUAUAAGUGAAGUUCCAAAGGGUACGGUGGUGUAAUUUGGUCCAUGAAUUGUCUCCUCCAAUUUGCAUGCAUGCGGUAGGUGACUGACUCCCAAAUAAUUCUCGUUGCCAAGCAAAUUAAAUACCAUUAAUUAAGAGCUUAAAAACACUUUAAUUAUUACCUCUAUUUUGCUUUUGCAAUUAGGAAAUUUUCCCCCUUUUGCGUACAAUAUUAUAAGAAUAUUUUUGUUCUCUACACUUAAAUGAUGGUGAUGCUCACUACCUUAUUUAUCACCGUUAUAUGAGUUUAAUACAUGUUAAAACUCAUAGUGAUGGUGCUAGCUACCUGCUUCUUGUGUUUUUUUAAAGAAAGAAAGGGGCAUUUGAUGUUUGGACAGACAUAGUGAUGGUGCUAGCUACAUGCUUCUUGUGUUUUCAAAAAGAAAAUAAAAAAAUGAGAAAAGGCUAAUUUGCACCCUUUUGGAUAUUAUGAUGCCAAUUUGCCUCGUUGAGAAACUUGUGGCUUUUCUAAUGGAGAUUGCGUAAAGGUGCAAACAAUUUGUUAAUGGUUGUGCAAAAUAGGUUUCAUACUGCACUCCGCCGCGGGAUUUGAAAUCAUAACCCACAAUUUAACAUACCCAUUUCUAAAUUAUUCAGAAAUCAAUCAGAGAAACUUCAAGCAGAAGAAAAUUGAGUUCUCAAUUAGAGAAAACUUCAAUUUCAUGCAAGUUUUUUUGUUCAAAUUUCAGGGCUUAACAAUGCAAGAUUUGAAUUUGCAUUUGGUUCAAAGAAGUAAGAUAAACUGAUAAGAAAAAUGAACUAAAAAAAUAGUGUUUUUUUUACAAUAUAUAAAGAGACAAUCUCAGAAGUUUGCAUAUGUGCUGGAAAUUUACAAUAUAUAAAGAGACAAUAUCAGAAUAAAACACAUUUGAAGAAAAAGUAAUAAGAAAAGAAAAUAGUGUUUUUUACCUAUGAUCCAUGUGAGGAGUAGAAUUUUCAGUCAUAAUUGACAACCCAAGAGCUCUGUAAAUCAAAUAUAUAGGAAAAGAUCAAUAAAAAGUGAAUUACAGUUUCUCAAAUCAGAAAGUAACAUUUAUUUGAAAAGAUUCAGACUCAUUUUGGAUAUAGAUAAACAAUGGCAUGUUAAAAACCAAAAUGAUAAGGCAUUCAACAUUCAACAUUCACGUAAAAAAAAUGAAAUACAUGUUAUCCAUCAAUGUUUUGGUAACAAAUUCCCAAAUUGCUCUAUCUACCAAACAUUUGCAAAUCUAUAGUUACAGAUGUUUAGUUCUAUGAUAUUCAACCCAAUACCCACAUUAUUGGCAAAACGACAUUGUAUAGAUCGUUUGAGCACCCGAGCCAAUGACAAUAACAUUGAAGGCAACUACAAAAUUGUACAUUAUAUAAAGAGGCAAUCUCACAAUCAAAAUUGUCAAAAUCAAUAUUUUAUGGCUACAUUUUUUUCAUCAGUCAAUCAAUACACACUGAACACAGAAUCACAUACUCGACAAAAAUUCAAACCCAUAAAUCUGAAAUUAGCAAUGUUAUUUCUUACCCCCCAAAAACAAUCCAAAUCUUAGUGGUUACAUUCAUUAGUCAAGCACUCAACCACUUAGGCACAUCAACUACAACUUGGGAAUUGUGGAGCAAAAAAUAAUCACAAGGCGACACGUGGACUUUUUAGUAUAAGAGGACCAAACUACCCUUGAGGCACACCGAGAUUCCUACACGCGAGCAGCUCAAAAAUGCUCCAAAAAGGUAACAAUUCAAUAUUCAUCUCAUCAAAUCCCGUAACCUCUAAAAUAUUUAUUCCAAAAUUAUAUUAAUUGGUUAAUUAAUGGAUUAAUUACCCAAUUACUCCAUUAAACAUCAAUUAAAAAAUCCAAAUAACCACAACAUAUAUUCCCCUCAAUCCCAAAACUAGUGAUUGACCGGCCACCCCCUUUCUCCCCAACUUUUCACACUUUUCUCCAUUUUAUUACCCUAUUUACACAACUAUUCAAUUUUGUAACCUCCUAUUUAUUUCUUUAUACUUAAUUAGCCAAUAAAUUGGCUAAUUAAGCUAAAACUAUAACCACCAAAACCCAUUAGUGGCCGGCCACACCUUGGGAAAAUUGGGCAAAGCCUAACCCUAUAAAUAGGCACCCAUUCUCACAAAAAAGCUAGGCCAACACUCUUGCAAAAAUCUCUAAAUUCUCUAAACACUCUUUCUCUCUAAAUUCUAACUUUGGCAUCGGAGGUUCUUCGGCCAAAGCCUCCCCCCAUUCAUCGUGGGCGCGUGAGGCUUGUGGCCAUAACCAAAUGUGUUAUUUAUUUUGUAGGUGCAAUUUUGUUUAAAAUCAAGGAGGAAGAAAUUUGCAUCCACAAAUUGGUGCUUUCAUUGAGAGUUGAGAUUCACACUCGUAGAAGACUCUUGCGCAAAAAGGUUUUUUCUCUAUUUCCUCUAUUUUCUAGUCCACUUGUAUUUUUCAUACGUUUUUAUUAUGAGAAUUUUUUAUUUGCCAAGAUUCUUUGAUAAAACGUAAAAGAGAAAUACAAUGGCUAGAAAUUUAGAAAAUUCCACAAGUGAAAAUUCCAAUAUUCAAGAAAUGGGACUGCGGUGAUCCACGAGACUAAACGUGAUCUUAAAGGGAGCGGCACCACCACCACAAGGCUCCACCAUGGCAACCACCGAGGUGGCCACCAUGGCAAUCACCCGCGGCGAGGUCCAUGGCUCCACCACUACGGCCCAAGCCGUGUUAUCCAGGGCCCACGCCACCAAAGCCACGGCUCGAGCCAUGUUACUCCAUGCCCAACGUGAGCCCAAUGCGUUUCCAAUUCGAGCUCAAGCCUCGCAUUCGCAUGCACCACGCAUUAAGCAGCCUGCUCCCGUGACCUAGCCUGCUCCCGUAAUCCAACCUACUCCUGCAGCCUUGCCUGCUCCCGCGACCCAGCCUGCUCCUGUAAUCCAGCCUGCUCCUGCAGCCUUGCCUCCCAUGGUUUCCCAAGCAGCUCAAGUUGGCCCGAGAAUAUCUUAACUAUCCGGAGCAACCAUCAAGCUGGGGGCAUUUUCACCAAAUUUCUCCGCGGAUUUGACAUUUCCCAAUUCAAAUCUUGCACCCGGAGUCUACCACACUUCCAUUGCUCAAGGAGGCACAUUCCUUCCAAGCUCUUCCAAUCCAAAUGGCGAACAACACUUGUCUCGACAAGUCAUAGAGUUGACGAGCGCCCUUGCACAACAGACGACCUUGGUGAAUCAACUCUUGCAACGCACCGAGAUCCAACGUGCCCCGGACGAGGUGUCCCGAAGUAGGACAAGGGUAAAUGAACCUCUCCGCCAGCAUCCCGGCAAACAUUAACCAGCCAUGUUCCAAGCGUUCGUGCAUUCCCAAUCAAGCCCACAGACGAGCAUACGUUCACGGUUGAGGUCAUACUCCGAUUAUCAACAUGGACAACCUUCCAGGUGAAAUGUUCAUUCACAACUAGGCUCACAAGGAGCAUUCUCCACCUCACAUCUGAGUAGGCAGCACAGCAGAUGGAGAGAAACAGUCACUCAAUCCGACUCAAGUUCAAGCAGCAGCCUGCGAACGGCCCGUUCGCUUGCUGGAUACAUGCCACAUGCACCGCAGUCGCAACAUAGACGAGUUAAACAUAGGGAAGAGCGGCCCAAACCCAUAGGUCACGACCGGAGGCAGUCGAAAAUUCCAUUGCCCCAGCAGAGGUAAAUUCAAGAAGAAGUUGAUAGGCUUUUAACUGAACGACUGCGCAAUUUCCAACGAAACGAGGCUGCUGACGUACGCUUCGACGAGACAUGACCAACAUAAGCAUGUCAUCAUUCACGAAUGAGAUCGAGUUGAUAGAUCCACCUCGCGGGUUCACUAUGCCUCAUUUCAUUCCGUACAAGGGAGACGAAGAUCCGGAUCGACAUCUCAAGUAUUACUGCAGUACCAUGAUCCUCUACAGGAACAAUGAUUCACUUAUGUGCAAAAUUUUUGCCACAACUCUACAAGGCGAGGCGUAAGACUGGUUUCACACUCUACCGCCGCAGUCGAUCCGAAGUUUUAACGAACUUUCCUUUGUUUUCACUAAGGAGUAUUCGUUUAAUCGCUCAAUCAAAAGGACAUCCGACCAUCUCUUCAGCAUCGUAAAAGACCCUCGGGAGACAAUUCGCGACUAUGUCAAGAAGUUCAAAAUGGAGAAGGCGAAGAUUGUUGGCUACAACGAAGACAUAGCAACGACAACAUUCAGAAAUGGGCUUUCCACGGAACAUCCUUUAUUCGGAAAAUUGAUCAUGGGAGAAGAAUUGACCCUAGCAGCUUCAUAUGCUUUGGCAGAAAAGCAUGCAUUAUGGGACGAGGCCAAGCAGUCUAACAAAAACGAGUCAAAAAAGAAGCACAUGGAACGUUCCCCGACCAAAGAAAACUCAGCGCUUGAAACAUUCACCAAGUUCACAGUUCCAAUCAGCCAAAUUCUUCGCAAGCUCAAGAAUGAACCUUGGUUUGAACUACCACCACCCAUGAAAAGCGAUCUUACUAGGCUGGAUCAUACAAAAUAUUGCGCAUUCCAUCAAGGACCAGGCCACACUACCAACGGCUGCCUGAAGUGGAAGCAGUACCUUGAGAAGCUGACAAAUGAGGGCCGAUGCGAUGAGUAUCUUAACAGGUCAACAAAACGGCCUACAUAAGCAGGGGAAGUUCCCAUCACCCCCUGAACCACGUUUGGAUUUUUUCCAAAUAAGUUCGAAGAUUCAAGCAGCUCGACGAACAAGGCUUCAUAAGCCGAAGAAUAUCCAGUUUGUUAUGCAGUUUCUACUUUCCAGCACAGUUGAUUUAUUUCUUUAUUCUCAAUAAAGAUUCAAGAAGUUAUUCAUAAGUCUGCUCCAAACCCUUUCUGGGUCUGCUCUCCAGUGCGAGAGGUUAAACUAAUUGCUCUCCAGUGCGAUAGGGUAAACUAAUUCCCCGACACCCUAAAGGGUCUGCUCUCUAGUGUGAUAGGUUAAACUAAUUGCUCUACAGUGUGAGAGGGUAAACCAAUUCCCCGACACCCAUAUGGGUCUGCUCUCCAGCGCGAAAGGUUAAACUAAUUGCUCUCCAGUGCGAGAAGGUAAACCAAUUGCUCUCCAGUGUGAAAGGGUAAACUAAAUCCCUGACACCCAUCUGGGAAAGCUUCCAAUGUAAGAAGGCCACAUAGUUUAAAAGAUCGAAUGCUUAAAUAUCAGUUAAGUAACAAAUGGUUAGGGAGCAGCAACCACUUUUACACUUAAUAGUUCGCUCAUCCUACACUUCAUCUUUAGCAACUCCGAUCUUGGCAGCUUCAUCCUUGACUGCUCCAUCUACGGCAACUGAGAAAUCAAACUCAAGCAGUUUCCUCAUUUUUGGCAAGCAGCCCAGACGUGGUAGCCCAAACUGUUGUCCAUGCCACGCCAUUUCCUCGGCCCAUGCCGAGCCAAUCCUUGGCUUCAAUCAAGCUGACAACAUAAACAAUGGCCCUUGCCACAUCACCUCAUUGGCCCAUGCCAAGCCGACUCCUGGCCCCUGCCAGCCGACGUGCCACACCACCCCCGACGGCUGCCCCGUGGUAGCACCUCCCAAGAAGAAGAUAAGGAGAAUUAAGUUUUCCUUACAUCGGUGCGGCGGAGAAAACAAAGAAAGCAACGAAAGACAGUCCUUCGCACGAACAAGAUGUAGAAGAUUGAAGCUUUCUCUCUCUUGUAGGGUAGAAUAAAUUGCUCUCCAAAGUUGAUUUAACAACCCACUUAAGGUGGACUUAAAUAGGCUUUGAGAAAAAUUUAUUUCCCUUUCCUAGAAGGAUCUAAUUUCACAUUAAAGAGGGAAUCAAGCAGUCCUAAGUUUCCUAGAGCAAGAAGAUCUCUACACCUGCUGCCCUUUCCUACGAGCAGCCCAGCAGGUGUGGGGGCAUUUGUGGAGCCAAAAAUAAUCACAAGGCGGCACGUGGAUUUUUUAGUAUAAGAGGACCAAACUACCCUUGAGGCGCACCGGGAUUGCUACAUGCGAGCAGCUAAAAAAUGCUCCAAAUAUUUAUUCCAAAAUUAUAUUAAUUGGUUAAUUAAUGGAUUAAUUACCCAAUUAAUCCAUUAAACAUCAAUUAAAACAUCCAAAUAACCACAACAUAUAUCCCACUCAAUCCCAAAACUAGUGAUUGACCGGCCACCCCCUUUCUCCCUAGCUUUUCACACUUUUCUCCAUUUUAUUACCCUAUUUACACAACUAUUCAAUUUUGUAACCUCCUAUUUAUUUCUUUUAUACUUAAUUAGCCAAUAAAUUGGCUAAUUAAGCUAAAACUAUAACCACCAAAACUCAUUAGUGGCCGGCCACACCUUGGGAAAAUUGGGCAAAGCCUAACCCUAUAAAUAGGCACCCAUUCUCACCAAAAAGCUAGGCCAACACUCUUGCAAAAAUCCCAAAAUUCUCUAAACACUCUUUCUCUCUCAAUUCUAACUUUGGCAUCGGAGGUUCUUUGGCCAAAGCCCCCCAUUCAUCGUGGGCGCGUGAGGCUUGUGGCCAUAACCAAAGGUGUUAUUUAUUUUGUAGGUGCAAUUUUGUCUAAGAUCAAGGAGGAAGAAAUUUGCAUCCACAUUCCACAGGAAUGUUAUGCAAAUCUUAGGCAGCUUGAAUCAUUAAGUUUGAGUUGGAAGAAGCUCCGUUGCCUGCUCUGCUAGUUGAGGAGUGUCACCAAAUUCGGCACUAUCAGCAACAUCAACACAUUUCACACACUCCCGCUUCCAAAACAUAUCACAAAAUCAAAAACCAAAUGAGAUUAUGUAGCAGAAAAGACAGAAAAAUAGAUUAAGAAAAGCAAUUAAUAUUAAAUAUAGAGGGUGAAUGAUGUUGUCCAAUAAAUAAGAUAGCUGUAUAUAUUUCUCGACCAUGAGAAAACAUCAAAUUAAUAGAGGCAUUAAUCCUAAGUUUGCCAUUCGUUAUUGCCGGAAUCAGGAGCUUUCUUUCAGAACCUUUUGACCAACGGGUCCUUGGUCUAAACUUGAUGACAUAUUGUAAAGUCCUCUUACAUACAAAUUAAUGAAAUAUUAAUUUAUUUCCAUGAGUUAUUUGAUUUUGCAAAUUCAAAAUAAUUGAAGAAUACUGAAAAUUACUAAACCCCAUCACAACAUCCCAUUAGUGAAAAAUCAAAGACAAAAGUAAAUUACUAUCUUUCUAAGCAUCCAAAGAUAGCAUACUCAAAAUACCAAAUUCAACUCCAAUGUCUUAAAAAAUUAAAAAACAAAUUAGCCAAAUUGGAAUAGUUAGAUCAAAUAAAGAUUUAAGUCAACCAAUUACACAAAAUAAUUCAUGCAAAGUAGGCUCCUAAGAAAAUAUACCACAAUGGUGGUGGAGGAGGCCAAGGCUUAAAUAGUGGAGGACAGCAACAUUUAAAUAUACCGCAGCAGCACGGAAUCCACAAACUGCAUAAUCAAAACCAAGGCAUACACAGAAGGGAAACCAGGAUCGGAAGUUGAUACCGAUGUUAGAUACCAAUUCCAGCCACUAGUUCAUCCUUAACUGGAAGCAAGAAUUGUAGGAAAUGGCGAGAAGGAGAAGAUGGAGUAUUUUUUGUAAAAUGAUUUUUUAUAUUUGAUUUCAUCUAUCCCCGUUCAACAAGAAAGAGAGAGCUUUAAUAGCACUAGCAACCUCCCCAAUGAAAGACCGUCACAUGGCAUACACAGCCUAAACUCUUAAACAACAGCACAAAAGAAAGGCAAAUUACACAACGACCCCAAAACAUUACAUUUCGACCCAAAACUUUGUUGCUUGUGAUCAAGGCAAUCACAGUACAUAACAGUCUAUGAUCCGAUUUUGCCGGCUCCGUCAGAGAUGCUGCCUGAGGAGGGCUUCGCUCUCAGAGAAUGAAGGAGGUAGGGUCUCGAAUUCUAAUUGUUUUCGAUUGAACCGAUAGUUCUGUAUAUCAAUUAAAUUUUGACUCUUUUGUGCAAUUUAGUUGAAAGUUGUUGGUUUUGAUUUGGCUUGAUCUUUCUGUUGCUGAGAAAUUGGGUGGAAAUUGUUGUUUUGAUUUUGUAGUUUUCAAGAAUUGCAUGCUUAGUGAUCAGUAAUCGUCUGGCUUUAUCGGAUAAGGAGAUAAAGCAAUUAGAUUUCAAAAUUUGGAUUUACAGUUCGUAUUUUGAGCCUGAAUUCAUGAAAACAAACGUAACCCAUUAUUUAUUAGCGAUUAAUGAUUUGAUCUUGCACCCAUGUUGUCUGCUUUCCAUUUCUCAUCUCUCUUGCCAUCUUCUCUGUAUUUUGGCUGCUUCUCUCUCCCGCACUCCUUUUUUUUUUUUUUUUUUUGAAUCUAGUGUCUCCUGGUCUUUAACCCGACUACUCACUAGGCCACCCGCCUGACCCCACAACAUUUGGUAGGCAAGAAACUCUAGCAAUUGCUAGGUCUAGGUGGGUACCUUGUGAGGUGUCGAACCCCAGACCUCUUGGUAACAAACCAAGGGCCUGACCAUUAGACUAAACACUCUUAGGUAAGAGACACUAAAGUAUAAAGUGAGAUAUCAGGGCACACGCCUUUAUAGAAACACUUGGUUUCAUUAAUCCAGAAUUUACUUUCUUCAUAGGUUUCAAAUGGAACUACUUAAUAUGUUGUUUUCGUAAUUCUUUUUGCUUUCAAAGUUUAUUGCUCAGUUGUGUUCGUAACCUCUGGGUUCUUACAGUUCUUUGUCUCUCUUACUUCAGAUUCUUUGCGUUUUUUAUCAUUCGUUUGUGAAGAAAUGGGUCGUACGAAGUGGUAGGGCUUUGAGGAAGGCACUUGCCACCAAGGUGCGUUUUGUUUGGGUUUCUGAUGUCAAGAAAAUUAGAAUUGAUAAUUGCAAGCGAUUUUUUCCAAGAAACAAUCAGAUUAUUGAAUCUAAGUUGCUAAUUGUUUAAUUUUGUAUAUGCUGCAAUUAAAUCAGCACCCGCAACUGGAGGAGUCAAGAAGCCUGACUGCUACCGCCCUGGAAUCGUCACUUCGGUAAGUUUUCAACACAAUAUAGUUCAAAUCCUCUGAAUCAUGUUCUUGAAUUCUAUAUGUAUCGUGUUCUUUGCAUUUCGUUAUCUGAAAUCUGUUCUUUGAAUUUGGUUACCGGAAUCAUGCCUAAUGUUUGAUGUGGCCAGUGGCUUUGUAUGGCUGGUUGGUGUGCAUUGGGAGUGUUUUUAGUUAAUGGCAGACAUAGGACAAAGGUGUGGGGCAGCGAAGUCAAGUGGGAAUAGGAAUUUAGGAUGGUACAGUUUUUGCUAAUUUAUGGGACUAGAAGUCUUCCUUUAUUUUUUGUCUUCGUGCGAUGAAAAAAAAUGGGUGAGUAAUUUGAACUCCAGUUUAAGAUAAUAACAUGUGAAUUUUUCGUAUUACUGUUUUUUCCCUUUCUAUUAAAAACAACCUUUGAUUUCUUUGAUAGUGCUUUUUUCUAUCUGUACUAUUGUUGAACUCCCCCAGUUAUCAGUUUUGGCUCAAAAAAAUUAUUUGAUGAUGACAUGCUGAAUUGAAUAUUGGCUAAAAUUAUAUUGAAAUUUGUAGCCCGAAGCAGAUAUCGUUAAAAGAGCUCUAAGUCACCCUCUGAAAUUAAUUGCCAUAAGUGAUGUUGUAAAUGGAAGCGUUGUCGAUGAGAAGGCAUUUUUUUUCGUUUCACUUUAUAUACUACGCUCACUAUCUGUUUAAUAUGUCUCAUCGUAUAAAUUAAAGUCUCAUUUCUCAGGUGCUUUCAAGUGACAACCCCAACUAUGGAUGCAUGCUGCCACUGGAAACUAUGAAAAUUUAAUAGUUGCUGGGAUCACUGAUGCAACUAAAGUGGGUUUCUUCAUCAAGUACUUCAUGAAUAGAAUAUUUCGGAGAUCCAAUUGCUGGGACAGAUUGAAGAAGGUGAAAAUCACAGGGGUGGAAUACUGGGGAGGGUGGUAGGGUUAUGGGGAGUGGGCUCUGGUUGGUUUCGGUUUGACCGAGGCCAUGGUUCGAUGGAAUCGAGGUGAUGAGGACGAUUCAUGAGGUCACAUCCACAAGAUAUAGGGCUUACACGUGGGGUUUAGGGGUUUCACGGGGAGGGUUACAGAGGGAGGGGGUGCACGCGUGAAUUGCAGAAGGGGAGGGAGAGAGGGAGAAAGAGGGGGAGUAGGGUUGCUAUAUUCAAGUUCUCUUUUUUAUUUUUACUUGAAUUUAAUUUGAUUUGAUUUGAUUUUUUUUUUUUUUUUUUUUUUUUUUUUGCUACAGGUUGAGAAUGCAAAAGCUCAGCUGGAGGUGGAGGUGAGAAUUUUAAUUUAAUUCAUGGUAUAUUGUUGUUUUUUUUUUUUUACUUUAUUUUUGUGGGAUUGUGCUGUUUUUGGGGAAAACAAUAUUAAAUUGAAGUAAAGUUUAGAUAUUUCUGUAAUUGGGAUUUAGAGUAAGAGAUGAAGAACUAAAUGUGAUUUCAAAAUUAAAAGUUUAGAACUUUUUUGGUUUGGAAGCUAAUUUUAAAUUCAGUUAGCUGAUUAAUUAAUGGAGAAAUGUAUAACGAAUGCGUGAUAUGUUUUUCGAUGCGUAUGAGCAGACAUGGGUACUGCUUCAGCGGCAACAGCUGCUACAUGAUGGUAGAUGAGGAAUUCUGAGAUGCUGAGUGCUCUUAGUUUAAGAGAUGAAGACUUGAUAAUGAUCGUUCCAAUUCUGCCUCAAGGUAUACUUGAUAAUGAUGUCGUUUAUGUGCAAUUCACUGUAUGAUGUUCGUGCCUUUAAUGGGCCUAUCGACAUAAUUCAAUGCACCCACCAAUUGGUUUUAUGAUCAUACAUCAUUCGUGAGAAAUGGGAUGGUGAGUUUCUCGAUACAGUUUUAAUUUUUGUGCGAAUAAUGUUUGUAAAAUGUCUGUUUUUAUUUAGUUCAUUGCAGAUUCUUAUUCCUUUAUUUAGUUCACCAUAUUCUUACUCUUUUAUUUAGUUCACCAUUCAUGCUUUUAAAGAUAACAAGUGCAUGGCUCUCUCAGAUGUUAGUUUUGGGUGGCAAUUGAAAGAUACAAGGAUAAACAAAAAUACUUACCAAUUGAAAGGAUAAAUUCAAUUGAAAAUAUUUGGUUCAUCAAUUAUUAUAGUAUGAGCUUUUUGCAUUAAAUGUCCUGUUUUCGGGGAGAGUGAUUCAUGUAAUUGGGUUUUAUUAAUUUUUUCAUGAUUUUAUGCAGUUUUUCGUUUAAAUUUGUGGAUUCUGAAGCACUUUUAUGAGUGUUAAUUUCUGUUUGUAUGUCUAAAAUCUGUUUGGAAUUUGGCUGUUUCUUCAAUUUCAUCACCACCCAUUCUCACAACUUCAUCUAAAGUGUUUUGCAUGUAUAAGAUUCGUGUUCAUGGAGGUCAUUUCAAACGGAUUUCAAGCUGAGCUGCAGAAAUUUGAUUCAAAUUGAUGGAUUUGGGUAAGAAACUAAGAAACCAUAAUCUUUUCUUUCGGUUUUAAGAGCUGAAUUUGAUGGUUAAGUUUAUGUUUUAAGAUUAUCUUCCUUUCUCCUAAAUACUGAGUUUUAUGAGAUUACAUUUGGCAAGUCUGAAAACGGAUUAGAAAUACUGAGUUUUAUGAGAUCUAUUUGGCAAGAUUAUCUUCCUUUCUCCUAAAUACUGAGUUUUAUGAGAUCUAUUUGGCAAGUUUGAAAGUGGAUUGCGUAUGUUUAUAUCUUCCUUUCUUCUAAAUACUGAGUUUUAUGAGAUCACACCAUCUUAUGUUUAUUAUAUAAUCUUAUGCAAUCAGAAGAAUUAUCAUAUUUUUCUUUUUAGAUUUCAACAUAUUUGGAAAUACUUCAAAUUUUUUGUAGUGCAGUUUGUAGUUAACAUGAUUACGUGAGUUCUGUUUCUUUAGUAAAUUUUUAUGCAGGAAAGAAAGUCAUUUCUCAGUUUGUAGUUAACAUGAUUACAUAAGUUCUGCUUAUCUUAUUGGCCUUAUUCACUCAUGUGUUGUUCUGUUCAUUCAUGAUUGUGUUAAAUUUAUUUAGGUUAAAUGUGUCUUAUUCAUGCAGUUACGCAUGAAACAGUUGUUCCCGCCGCAAUGUGCGGGUUUAUUUUCUAGUUCCAAUCUAAACCUAGAGACGAAACGAGGCCAUGUAUUACAAAGACAAAAAUUCUAAAACAGCCUUUGCUCAGAGAAUAAAAAAAGCCAUGCAGUGAGAACAUCUAAGGGAAACGAGUUGAUCCUCAAUAAACACCUCAAUAGAAUGACAUAUCUUUGUUAAAGCAUCUGCCACAAAAUUAGCUUUAUCUAAAACAUGAUAGAAGCUGAUAUGAUCAAGCAUCCCAUGUUUGCCCAAGAGAAACCGAUUUGAGCCGCAUCUGCUCCAAAUAUCUCAGGCAAACAGUCAGCUGACAAAAUGCGGUCAAUGGCUUCAACAUCUUGAGAAUAAAAGGCACAACUAGGAUCAAUUGGUUGUACUUUAUAUAGGGAUAAGAAUUGAGUUACCUCUUUUACAAAUGUUACUUAUUCAUUCCGGCCGUUAUAUGGUACAACACUGAACAGAGAGUACAACUUUUCCGGCCUCUAAGUCCGGAACCCUUCCAAACAUUGGACACUAGAAUACCAAAAUAAUGCAAUAAGAUACAACAGUACAAUACAAUAUAGUUGAAAACAAUCCAUCUAAGAUAGUACAGGCUCAAUCAGAUGAAUCAAAGGAGCCCUAGUGUUCAAGCUUCCAUCUUUGCGGUAAACUUAAGUGGUGGCUUCAAGAAAUGGAUAAUCAGUGUAACCAAUGACGGGAUCAGGUGUGUAGAAUGUCUCUCUGUUGUAUUUGUUUAGAGGAGCAUUAAGUUCAAAUCUCUUUGGCAAAUCCGGAUUCGCCAAGAAAAUACGGCCAUAAGCAAUAAGAUCUGCACGGCCCUCGGCCACAGCUCUGUUUCCAUCUUCCCUGUCAUAACCACCAGCAGCAAUGAAGGUACCAUGGAAAGCCUUUCUCAUGGGAAGAAGACUCUGGUGGGUUUCAGCUAUUUCUCCAACUGCCUUCAUCCUCGGCUCAACCAUCAUGUGGCAGUACACGAUUCCAUAUUUGUUCAAGGCAUUGGCCAUAUAGAGUCCUAAUUCUUUUGGAUUUGAAUCCCCUGCGUCCAUAAAGUCAGCAAAUGGACCUAAUCUAAUUCCAACUUUAUCUGCUCCUAUUUCGUUAACGACAGCUUCAACAACUUCCAGAGGAAGGCGGCAACGAUUCUCUAGAGAUCCACCAUAUUGGUCUGUUCGAUCAUUCACAUGAUCUUUCAGAAAUUGAUCAAGAAGGUAGCCAUGCGCCCCAUGAAUUUCAACUCCAUCGAAGCCUAUAUUAACAGAUUAACAAUUUCAACAUACUGACGGUAUUAGAACCUUAAGCAUUGUCGCUGAAUUACCAAAAAAUUCAAUAACGAGAUGUGAGGGGGCUUGCAGCUUUUUACUCCACCCCACCAGCACCACCCACCACCCACACCCACCCCCCUUCCCCUCUUCCUCCUCCUCCUCCCCCAAGGCCAGAGUUUGAAGAAUCCCCCUCCCAUCUCUAACUACAUUUCGCUGAUCAAACACAAUUUAUUUUGCAUAAGAUUUGAAGCAAAUUGAGUUGUUGUAAAUUAUGUUUCAUAUGUAACGUAAAGACAAAUUACCAGCUUCAAUAGAAUUCCUUGCAGCAAGUCUAAAAUCAUUGACAAUUUGUGGAAUUUCAUCUGUCCUUAAUCGUCUUGGAGGCGUGAAUUCAGAAGCAUCGAUGCCAUUUAAUCGUAUCGGCUUGUCAGUAGAAGAUAUUGGAGCUUGCCCAUUUGGUUGAUAACCUGUAAGCAAGGAGGGAAAGAAUUACAAACUGAAGUCUAACAACAGUAACUAACAUCCACAGCAGCACUCUUUUAAGUGGGAAUCCUUUGUUACAAAUUACUAUAAAAUUUGUUAACAUCAAACUUCUUCCCAUCCAAUAAUAAUAAUAACAAUGCUUCUGAAACAGCAAGGUCAUAAAAGUGGUGUCUUCUUAUGAGUUAUGUUAAAAACACCAACUCGGAACUUAGCAAGUCCAAGUUUUAUCGUCAUUUGAGCAACAAACAAUGUUGUCAAUUAUAAUCACUCGCUCGUUCUGAUGCAUACACCAUUAUGUUAUACAUCAAACUUCUUAAUCGGUCUAAUUAUUCACUCAUGUUAACACAGCAUUCUAUGGUAAAAGUGAGGUCAUAAAGGUGUAAGUCAGAAACGCACCGCUAUUAGAAACCCUUCCAACAUGCCAAAUCUGACAGAAGAAGACGCCACCUUCAGCAUGAACAGCAUCAACAAUGGGUUUCCAGGCUUCAACUUGCUCCUUUGUCCAUAUACCAGGUGUGUUCGGGUACCUUCGUUUAUUAAAGAACCAAAAAUUUCAUCAAACUUUGAAACGAAAGAAGCACCCUCAAAUGUUUGUUAGUCUAUAAAUCUACUGUUGUUGAAAAUACCCUUGAGCUGUGUCGGAAACUCCGGUGGCUUCGGCUAUGAGAAGACCCCCGUUCGACGUUCUCUGAGAGUAAUAUAAGAUAGCAUGUGGUUGAGGAACAUUGUUGUAUGAUCUCUGUCUGGUCAAUGGUGCUAAAAUAAUUCUGGAAAGGAAAAAGAACUUGUAAUUAUAAAUACAGAGUGAUCAAGACGGAAUGUGGCUGAGGAACAUUAUCGAAUGAUCUGUAUCUAGUCAUCAACGGUGAAAAUACAAUUCUAAAGAGGAAAAACAUACAAUAAACCAUAAAUACAACCUUCAGACUUUGUAGGAAGGAUUAGUUUGCUAAGGCUCCUUUGAUAACAAAUUCGCUUAUAGUUUUCUUGUUUUAGUUAAAAAGGAUAAACGACGGAGGAAGAAGGAAUUUGGGACGAAAAUGUGUGAAAUAAAAACUCGAAUUGUAGAUUAUCUGAAUAUGCUUUUUGUCCUUCGUUUUCGGUAUCAUUCCAUGCACGUUUAGUCCCUCAUCCAUCCCUUUCCCUUCCUCCUCCUCCUCCUCCUCUUCUAUCAUGCAUUUUCUCUAUCUAUCACUUAAAAUUAAAAACUAAAAAUCAAAUACGAAAUCGUUACCAAACACAACUUGAACAAAGCAAUGUCUUACGAAGUGACCAUGGCCGAAAGGACACAUACUUUUAACGAUCAGUUGCAUCUAUUUUCAACAAUUAAUCAAUGAAAUAACUCAAGUGUGCUAGUGUUUUGAUUUAAUUUGUAACAUCUGUACUAUUUUAUAGACAAAGAUAGAGUUACAAGGACACUUCUUGUCUCCUUCCCAACAUUUGUACUAUUUUAUAGACAAAGAUAUAGUUACAAAAACUACUUGUCUCCUUCCCCAAAUCAUUCUUCGGGAAGAGAUUGUCAAAGAUCAACACCAGCCCAUUAAGAUCAGUCGGUACAAAGGAACUAGAUUGGUCUAGUUCAAACAUGCAUGGUUUUCUCUAGAAGAUUCUAUAAUGGGAAUAUGCUAGAAAACUCUAGCAAAGAAGGUUGUUCCUUAAGUUGGUGGAAGAUUCUAGAAGAAUGGUGAGGUUUCCACCAACAUGCAAGAUUAGUGUAGAUAAUUCUAGCUUGGGAAGUUAGUAGAAUUAUCUAGAUAACUCUAGCAUGAUAUUUCCAUGCUUCUCCAAGGUUCCAUCCAUGCCUAUAAAAUGAGAAGGCAUCCACACCAUUUGUAUCAACCAAGUAACCAAGUAACCAACCAAGCAAUCAAGAAUGCAACCAAGUGAGAGUGAGAAGCAAGAAUAGUCUUGUAGGAGUGUGAGUGAUCUAGAGUUUGUCUCUAGAAAGUGAGUGAGUGUCAUUGCUUCUAAAGUUGUGUCUUUGAGUGUUUUGAGUGUUGUAAUAUUUUGUGUGUGUAGUACAAGUAAUUUGUUUACUUGUGUUGUCUCUCCAACACUUGUGUUAGACUUGUGUACUCUAAGUUCUUAUCAACAAUUGGUAUCAGAGCGGUACGAUCAGGGACCGUCUCUAGUGAAGUUUUUUUAGAAUCGUUAGAAGUUUACUACUUCACAAGAUUAUUCGUUAAGCUUGUUCGGUUUAUCGAAGUUCUGCCGACACGAUGGGAGAUCUUCAAGUUGUUGAAGGAAUCAAGAAGUUGAACAACAAAAAUUACAACACAUGGGCGACAUGUAUGGAGUCUUACCUACAAGGCCAAGAUCUUUGGGAUGCUGUCGGCGGUAAUGAAGUUAUGCAGCCGGAAGAAGACUCUAGUGGCAUUUUGAGGAAGUGGAAGAUCAAGGCAGGUAAGGCCAUGUUUGCCUUAAAAACCACAGUUGAAGAUGACAUGUUAGAGCACAUACGGAAGGCUAAGACACCAAAAGAAGCGUGGGACACCUUCGCCACACUCUUUUCAAAGAAGAAUGAUACAAGACUGCAACUUCUCGAGAAUGAGCUACUAUCGAUGGCCCAACGAGACAUGACGAUUGCUGAAUAUUUCCACAAGGUAAAGGCUAUUUGUCGUGAAAUUUCUGAGUUAGAUCCUAGUGCUGCCAUUGUACAAUCCAGGAUAAAAAGAAUAAUUAUCGAUGGAUUGAGACCCGAAUAUUGAGGCUUCGUUGCCGCUGUACAAGGAUGGCCGACCCAACCAUCACUUGUUGAGUUCGAGAAUUUGCUUGCCGAUCAAGAAGCUUUGGCAAAGCAAAUGGGAGGGGUCUCGUUAAAAGGUGAAGAGGAAGCGCUCUACACCAAAAGUAAAGGCAGUUUUAAGCAGCGUGCUCGUGGUGGAUCUAAAAUAAAUGGUGACAAGGCGAAAUGUCAUCAAGGAGGAGGGAGUUCUCGACCAGGGGGAGCUCCGAAGUAUCACGGCAACCAUGGUCAGUCCCAGAAUAAUAAAAGGUUUGAGGGCAAGUCUACAAUUGUGGAAAGAAGGGCCACAUGGCAAAGGAUUGCUGGUUCAAAAAACCCGCAGAAAGUAACGUCACCAACUCAGAGAAGAAAAGUGAAGAUGAUUGGGACGCCGUAGCAUAUCUAGCUAUGGAGGAAGAAUGGGACGCUGAAGCAUCUUCUUGGUGGUGCUCAGAAAAUGAGGUGUUCCCUGACUCAAGAGAGAUUGAGGAUACGUUGCAGGAGGAAAUGGGAGACCGAGCUGCCCAAACCCAAACGAGUCUAGAUGAGCUCGAGGAAUUGCUUGAUGGUGACGAUGUCAAGCAAGAAGUACCUAAGAGUCAUUGGCAAACUGAAGAAGUUAGACCUAGUGAAGUGGAAGUAUCAUUUCCACGAUCAUAACUAAGUAGGUCAACGGGAAUAACGAAGUCAAAUCCCAAAUGCGCCAACGCAACCAUAGUAGAAGAAGCAGUUGAAGCUAAGAUGCGUAUAGAAGCAUCACAAAAUUCUAAAUGGCGUAAAGCUAGAAGAAGAGGUCGCUGCGUUAAAGAAAUAUCAAACUCGGGAUCCAGUGGUAAGGCCAAGAGAUGUGAAACCCAUAUCAUGCAAAUAGGUGUUCAAGAUAAAGUGUCGACUGAGCGAGAAGAAAAGAAUGAGCUGGUGUUGAGGGGGAGUGUUAAAGAUCAACACCAGCCUAUUAAGAUCAGUCGGUACAAAGGAACUAGAUUGGUCUAGUUCAAACAUGCAUGGUUUUCUCUAGAAGAUUCUAUAAUGGGAAUAUGCUAGAAAACUCUAGCAAAGAAGGUUGUUCCUUAAGUUGGUGGAAGAUUCUAGAAGAAUUGUGAGGUUUCCACCAACAUGCAAGAUUAGUGUAGAUAAUUCUAGCUUGGGAAGUUAGUAGAAUUAUCUAGAUAACUCUAGCAUGAUAUUUCCAUGCUUCUCCAAGGUUCCAUCCAUGCCUAUAAAAUGAGAAGGCAUCCACACCAUUUGUAUCAACCAAGUAACCAAGUAACCAACCAAGCAAUCAAGAAUGCAACCAAGUGAGAGUGAGAAGCAAGAAUAGUCUUGUAGGAGUGUGAGUGAUCUAGAGUUUGUCUCUAGAAAGUGAGUGAGUGUCAUUGCUUCUAAAGUUGUGUCUUUGAGUGUUUUGAGUGUUGUAAUAUUUUGUGUGUGUAAUACAAGUAAUUUGUUUACUUGUGUUGUCUCUCCAACACUUGUGUUAGAGUUGUGUACUCUAAGUUCUUAUCAACAGAGAUUUGGUCCUUCCCAACAUUUGGACUAUUUUAUAGACAAAGAUACAGUUACAAACACUCCUUGUCCCCUUCCCCAAAUCAUUCUUCAGGAAGAGAUUCGAUCCGAAUCUCUCCAAUUAAGUGAUCUAGGCCGUUGAAAUUCAAUCAAACGACUACAAUUAUUAUAACUUUUAGAGAGGCUUCCUGUUUGUAGUCGUUAAAUCAAAUUUCAACGGUCCGAAUCACUUGAUCUUGGGCCUUUGAUGGGAGAGAUCCGGACCGAAUCUCUUUCCUUUUUUGUAUAGCUAUAUUUCACACGCACACAUGAAUAAACUACACAGUACGCUAAACUUGAAUAUAGACAAGCAGUAAUUUCAUCUUCUAUUUUUCCUGUUAACCAAAAGCUAUCUGCAGACCUAGCUACUCUUUGAAUCCAAGUUCGGAUCUCCUCUCAUAGUUUUUACCAAGGUUCUAAAAGACGCUAGGCGCUAGUCGGGUGGCGGGCUGGGGCCUAGCGCAUAGGCGGACUAGGCGGAUUUAAGUAAAUCUAUUAUAUUUUGUGUAAAUAAGUGUCUGUUUAUACUUAAAAUAUAUAUAAUUUUAUCAUAAACUACAAAAUAGAAUGACAUAUAUAUUAUGAAGUAUUGGACAUAAUGAAAACAUGAGGAACAAGUAUAUAAUGUGUGUUCAUUUAAGUAUUCAACAAGUCUUUACAAUUUAUUGAAAAAAUAAAUAAAAUACAAAAUGCAAGUUAUCUAAUUUUUGUCUAAGUGAGUUGCAACCUAGUCGGUGCUUAGGUGGGUCUGGACAGGCUACGCGGGUGCCUUAGCAGAUCUAGGCGACAUUUUUUAAUUUUCAAACGCCUAAGCAUUAAUUGGGGGCAGUGGUCAGCGGGGCUUGGCGGAAAUUUUUAGAACAAUGAUUUUUACAACAUCAUAUUAAAAUAACGCCCGAAUCAAAAUAAAUUAAACAAUUACAUGACAGAGAAAUUUAGAAAAGUAAACAAAUAGGAACAAUGUAUGAAAGUUUUAAGUACCUAUGAGAAAGAUUGAAGUUUCCCAAUUUGUAGGGAGUGAGGAGAGGAAUUGUGGGAGGUUGAGCAGCAGCAGACAUCUCAGAAUUCGAGUUGGUCGUCUGCCACCUGAUUUUGUACUUGGCCUUUUAUACUGGAUUCUGGGAUGAAGGAAGGAACGAAGGAACGAAGGAAUGAAUACAGGACCCGAUUGGGUCUUUGUACGUUCAGUAGACGCUUAAAAGUCCGCCCUGCAGCUUUCCUCCACAAAAGUUAGAGAUGGCUGGGUCCCACAUCUCCCCUCCCUUGUAUGGAAUGGAAGGCUGAAAGCUGUGGUGGUGGUGGCGGCGGCGGCGGACGUCGAUGGCUGGGUCUGUAAUUACGUUUACGUGUGUCGAAAAUUCACCAGUUUUCCCCAUGAAAAAGGACGUCCACGGAAUGCGGGUGUAAUGCUAGCCGCAUGUUCAUUUCGAUUUAGCUUUUUCAUGCUGCAUUAUUAGGCCAUGGUUUGAAUAGUAUAUUGUUUAGGUCCUUAAGGCCCUCUCAAACUAGAAGGGUUAAAAACAUAAUCCCAUCUAGAAUUAUAACUUUUAAAAAAAAAAUAGUUUUAAAUUAACAAUAUCAAAUUAUAUUCAUAUAUUAUCUUCAAUCAAAUGAGCUAAACAUAACCCAUCAAUUUUCGAUGGAUAGCAAGGUUAUAAUUCCAUGGAGCUCAUCAAGUCAUCAUUUGGCUAAAUGAGCAUUAGGCUGGCCAAAUGUAGCCACCCUCUUAGCCCUUUUUUGGGGCUCAGCUCCUGCAUUAUUUGAGUCAAAUUCAACAGCUAUGUUUGAAAACAUCCAAUGAAAAUUUAAUUAAAUUAACCAAUAAAUUUAAUAUAUAAACUUAAAACUAAAUAAUUGUUGAGAGGGUUAUGUUUAGCCACUUUAAUGACGACAUAUAUGUAUACCUGAUACUGUUCAGUCAUUUUGGUUAGAGAUGCCCUAAGGUCAUAAUUUUGAGGAUGUGUGAGACUAAAUGCAUAUUAGUUUAGAUUGCUUGAAAUAUUUGACAACUUAAUAAAGAAAAACCAACUUAAAAUUCAUGAACCAUCACAAAACUCUUUUUUUUUUUUAUCAAGUUGUCAAAUAUUUAAGAUUUUGGAUACAAACUAAAAUAAUCUUAUGGUUAAUAUGCAUCUGAUGCCCACAAAUCUUCAAAAUGAGGGCCAUAAUUAAUCAAUGAAUUUGUGACAAAUUAAAUAGUCUAGAAAUAAAAGGCUCCAAUCAAGUAGCAUUGCACAAUUAAAAAGGAAAAUGACAAGGUUGCUAGCUUUUUGCAAAAAAUAUGUUAUGUAGGUUCUCUAAUGAGUGCUUUUAACACAAUGGACAUACCCACUAUCGUGUAAAACUUUUCUCGAGAAAUAAAGUUAAGAUUUAUUUAGAUCUGUUACAUAGAAGUUUCUCUUUUGGAUCACUGUUUUUCUAUAAUCGUAAUUUUUUAGGCAUAUAGAUUCAUUGUAAGGAUGAAUUACGUUUUUUUUUUAGUUUGACAGGUUUCAAUUUUGAUCCAUGUCAUUUUCAAUUGGUCAAAUUUAAACUUUGUCAUACAUAACAUAAUUUUAUACCGACACCCCUUUUUGACCAAAAUAGGUUGCGUGGAAUAUUCUAACAAAAAAAAAUCACGUUUGUAAGUAGUGUAUUCUUCUAGUGGUUCAAACCAUUUUCCUUUCCUUAUUGUAAUUUUUAAAGUAAGAAUAACGUUGUAUUCAACAAACAAUAAAGUCCUUGUGCACAUCAAGUAGAAUCAUGAAAGAAAAAAAGGAAGAGAAAAAUUUGCCUACAACGGACACUACUACAAUAACAUUUUUACCAGGGGUUAAUUGGAGCCCAAUAUAACAUUCUAGCAUUAACAAGAGAUGAUCAGGAAUAGAGAUUUAUAUCAUCCUUGAAUCUCAAACGUAGAAUUAUCAUAACUUACAACUUUUAUUGUAUGGAUAAUACUUGCAUUCAUUUCUUAAAAGGAUGAACUUAUUUCCUCCAUGUAAGUAAUGUACAUUUAUCGUCCAAAGUUCAUAAUCAAAACCGUUCAAAUUAUUAAUCUGCAUACCCUUACAAAAGAAUUGGAGAUCAUUUAGUUAUUCAAAUGUAUAGAACAAAUCAAAGAUGUAGGUAUCAAUGACACACCCCGACCCGGAAGGUCCAUAAGGACUCUGAAUCGAGUUAUGCUGACCGACACCUGGAAGGUGAUAAAGCUAUAAAGUGUGAUGAUGUGGAAAAAUAUGAAUAAAUUUGAACUUAAGAGUGCCUAAAUACCAAAGUGCGCUGGUGAGCGGGAAUGAAUCCACUUCACACGUGACCUUAGAGCAUAAGUAAGUAUAGUAGAGUGGAUAAGGAUUAUAACCUCAGAAGUAGCCACCUAUAUUGAGAUUUGCCCAGAAUCCUCGUCGAUACGAACAUUCAGCAAUUAAAACCUGGAGGGGCGCAAAAUAGAAAGUGUGAGUGGGCAAAAACAAAGCUUUACAAAACCAUUUCACUUAUCAAAAGUAAUAAUCUCUCGCCGUAAAGCCUGAAUAAUUUCCCAGAAAAUAGAAUAUUCUAUAUCGAAACCAUACUCGGAAUAGCAAAAUCCACACGUAUGCCAUGCCUAAAAUCUCAACAUAAUGAAAUAAGUAAACCAGGUGAAAUAAAUCCAUGAAAAGUAAUAUGUCAGCCGGAUCCACCUAUUGUGGCAUGUACGACUGAACCUAUAGCUCAACCAAUAUCCAAGUAACAUGUCAACAUGAUCCACCUCUUGUGGCCUAUACGGCUGAACCCAGAGCUCAUCACACAUCCAAGUAAUAUGUCAACCGGAUCCACCUCUUGUGGCCGAAUCCACCUCUUGUGGCCUGUACGACUGAACCUAUAACUCAACCAAUAUCCAAGUAAUAUGUCAACCGGAUCCACCUCUUGUGGCCUGUACGGCUGAACCCAUAGCUCAUCACAUAUCCAAGUACUAUGUCAGCCAGAUCCACUUCUAGUGGCAUGUACGGCUAUGUCAGUCGGAUCAACCUCUUAUGGCAUGUACAACUGAACCCAUAGCUCAUCACAUAUCCAAGUAAUAUGUCAGUCGGAUCCACCUCUUGUGGCUUGUACGGCUGAACCCAUAGCUCAUCACAUAUCCAAGUAAUAUGUCAGUCGGAUCCACCUCUUGUGGCCUGUACGAUAGGACUGGGUGUAAAUAAAUACGCUCAAGUGCUACGAUCACGUGAAGACUGUGCGAAUAAUCGCAGGUCAACUACAAGUCGGAACCACCUAUAGUGGUCUGUAUGACAGGAUUGUGUAACUACCUUGGAUCCAAAGUGAGCGUAAGGUGCGGGAGGUGAACAUCACGCAAAGGACUGUGCCUUAGCCACGGUCGGGAGCACUAACACCGGGGUGCAGGUUUAUUAGCUCUAAUUGCAUCUAUUAUAACAUGUACGACUCAUGGACAACAUGUACAACAGUGUUGGAGUUGCCUAUCAUUGCAACUUGUACGAUAAGGUCGGAGUUGCCUAAAACAUACAUGUAGUCAUGCCAUAACUUCAUCAUUUCAACUAAUACCAUAAACUCACCUGAACUUACCUAGGUCUUCUGCGUUCACCUUUGCACUUCAAAGCGUUCACAAUAAUUAUGUGCAAGUAAUAUACAUAUGGAUAUACCAUGAUAUAAUCUAAUACUCAACCAUGUCAUAGCAUUUUCAAUUAUAUACAUAUAUAUAAUAUGGCAUAAAAUGCAUAAGCUGUAACACCCUACUCACAAACUAUUUAUUUUCGGGAAUAAUUAUCGGUGAUAAGCCCAAUUAGACACUAGUUUAAUUAACUAUCAUUACUUACGUUUCCUUACUUCAAUUUCUUGAUUCUUCACACAUUGAUUUAUGAACAACAUUUAACCACCAAAUCAUAAGGUUAAAUCUAAAAUUUUCCACCAAUCUCCUUCACAUUGCUCAAUUCCCCAAAUAAGGCUAUUGUCACAAUUAUUUAGUCUCAUUUAUUGUAUGGUUGCAUCUAACGUCUCGUUAGAUUGCCUAUGUAUCCUAAAUAGGGAUCAAGCCAUUUGUAGUUCACACUAGUACUUCAAAGCAUUCACAGUAAUUAUAUGUAGGUAAUAUGCAUCAAUCAAUUUAAAAACGUUUAUGAUAAUUUACUGAAAAAAGACAUCCCUACGUAAUUCACUCCGGAAGAUCUGCAUCACGGAUUUCUGAUCCGUUACUUCCAAAUAUUCACAUUAUGUUCCUAGAACCACGUCCUAAUAUUUCAUUAUGAUCCAACGGUCGGAUCUCCGCCAAUUGCCAAAACCAAGUGGCGGUCAACAUUUUAUUUUAUGAACUUACAAAUCCAAUUCGGGAAGAUCUGUACUUCGGAUUCCCAAUCCGUAAGUUUCUAUGGUCCUCAUAUAUUACGUACUAUAAUGUGUUAAAGUUUGGUGACGAUCAAACAGUUGGAUCGUCGAUUCACACUUUUACCAAGUAACCUGACAUAGAGAAUUUAGGUUCCAACCAUCAACCUAAGUCAUACAGUUACCAAGAAUAAACUCAAGGUAUCUAAUUUAUCCUAAGAAUGACAUCGACGGCCCCCUGGCCACACGCCGCCGUGGGUGGCGGUCGGUCGCCCCAACUCGCUGGAAAAUCCAACUAUUUCUAAAAAUUACCAAAUUUUACAUAAAUGAAUAUUUCAAUGAGUAGAAUAAGUUUUAUACCUAUGACUAAGUCCAAUUUAACCGGGAAAGGCUCCAAUUUCACUCAAACCGCCGAAAACCCUAAGAUAGGUAUUCUUCGAUUCGACUUCCUCCAUGUUCCAACACCCCUACAACUUCUUGGGUCUUGUUCCUGGGUCCAAGAGGAGUUGAUUAAGGGUGGUGGUGGGUGGCGAAACUCGUCAGAUCGAAGGAAUCACCGCCGAACACCUCCGGUUCUCCGGUGAUGUUCUUUGCGUUUUUUGGCCUAAAACUCUUCAAUCUUGAGCGAAGAUGGAAGAAGAAAGUUUGGGGAAGAUGUUGCAGGUGGUGAAUAUGGUGUUCCACGAAACAAAAUGGCAGAAAUUGGCUGGAUUUUGACCGGUUUGGUUGUGCGGGUGCACUGCCCGACGGGAAGAUUUCUUCUUUUUUUUUUUUCCUUCUCCCUUCCUGAUUGGUUCUCAUUUUCCUCUCUUAAAAUUGAUUGGUUACCACUCCCACACGGUGGGAGUUUGAAUUAAUUUAUAACUAAACUUUAAAUAACCAAUUUCAAAUGUCUAUAACUAUACCGAUAUAAUCCGAACUCGCAAACGGCUUUCGCCUAUGCAUUCGUACCAACGAGUACUACACAAAUGCGCUAAGUGAAUAAGUCAUACGUUUCUCUACACGUUGGUCAAUGAAAGUCAAAACCUUCACCUCUAGGGUAUUUUCGUAAAUUCAUUAUUUUAAAACUUAUAAAAUCGUAGAACUAGGGACGAGUUGUCACAAUAUACCCACCUUAAAAAAAUUUCGUCCCCGAAAUUUGAAAUCAUUAGCUAAAGAUAAUGUACUUCAGAAGAUAGGAAAAAGUAUAUAUAUAUAUACACACACACAUAUAUACACACAUAUAUGGACGGAGGAAAUCAAGAUAGAGCGGUUGCAUAACAGAGAAUGUCAUUCUGUCGCGAUUAGAGUGCAGUAAUUCCUCUUUCGUGCCUCCAAACUUAAACUUCCUUCUCCUUUAGUACAGUACUAAAAUAUACAGUCCUUUAUAAAACAUAAGGUAGAAAACUAGAUGAAUAACAACGUAAUGUCGAAGCACGUAUAUAAUAAAGUGAAGUUAAAAUAGUUGUACUGAAAACCACACCAAAAGUAGAAAACUUCACCUACACACCCACAUGGGUCACGUGCCUCAAAGAUGAGUGUGUGCUAUCUUUGGGUCAAGCCCAAACAAUAAUUAAAUAACUAAACGUAGACGGACCUAGAUGUCUACUUGUUCAACAAAUUCAACACUUAAGUUUUCAAUAUUACGGUCAGUAGCUCGUAAUACCAACAAUUCACUAUUGUCCUGAUAAGUAAGUAACAGAUUCCUGAGGGUGCAAUAUUACCAUCAUGCCCCCCAAUGGGAAAAUACGCAUAAAUCAUCUGAUCCAAGUCUUGAUCGUGUUCACAUACUACCCUUACGGGUAACAUCAACAAAUAUCAUAAUUUUCUAUAUCAUAUUCUCGAUCAUUCAACUAUGGAUAAAAUUUUCGGUCAUGUGCCAUAGAUAAAAUUUUCAUAGUACGCUUUAACAAUGCCAUACUCGAAACCAAAAAUUGUAACCGUAGUUACAACCAACUAAAAAAAAAACUAUUUAUUACAACAUACAUACCACAUAACUCAACAAUGCAAUUCAUAACACCAUAAUGAGCAGAUUCCUAUUGAAUUUCUUUCGAAUUUAGCGAAAAUUAUGUCAAGAAGGCUAACAUAAUACUCGAGAAUUUGAGGGUCAAAUAAGUCCAUCAAAUUUUAAAUACAAGGUAAUUGAAAUUAAUGUAUAACAUCUCGUUACAACGGUAACUUCUGGAACAUUUAAUCACCAAUGGUUAAGAUUCAUUUAGUAGAGUGUUUGUUGGGUGAUUGAGAAUUUAAUGUUCACGACUAAAUGUCAAUGUCCUAUCAAUCCUCUAGACAAUUUGCUUAAUUCAAAAAUAAUACCAAGUGGUCAAAAUUGUAGUCCCUCUGGACCAAUGAAAAAAAAAAGUUGACUUGUCAAGUCGAUUUGACUUGUCAAGUCGAUCUAUAAACAUCGAAACAUCAUCAUCAUCAUCACUACAUGUACAAGAUACCUCGUUCCAAAGGUGUAUGAUGAUAUUUCUCAACUCCCUUCAUAUACAAGAAGUGAUUAUGACCAUUCAAACCCUUUCUUGAUAUUUCGCAAGUAACAUCAAAACAAUACAUGUGAAUUCCAACUGAGGCAGAAUAGGACAGGCCGAAAGUGUUCAAGUAUACAUAAAUCUUUUGCUGCAUUUAAUAGUAAUACAUUUGCAUAAUCGUGAUAAUCAUAAAAUUUGAUUUAGUUCUUCCACUACCGUUGUUUGAAUUUAACUUAUUUCAAAUGAGAAUAUAUUUGAGAAGUCCAAGAUUGAUAAAGGUCUCUAACACAUUUCUCCACCAGGAAGUAUCAUUCAGUUUUUCAAAUAAAGAUAAUAACACCUUACUCUAGUCAUGAAUAAGAUGGUUCAUUUCGAACGAUUUUAACCGUUGGAAAGUCUAAGCGAUUCAUUGUCAUGUUACCUCCCCCACAAUUAAAAUACCUAAAGAACACGUCAUUAUGGAUUUCCAAAUGAUCAAUGUCAUCAAAAGAUGUAAAGAAAAGGUAUGGUGAGACAACAGUUCUUUGUUAGAAACUUUAUUAAUAUUCAACAUCUCAACUAAAUUGACCUUCCUCGGUUGGUAUGUGAAGAAAAACACCACAGCUGAGAAAUUGCUAACAAUUUGUCGAUAAAAUCGACAAGACGAAAGAUAUCUUGAAAUUCACAAUACCUUAUGAGAAUUCCAACUUUCUUCCGCAACUACCCUUGGAGAAAAGAAAAGAAUAUCAUUGAGAAUCACAUCUCCUAAGAGAAGUACCAAUUUACACAAAGGUAAUAUUUGAGGAAUAUUAUGUGAAGCUAACUGUUGAUAAUUGGAGAAUUUAAUCUCGUUAAUAGAAUAUGUAAGAUAGUCAUCUACAAGACUAUUAUGAAUUUAUCAAACUACACAAGGAAACUUGAGUUACAAAGAUUGGUUGAUAAGAAAUAAGGAGAAUAAAUGUGAUGUUAACAAGGUGGAUCAAUGGUGUAUUCUACUUCUCGCAUUUGGUAGAAUUCCAAAUAAAAAUUUGAGAAUUGAUGCCAAAGGUAAACCUCCUCCAAAUGUACUAGGAACUGAUUCCAUAAUUCUAGGGAAAAAAAACCUUACCACUUCGGGAAUUUCUACUGACCUUAGAUAUAACGAUUCUUACUCAUGUGCCAAUGCUCAUCAAAAUGACGAGUAUAGCACCAAAAGUAAUGUGGAAUUUAACAUUGGUUGGAGUGUUCUAAAGUCAAAAAAAUAAAAUUUUCUAGUAAUCUACUUUAGAACGGACUUAAACAAAAGUCGAUCUUCCCCCUGAAGAUCCAGAAUGAUCACUUGCGUGUUUGGAAAAAAUUGUGCUAUCAUAGACCAAAGUGAUUAUCCCAAAAUUGUGCUAACCACAACAACAACAACAACAACAAAGCCUUUUCCCACUAAGUGGGGUCGGCUAUAUGAAUCCUAGAACGCCAUUGCGCUCGGUUUUGUGUCAUGUCCUCCGUUAGAUCCAAGUACUCUAAGUCUUUUCUUAGAGUCUCUUCCAAAGUUUUCCUAGGUCUUCCUCUACCCCUUCGGCCCUGAACCUCUGUCCCGUAGUCACAUCUUCGAACCGGAGCGUCAGUAGGCCUUCUUUGCACAUGUCCAAAUCACCGGAACCGAUUUUCUCUCAUCUUUCCUUCAAUUUCGGCUACUCCUACUUUACCUCGGAUAUCCUCAUUCCCAAUCUUAUCCUUUCUCGUGUGCCCACACAUCCCACGAAGCAUCCUCCUCUCCGCUACACCCAUUUUGUGUACGUGUUGAUGCUUCACCGCCCAACAUUCUGUGCCAUACAACAUCGCUGGCCUUAUUGCUGUCCUAUAAAAUUUUCCCUUGAGCUUCAGUGGCCUACGACGGUCACACAACACGCCGGAUGCACUCUUACACUUCAUCCAUCCAGCUCGUAUUCUAUGGUUGAGAUCUCCUUCUAAUUCUCCGUUCUCUUGCAAGAUAGAUCCUAGGUAGCGAAAACGGUCGCUUUUUAUGAUCUUCGCUAGAUUGCUCCAGUCAUUAGUGUGGAUAAGUAUAUAAAUGGAUAGAGAUAGGAAAGCAAACACAAGAUGUACGUGGUUCACCCAUAUUGGCUACGUCCACGGAAUAGAGGAGUUCUCAUUAAUUGUGAAGGGUUUACACAAGUACAUAGGUUCAAGCUCUCCUUUAGUAAGUACAAGUGAAUGAUUUAGCACAAAUGACAUUAGGAAAUAUUGUGGGAGAAUGAUCUCGUAAUCACGAAACUUCUAAGUAUCGGAGUGUGGUAUCGUCUUGACUUGCCUUAUCUGUCUCAUAGGUAGAUGUGGCAUCUUCUCUGGAAGUACUCUUCCUCCAUCCAGGGGGUGGUAUCUUUAACUGGUGGAGAUGCACAAGGUAAUGUAUCAAUUUCACUUGAAGCUUACUUGUAGUUUCAGGCUUGGUCAAGCGCGAUACAAACCAUGUAGUAGGAGUCCCCCAAGUCGUCGAGCUAGGGGAUCUGCUGAAAGAGGUGACAGACAAGGUAAGCAAUCAGAGCUCCGGCUGAUUGUUCACCUCUCCCCCAUCUUGCAGCAGCAUGAAGGAUAAAGAGAAGAAAAAUGAGAAGAGAUGAUAUGGGAUACUUUUGCUUUUGAAGAAGUAACUUUCCACAGGCUUAUUCUUGAACUGAGCUGGAGGGUUUUCUGGUUUCCUCCAGAGUAUAAGACCUGCUGAUAUGGGAUACUUUUGCUUUUGACAGAGUAAUGGAUGUAUCGGCACGUGUGCUGUUACGCUUGUCUCCACAUGCUUCCUUGUAUCCUUCGCACUUGCCCUAUCUGUUCCUCAAGCAAAUGCGGUAUCUUCCCUGGAAGCAUAAGAUGUUGAAGAUGAGUACUCGAGAGCAAUGCCAGGUAAGUAAUCAGGUAAGGGGUUCCAGGCAGUCAGUUCCUGGUUGGAAGCUUGAUUCCAAGUGCUGACUGAUUGCUCUCUUUCUCCUUGUCUUGCAGGUAAGAACAAGGCCAAAUGAAAAGACAGGGAAAAAGCAUGAUAUGGGAUACUCUUGCUUUUAACCCUGAUGAUAUGAGAUAUUCUUGCUCUAGUAUAGCUUGUUUGCAGAGGUAUUAUCGGGGGGAAAGAAAGCUGAAUAUUUCGAAAGGCUUCGUUGGGAGUGCCCUCUCAGAUAUGAGGAAGGGUUGAGCAUUUUUGCAGGUCUGCCUGUCCGUUGGGGAUGAAGGUCAACAUAUAUAGGAGUCUCCCUAACAACAAGUAGUAAUGCUAUUCCUUUACCCUGCUUGGUCAUAGCACGGUAGUGGGAGCUACCAGCUUCACAUGUUUUAACUCUGUCAGAGCACUUUGAAAAAGUGGUCUGUGGUAUCUGGCUCUCGAGAUUCGGAGAACGAUGCCUCUUCGAUUUUUGAGAAAGCAAUCAUGCUGGGGGUCUGGCUCUCGAGAUUCGGAGAGCAGUGUCUCUUCGAUUUUUGAGAGAGUAAUCAUGUUGGGAGUCUGGCUCUCGAGAUUCGGAAGGCGGUGCCUCUUCGAUUUUGGAGCAAGCAAUCUUGUUGGGAGUGUUUUUUCGAAUGUGAGUAAAGGUUGGGCAUGUUUGCUAGUCUACCUUGCCACGAAGCACAGAGGUUGACACACAGGGACUUUCCAAUUAUCCAGCAAUGGUACUGUUCCUUUACCCUCUCUUCGAUUUUGAGAAACUAGUCAUGUUGGAAGUCUGGCUCUCGAGAUUUGGAGGACGGUGCCUCUUCGAUUUUGGAGCAAGCAAUCUUGUUGGGAGUGUUUUCUCGAAUGUGAGUAAAGGUUGGGCAUGUUUGCUAGUCUACCUUGCCACGAAGCACAUAGGUUGACACACAGGGACUUUCCAAUUAUCCAACAGUGGUACUGUUCCUUUACCCUUGUGGGUAAUAAUAUGGUAGCUAGACCUUCAAAAUUUAUGUGUCUAAACUUUGUUAGUGCUGUUUCUUUACUAUUCUUUUACCUUUCUUGGUCAGAGCGAUGUAGUGGGAGCUGCAGCUUCACGUGCUCAACUUUGGCAGAGAACUUUGGCAAAGUUAUCUGUGGUACCCAUGAGCUAUUGUUGCGUGUGGGAAGUGGGUGAUUGAACAGUAAGAUUUAUGUGCUUUCUACUUCACCAGAAGUCUUCGACAGAAUGCCCAUAAUUUCCGCAAAGCUGAGUGUGCAUGUGACAGGUGCUGACAAGGCUAGAAAAGUAAGGGCCUCUUCGAUUUCUGAGAUCGGCCCUCGUGGUCUCUGAGCAGCCCAGCUUUUGAGAAAGCGAGCGUCUCUUCGAUUGAUUCGGAGAACGAUGCCUCUUCGAUUUUUGAGAAAGCAAUCAUGCUGGGGGUCUGGCUCUCGAGAUUCGGGGAGCGGUGUCUCUUUGAUUUUUGAGAAAGUAAUCAUGUUGGGAGUCUGGCUCUCGAGAUUCGGAGGGCGGUGCCUUUUCGAUUUUAGAGCAAGCAAUCUUGUUGGGAGUGUUUUCUCGAAUGUGAGUAAAGGUUGGGCAUGUUUGCUAGUCUACCUUGCCACGAAGCACAGAGGUUGACACACAGGGACUUUCCAAUUAUCCAGCAAUGGUACUAUUCCUUUACCCUCUCUUUGAUUUUUGAGAAAGUAGUCAUGUUGGGAGUCUGGCUCUCGAGAUUCGGAGGACGGUGCCUCUUCGAUUUUGGAGCAAGCAAUCUGAUUGGGAGUGUUUUCUCGAAUGUGAGUAAAGGUUGGGCAUGUUUGCUAGUCUACCUUGCCACGAAGCACAGAGAUUGACACACAGGGACUUUCCAAUUAUCCAGCAGUGGUACUGUUCCUUUACCCUUGUGGGUAAUAAUAUGGUAGCUAGACCUUCAAAAUUUAUGGGUCUAAACUUUGUUAGUGCUGUUUCUUUGCUAUUCUUUUACCCUUCUUGGUCAGAGCGAUGUAGUGGGAGCUGCAAGCUUCACGUGCUCAACAUUGGUAGAGAACUUUGGCAAAGUUAUCUGUGGUAACAAUGAGCUAUUGUUGCGUGUGGGAAGUGGGUGAUUGAACAGUAAGAUUCAUGUGUUUUCUACUUCCCCAGAAGUCUUCGACAGAAUGCCCAUAAUUUCCGCAAAGCUGAGUGUGCGUGUGACAGGUGCUGACAAGGCUGGAAAAGUAGGUGCCUCUUCGAUUUCUGAGAUCGGCCCUCAUGUUCUCUGAGGAGCCCAGCUUUUGAGAAAGCGAGCGCCUCUCUAAGCAGCCCAGCUUUUAAGAAAGCAAACGCCUCUUCGAUUUCUGAGCAGGCGCCUCUUCGAUUUCUGAAGCUUCGUCGAGUGCAGAUUUUUAUAGGGGCUGGCAUUAAGUUCCAAAGCACACUUGAAUCUCCACCAGUAGAAGCUUCAUUCUUGCACUUCUAAGAUCUUGAUUUGUCCGACCUCUUCUCUCUUCAACACCUUUGAAAAUGUCUGGCCCCUCCGACCGUCGUUUUGACUUGAACCUUGUUGAAGAGGCAGCCCCGCCUUCUCCAGACAACAUAUGGCGCCCAUCUUUCGUCUCCCCUACUGGUCCUCUUACCGUUGGGGAUUCCGUAAUGAAGAAUGAUAUGACCGCUGCGGUGGUGGCCAGGAACCUUCUCACUCCCAAAGAUAACAGACUACUUUCCAAACGGUCUGAUGAGUUAGCUGUUAAGGAUUCGCUGGCUCUCAGUGUUCAGUGUGCAGGUUCUGUGUCUAAUAUGGCCCAACGCCUAUUUGCUCGAACCCGCCAAGUUGAAUCAUUGGCGGCUGAAGUGAUGAGUCUGAAACAGGAGAUUAGAGGGCUCAAGCAUGAGAAUAAACAGUUGCACCGGCUCGCACAUGACUAUGCUACAAACAUGAAGAGGAAGCUUGACCAGAUGAAGGAAACUGAUGGUCAGGUUUUACUUGAUCAUCAGAGAUUUGUGGGUUUGUUCCAAAGGCAUUUAUUGCCUUCGUCUUCUAGGGCUGUACCGCGUAAUAAAGCUCCAAAUGAUCAACCUCUGAUGCCUCAUCCUUCUAGGGUUCUGUCCAGUACUGGGGCUCCGAAUGAUCCCCCUCCGGUGCCUUCUCUUUCUGGGGCUCUACCGACUGCUGAGACUUCUCCUAAGCAACCUUUGUGAAGGCUCCUUCUAGUUUGUUUAUUUUGACUCAUGUAUAUGUACAUAUUUGUAGCUUAUCGGGGAUAUCAAUAAAUAAGCUUUCCUGCAUUUCAACAUAUUGUGUUAAAUACACCAAAGCCUUCUUCGCUAAGUUCUUUGAAUUUUCUUUUGUUGAAGCUUGUAUGUUGAAGCUUUCUGAGUGGAGCAUGUAGGUUGGGGCAAUGUUCCCUUAAUUUCCCGAGUGAGGAAAACUUCUCGGUUGGAGACUUGGAAAAUCCAAGUCACUGAGUGGGAUCGGCUAUAUGAAUCUUAGAACGCCAUUGUGCUCGGUCCUGUGUCAUGUCCUUUGUUAGAUCCAAGUACUCUAAGUCUUUUCUUAGAGUCUCUUCCAAAGUUUUCCUAGGUCUUCCUCUACCCCUUCGGCCCUGAACCUCUGUCCCAUAGUCGCAUCUUCUAAUCGGAGCGUCAGUAGGCCUUCUUUGCACAUGUCCAAACCACCGUAACCGAUUUUCUCUCAUCUUUUCGUCAAUUUCGGCUACUCCUACUUUACCCCGGAUAUCCUCAUUCCUAAUCUUAUCCUUUCUCGUGUGCCCACACAUCCAACGAAGCAUCCUCAUCUCCGCUACACCCAUUUUGUGUACGUGUUGAUGCUUCACCGCCCAACAUUCUGUGCCAUACAGCAUCGCCGGCCUUAUUGUCGUCCUAUAAAAUUUUCCCUUGAGCUUCAGUGGCAUACGGCGAUCACACAACACGCCGGAUGCACUCUUCCACUUCAUCCAUCCAGCUUGUAUUCUAUGGUUGAGAUCUCCAUCUAAUUCUCCGUUCUUUUGCAAGAUAGAUCAUAGGUAACGAAAACGAUCGCUCUUUGGUAGUUCUUGAUCUCCGAUCCUCACCCCUAACUCGUUUUGGCCUCCAUUUGCACUGAACUUGCACUCCAUAUAUUCUGUCUUUGAUCGGCUUAGGCGAAGACCUUUAGAUUCCAACACUUCUCUCCAAAGGUUAAGCUUUGCAUUUACCCCUUCCUGAGUUUCAUCUAUCAACACUAUAUCGUCUGCGAAAAGCAUACACCAAGGAAUAUCAUCUUGAAUAUGUCAUGUUAACUCAUCCAUUACCAACGCAAAAAGGUAAGGACUUAAGGAUGAGCCUUGAUGUAAUCCUACAGUUAUGGGAAAGCUUUCGGUUUGUCCUUCAUGAGUUCUUACGGCAGUCUUUGCUCCUUCAUACAUAUCCUUUAUAGCUUGGAUAUAUGCUACUCGUACUCCUUUCUUCUCUAAAAUCCUCCAAAGAAUGUCUCUUGGGAUCCUAUCAUACGUUUUUUCCAAAUCUAUAAAGACCAUGUGUAAAUCCUUUUUCCCAUCUUUAUAUCUUUCCAUCAAUCUUCGUAAGAGAUAGAUUGCCUCCAUGGUUGAGCGUCCUGGCAUGAACCCGAAUUGGUUGUCCGAAACCCGUGUCUCUUGCCUCAAUCUAUGCUCAAUGACUCUCUCCCAGAGCUUCAUUGUAUGACUCAUUAGCUUAAUACCCCUAUAGUUCAUGCAAUUUUGUACGUCGCCCUUAUUCUUGUAGAUAGGCACACCAAAGUGCUCGUUCGCCACUCAUUUGGCAUCUUCUUCGUUUUCAAAAUCCUAUUGAAAAGGUCAGUGAGCCAUGUUAUACCUGUCUCUCUCCCAAAACUUUCCACACUUCGAUUGGUAUAUCGUCUGGGCCUAUUGCUUUUCUAUGCUUCAUCUUCUUCAAAGCUACAACCACUUCUUCCUUCCGGAUUCGACGAUAAAAAGAGUAGUUUCUACACUCUUCUGAGUUACUCAACUCCCCUAAAGAAGCACUCCUUUCAUGUCCUUCAUUGAAAAGAUUAUGAAAAUAACCUCUCCAUCUGUCUUUAACUGCGUUCUCUGUAGCAAGAACCUUUCCAUCCUCAUCCUUGAUGCACCUCACUUGGUUUAGGUCUCUUGUCUUCUUUUCCCUUGCUCUAGCUAGUUUAUAGAUAUCCAACUCUCCUUCUUUGGUAUCUAGUCGUUUAUACAUAUCGUCGUAAGCCGCUAACUUAGCUUCUCUGACAGCUUUCUUCGCCUCUUGCUUCGCUUUUCUAUAUCUUUCACCAUUUUCAUCGGUCAUCUCCUUGUAUAGGCUUUACAACAUUCCUUCUUAGCCUUCACCUUUGUUUGUACCUCCUCAUUCCACCACCAAGAUUCCUUUUGGUGUGGGGCAAAGCCCUUGGACUCUCCCUAAUACCUCUUUUGCUACUUUUCGGAUACAACUAGCCAUGGAAUCCCACAUUUGGCUAGCUUCCCCCUCUCUAUCCCACACACAUUGGGUGAUUACCUUCUCUUUGAAAAUGGCUUGUUUUUCUUCUUUUAGAUUCCACCAUCUAGUCCUUGGGCACUUCCAAGUCUUGUUCUUUUGUCUCACUCUUUUGAUAUGUACAUCCAUCACCAACAAGCGAUGUUGAUUAGCCACGCUCUCUCCUGGUAUAAAGUUUGCAAUCCUUACAAGUUAUACGAUCCCCUUUCCUCAUUAGAAGAAAAUCUAUUUGUGUUUUUGACGACCCACUCUUGUAGGUGAUCACAUGUUCUUCUCUCUUCUUAAAGAAGGUGUUAGCUAAGAAAGAGAUCAUAUGCCAUUGCAAAAAUCCAAGAUAGCUUCCCCAUCCUCGUUUCUCUCCCCAAAACCAUGGCCACCAUGAAAACCUCCAUAGUUGCCUGUCUCCCUGCCCACGUGUCCAUUUAAAUCUCCUCCUAUAAAUAACUUCUCCGUCUGAGCAAUUCCUUGCACCAAGUCUCCAAGGUCUUCCCAAAAUUUCUCCUUCGAACUCGUAUCCAACCCUACUUGAGGUGCGUACGCACUAAUCACAUUGAUAAGUUCUUGUCCUAUUACAAUCUUGAUUGCCAUGAUUCUAUCUCCUACCUUCUUGACAUCUACAACAUCUUGUGUCAAGGUCUUGUCCACGAUGAUGCCAACACCGUUUCUCGUUCUAUUUGUGCCCGAAUACCAAAGUUUAAACCCUGAGUUUUCUAGAUCCUUCGCCUUACGACCAACCCACUUAGUUUCUUGUAGGCACAUAAUAUUUAUCCUUCUCCUCACCAUAACUUCCACUACUUCCAUAGAUUUUCCCGUUAAGGUUCCUAUAUUCCACGUUCCUAAACGUAUUUUGCUCUCUUGAACUCUACCCUUCUGUCCUAGCUUCUUCACCCUUACAUUAGAAUAUGAUACUUCGGACUGCUGCUUUCGUAGGACUUGUUUGCUUUCCAAUUCAAAUUGUCUUCUCAGCUUCUCUAUCUACAACAAAAAUUAGAACUUAUACCAUUACAUGCAAUAUUUCUAGUUUAUAUCAUUAAGUGCAACACAUAUAUAAGAACACAUAUCUCAAUUGCACUGCAGUUGAUUAGGGAAAGCAGACAACGUAUAAAAGUCUCAUGAGUUUAUUAAACACUACGAGAUCAAAAAUAAAAUUCAAACUUUCUCACCUAUGACCAAGUAUAGUAGCUUCUGUGGCCUAACAAUUUUGAAAAGUAUAUCAAUAUAUUCAAAAAUAUUGAUGAACACCUCUUCAAAAUUUGCUGGUGGUAGAAGCUGAACACAGAAUGUAGAAAUUAUAUUAUGUAACCACAUAUAUGGAUAAAAAAAAUUCGGAUCAUAAAGAUAAAGAAAAUAUCAAAAAUUGUUACCUAGACAAUAAUCAAAAUAAAUAGUAUAUUAUAGAAUGUUUAUCUUAUUGCGAGUGAAGAAUACAUGUAUAUAUAUAUAUAUAUAGAGAGAGAGAGAGAGAGAGCGAGAGAGAGAGAGAGAGAGAGAGAGAUUAAGAGAAAGAGAUGAAUGAAUAAGGUCGUACUCCAUCAUCAUCGUCUAAAAAGAAAUCUAUUUACAGUUAAACUUUAAACCCAAAAUAUUUAAAAAAAAACCUUUAUGUUAUAAUUCUAGUUGAACUUUAAAUGUUUAUUUUCAUUAUCUUUAAGUCUAGUUGGAAUAUUUAUGUUAUGAUUGUGUUGGAUAUGUUAAAAUUUAAGAUUUCAAAUUUUUUCAUUUUUUGAAAAAAAAACCGAAACCGAACCGAAACCGAACCGAAAAAAAACUGAACCGAAAAAAACCGAAAAAAAUUGAACCGAACCAAAAUUUCGGUUUAGUUUCGGUUUUGGCAAAAAACCGAACCGAUUUGAACCGAACCCACCCCUACCUGGGAUACACAACUAUCAAUAUAGUAGUCUUGCUUCAAGGCCAUCAACUUAUCCCCAAAUCUACAUCCUUCCUUGGCAGGAAAAUUUUUCCCUUAUAAUUUAGAGGCGUUCACCAAAAUGAUCUUCUAAAACGUCGACAAGUCGACAAAACUGCCCAAAACUUAGGAAAAACUAACACAUUUUUCUUAUUCGACGAGGUGGACGAGGUGGCAAGAUUCGGAAAUUAGGUUCAAGAAUAAAAAAUGCUCACAUCACGCGUGUGAUGAAUGCAAUACUGCCCAACUUAUGCUCUCAUACCAGAUUGUCACAUCCCGGCCUGGGCCCCCACCACAUCCCCGGCUCGACUCCGCCAUAGCACGAUAUUGUCUGCUUUAAGCCCCGAUCACGCCCUCACAGUUUUUUUCUAGGAACUGACACGAGAACUUCCCAGUGGGUCACCCAUCAUGGGAAUGCUCUCGCCCGAACUCGCUUAAUUUUGGAGUUCCAAUGGAAUCUGAAGCCAGUGAGCUUCCAAAAGGCCUCAUGCUAAGUAGAGAUAGGAAUACACAUAUAAGGCUUAAAGGAUCCAUUCCCCUAGGCGAUGUGGAUGUAACAAUUCACCCCCUUAGGGGCCCGAUGUAUUUAUCGGCACACCUCCAGCCAGGGAUUGGCUCUGAUACCCAACUAACACACCCUAACCCGGAAUGUCCACCAGGACUUCGAAUCGAGUUGUGCUGGCCGACACCUGGAAGGUGACGAAGCCAUAAAGUGUGAUGAUGUGGAAAAAUAUGAAUAAAUUUGAACCUAAGAGUGCCUAAAUACCAGAGUGCGCUGGUGAGCGAGAAUGAACCCACUUCACACGUGACGUUAGAGCAUAAGUAAGUAUAGUAGAGUAGAUAAGGAUUAUACCCUCAAAAGUAGCCACAGAUCCUGAGAUUUGUCAAGAAUCUUUGUCGAUAUGGACAUUCAGCAAUUAAAACCUAGAGGGGCGAAAAACCAUUUCACUAUCAAAAGUAAUAAUCCCUCGCCGUAAAGCCUGAAUAAUUUCCUAGAAAAUAGAAUACAUAUCUAUAUCCAAACCAUACUCAUGAAAUAAGUAAUCCAGGUGAAAUAAAUCCAUGAAAAGUAAUAUGUCAGCCGGAUCCACCUAUCGUGGCAUGUACGAUUAAACCUUUAGCUCAACUAAUAUCCAAGUAAUAUGUCAGCAUGCUCCACCUUUUGUGGCAUGUACGACUGAACCCAUAGCUCAUCACAUAUCCAAGUAAUAUGCCAGCCGGAUCCACCUUUUGUGGCCUAUACGACUAAACCUAUAACUCAACCAAUAUCCAAGUAAUAUGUCAGCCAGAUCCACCUUUUGUGGCCUAUACGACUAAACCUAUAGCUUAACCAAUAUCCAAGUAAUAUGUCAGCCAGAUCCACCUCUUACGGCCUGUACGGCUGAACCCAUAACUCAUCACAUAUCCAAGUAAUAUGUCAGCCGGAUCCACCUCUUGUGGAAUGUACGACUGGACCUAUAACUCAACCAAUAUCCAAGUAAUAUGUCAUCCAAAUCCACCUCUUGUGACCUGUAUGGCUGAACCCAUAGCUCAUCAUAUAUCCAAGAAAUAUGUCAGCCGGAUCCACCUCUUGUAGCCUGUACGGCUGAACCCAUAGCUCAUCACAUAUCCAAGUAAUAUGUCAGUCGGAUCCACCUCUUGUGGCCUGUACAACAGGACUGGGUGUAAAUAAGUACACUCAAGUGCUACGAUCACAUGAAGAUUGUACGAAUAAUCGCGGGUCACCUACGAGUCGGAACCACCUAUAAUGGUCUGUACGACAGGACUGUGCACCUACAUUGGAUCCAAGGUGAGCGUAAUGUGCGGGAGGUGAACAUCACGUGAAGGACUGUGCCCUGGCCAUGGGCGGGGGCACUAACAUCAGGGUGCAGGUUUAUGAGCUCUAACUGCAUCUAUUAUAACCUGUACGACUCAUGGACAGCCAGUACGACAGUGUCGAAGUUGCCUAUUAAUGCAACCUCUACGACAAGGUCGGAGUUGCCUAAAACAUACAUGUGGUCAUGCCAAAACUUCAUUAUUUCAACUAAUACCAUAAACUCACCUGAAGUUACUUGGGUCUCCUGCGUUCUCCUUUGCACUUCAAAGUGUUCACAAUAAUUAUGUGCAAGUAAUAUACAUAUGGAUAUACCAUGAUGUAAUCUAAUACUCAACCAUGUCAUAGCAUUUUCAAUUAUAUACAUAUAUAUUAGACUUGGCAAUUUUUGACACGACACGGUGACACGACACGAAAACGACACGAAAAUAACGGGUUUCGGGUCAACACGAUAACUUAUCGGGUCACUAUCGGGUGACCCGUUAAGAACCCAUUAAUAACGGGUUCUUAAAAGGUAUACACGCGGGUAACACGUGGGUAACCCGUUUCGACCCGUUAAGAAAAAAAAUAUUUUAAUAAUUUUAAAGUUUAAUUACUAAAAGAUUUAUUAUAAAAUACAAUAGUCAUAUUAAUAUAUACAAUAUAUUCUAUAUUAAAUAUAUAGUUUUGUAUUAUCGUUCUAUAUAAAUUAUAAAAAAAAUUAAAAAAAAAGUUUUUGUCAUUAUUUAUUUUUAUUAUGAGAGUUCCCUAUUAUCAUUACUAGGAUAAAUUUUACAUAACAUAUUCUUGUCCAAAAUGAAAAUAUACUAGUAUAGUAUUUGUAUAUGCAAGAACUAAGAAGACAUACAUACAAGUAUGAAAAAUGUGAAAGAAUAUAUAAACACUUGUGAUUUAUCAUUAUUCCUCUACGAAUAGAUAAUUGUUACACUUAUAUUAUUGUUUAGAUUUUUAAAAUCCUUCAAACCCUCAUGAAUAAUGUUUUUUAUUUGAGGGAAAAAUUAAUAAAAUUAAUAAUAAUUAUUGUAGAAGUGUAAAAAAUGUAAAAAUAUAUAUAUACAAUCACUCAUAUAUAUAAAAAAUGUAAAUGCUUUAAAUUAAAGAUCAAAUUUAUUCAUUACAUUCUUAUAGGGUCGAAGAGUGUAUAUGUACAAAAUCAUCAAAAUCGAAGCUAAAAUAACCGUUAAAUUGUAAUUUUUCGUUUAUAACCGUCGAAAACUUUUGUUCCGUUACGUAAUAUCUGAAUGUUUGUUUUUUACAAUUUUUUAAGUUUGCAAUCUCGGAAUGUGUACAAAUAAGUUUGACAGUUGGAUCGUUGAAAAAAGUUUCGUAGAAUGCAUAUUGCAUCAAAACGGUAUAUUAAACAAACACUUAGAGUUAAUAUUAUACUUCUAUUAAGUAUAAAAUAAGUUUUUGUGGUAUCCACUAGUGUAAAUACUUUAAAUUAAAGAUCAAAUUUAUUCAUUACAUUCUUAUAGGGUCGAGGAGUGUAUCUGUAAAAAAUCAUCAAAAUCGGAGUUAAAAUAACCGUUAAAUUGUGAUUUUUCGUUUAUAACCGUCGAAAACUUUUGUUCCAUGAGGUAAUCUCUGAAUGUUUGUUUUUUACGAUUUUUUACAUAUGCGAUCUUCGAAUGUGUACAAAUAAGUUUGACGGUUGGAUCGUUGAAAAGUUUUUUGUAGAAUCCAUAUUGCGUCAAAACGAUACAUUAAACAAACACUUGGAGUUAAUAUUAUACUUUUAUUAAGUAUAAAAUACGUUUUUGUGGUAUCCACUAGUGUAAAUACUUUAAAUUAAAGAUCAAAUUUAUUCAUUACAUUCUUAUAGGGUCGAGGAGUGUAUCUGUAAAAAAUCAUCAAAAUCGGAGCUAAAAUAAUAGUUAAAUUGUGAUUUUUCGUUUAUAAUCGUUCAAAAGUUUUGUUCCAUUACGUAAUCUCUGAAUGUUUGUUUUUUAUGAAUUUUUACAUAUGCGAUCUCGGAAUGUGUACAAAUAAGUUUGACGGUUGAAUCAUUGAAAAAAGUUUUGUAGAAUGCAUAUUGCGUCAAAAUAGUAGAUUAAACAAACACUUAGAGUUAAUAUUAUACUUCUAUUAAGUAUAAAAUAAGUUUUUGUGGUAUCCACUAGUGUAAAUACUUUAAAUUAAAUAUCAAAUUUAUUCAUUACAUUCUUAUAGGUCAAGGAGUCUAUCUGUAAAAAAUCAUCAAAAUCAGAGAUAAAAUAAUCGUUAAAUUGUGAUUUUUCGUUUAUAACCAUCGAAAACUUUUGUUCCAUUACGCAAUCUCUGAAUGUUUUUUUUUUUAAGAUUUUUUACGUAUGCGAUCUUGGAAUGUGUACAAAUAAGUUUGACGGUUUGAUCGUUGAAAAAAGUUUCAUAGAAUGCAUAAUGCGUCAAAACGGUAGAUUAAACAAACACUUAGAGUUAAUAUUAUACUUCUAUUAAGUAUAAAAUAAGUUUUUGUAGUAUCCACUAGUGUAAAUACUUUAAAUUAAAGAUCAAAUUUAUUCAUUACAUUCUUAUAGGAUCGAGGAGUGUAUCUAUAAAAAAUCAUCAAAAUCGGAGAUAAAAUAACCGUUAAAUUGUGAUUUUUCGUUUAUAACCGUCGAAAUGUUUUGUUCCAUUUCGUAAUCUCUGAAUGUUUGUUUUUUAUGAUUUUUUACGUAUGCGAUCUCAGAAUGUGUACAAAUAAGUUUGAUGGUUUGAUCAUUGAAAAACGUUUUGUAGAAUGCAUAUUGCGUCAAAACAGUAGAUUAAACGAACACUUAGAGUUAAUAUUAUACUUCUAUUAAGUAUAAAAUAUGUUUUUGUGGUAUCCACUAGUGUAAAUACUUUAAAUUAAAGAUCAAAUUUAUUCAUUACAUUCUUAUAGGGUCGAGGAGUGUAUCUGUAAAAAAAUCAUCAAAAUCGAAGAUAAAACAACUGUUAAAUUGUGAUUUUUCGUUUAUAACCGUCGAAAACUUUUGUUCCAUUACGUAAUCUCUGAAUGUUUGUUUUUUUACGAUUUUUUACAUAUGCGAUCUUGGAAUGUGUACAAAUAAGUUUGACGGUUGGAUCGUUGAAAAAGGUUUCGUAGAAUGCAUAUUGCGUCAAAACGGUAGAUUAAACAAACAUUUGGAGUUAAUAUUAUACUUUUAUUAAGUAUAAAAUAAGUUUUUGUGGUAUCCACUAAUGUAAAUACUUUAAAUUAAGGAUCAAAUUUAUUCAUUACAUUCUUAUAGGGUCGAGGAGUGUAUUUGUAAAAAAUCAUCAAAAUCGGAGAUAAAAUAACCAUUAAAUUGUGAUUUUUCAUUUAUAACCGUUGAAAACUUUUGUUCAGUUACGUAAUCUCUGAAUGUUUGUUUUUUAUGAUUUUUUACGUAUGCGAUCUCGGAAUGUGUACAAAUAAGUUUGACGGUUGGAUCAUUGAAAAACAUUUUGUAGAAUGCAUAUUGCGUCAAAACAGUAGAUUAAACAAACACUUAGAGUUAAUAUUAUACUUCUAUUAAGUAUAAAAUAAGUUUUUGUGGUAUCCACUAGUGUAAAUACUUUAAAUUAAAGAUCAAAUUUAUUCAUUACAUUCUUAUAGGUCGAGGAGUCUAUCUGUAAAAAAUCAUCAAAAUUGGAGAUAAAAUAACCGUUAAAUUGUGAUUUUUCGUUUAUAACCGUCGAAAACUUUUGUUCCAUUACGUAAUCUCUGAAUGUUUUUUUUUUACAAUUUUUUACGUAUGCGAUCUCGGAAUUUGUACAAAUAAGUUUUACGGUUGGAUCGUUGAAAAAAGUUUCGUAGAAUGCAUAUUGCGUCAAAACGGUAGAUUAAACAAACACUUAGAGUUAAUAUUAUACUUCUAUUAAGUAUAAAAUAAGUUUUUGUAGUAUCCACUAGUGUAAAUACUUUAAAUUAAAGAUCAAAUUUAUUCAUUACAUUCUUAUAGGCUCGAGGGGUGUAUUUGUAAAAAAUCAUCAAAAUUGGAGAUAAAAUAACCGUUAAAUUGUGAUUUUUCGUUUAUAACCGUCAAAAAGUUUUGUUCCAUUACGUAAUCUCUGAAUGUUUGUUUUUUAUGUUUUUUUACGUAUGCGAUCUCAGAAUGUGUACAAAUAAGUUUGAUGAUUGGAUCGUUGAAAAAAGUUUUGUAGAAUGCAUAUUGCGUCAAAACAGUAGAUUAAACAAACAUUUAGAGUUAAUAUUAUACUUCUAUUAAGUAUAAAAUAAGUUUUUGUGGUAUCCACUUGUGAAAAUACUUUAAAUUAAAGAUCAAAUUUAUUCAUUACAUUCUUAUAGGGUCGAGGAGUGUAUCUGUAAAAAAGCAUCAAAAUCGGAGAUAAAAUAACCGUUAAAUUGUGAUUUUUCGUUUAUAACCGUCAAAAACUUUUGUUCCAUUACGUAAUCUCUGAAUGUUUGUUGUUUACGAUUUUUUACGUAUGCGAUCUCGGAAUGUGUAAAAAUAUGUUUGACGCUUGGAUCGUUGAAAAAAGUUUCGUAUAAUGCAUAUUGCGUCAAAACGGUAGAUGAAACAAACACUUAGAGUUAAUAUUAUACUUCUAUUAAGUAUAAAAUAAGUUUUUGUGGUAUCUACUAUUGUAAAUACUUUAAAUUAAAGAUCAAAUUUAUUCAUUACAUUCUUAUAGGGUCGAGGAGUGUAUAUGUAAAAAUUCAUCAAAAUCGGAGCUAAAAUAACCGUUAAAUUGUGAUUUUUUGUUUAUAAUCGUCGAAAACUUUUGUUCCAUUACAUUAUCUCUGAAUGUUUGUUUUUUACGAUUUUUUACGUAUGCAAUCUUGGAAUGUGUACAAAUAAGUUUGACAGUUGGAUCAUUGAAAAAAGUUUUUGGACCGCCAGCAAUAGAUAAUUUUGUAGUAGUGAAACCUUAAUUUUAUUUAACCGUCGAUUGUUAUUUACACUUUAUUCUUCUUACUGAAUUUCAUUUUUAAAAUUUUAUUUUUUGAAAACAUGAUCAUCUGGCGGAUGUAAGAAGAUGAUAUCACGUUUCGAUAUUUACGGUUAACUGAAAUAUGAGUCAAUGUCAUAUAAUUUGAAAAAACUUUAUAAACAUCAAGGAAUAUUUUCACUAACCGUAAAACUCUAAAUAUAAUAUCAACGAUCCAAACCGUUCAUCUACCUGCACCUUCUAAUAGAUCAUGUUUUCAAAAAAGAAAAUAUAAAAAAACGAAAUUUGAUGAGAACAAUGAAGCAUAAAUGUAAACAACAAUCAACGGUUAAAUUUUGAUAUAUGAAUUAUAUGAUUAUAGUGGCGAAUUUCAAAGUUAAGCUCUUUAUGAAAGUUAUAAAACUUGUCAUUACGAGUGUUUAUAUAUUUUUUUCUAUAUUUUUUUACACUUCUACAUUAAUUAAAAAACUAUUAAAGACUUUAGGUAAGCAAAAAUAUACUUAAAACAAAAUUGUGUUUUUAUGUUUUGUAUGUGAUAAUAUGGAAUGUAUAUACUUAUUUAGUAUUAUGUUUUUCAUUUGAUUAUUUAUUGGUUUAAAAUAUAAUUUCCUUAGUGGGUAACGGGUCGGGUCAUAUUACCUGUUAAUAUUAUCGGGUCGAUUUCGGGUCGGGUCAUUUUACCCGUUUAUUUUAACGGGUGUUACACGACACGACCCAUUAAGAUAUCAGGUAUAACACGAAAACGACACGAACACGGAAAACACAACACGAAUGCCAAGUCUAAUAUAUAUGUAUAAUAUGGCAUAAAAUGCAUAAGCUGUAACGCCCUACUCUCGAACUAUUUAUUUUCGGGAAUAAUUAUCGGUAAUAAGCCCAGUUAGACACUAGUUUAAUUAACUAUCAUUACUUACGUUUCCUUACUUCAAUUUCUUGAUUCUUCACACAUUGAUUUAUGAACAACAUUUAACCACCAAAUCAUAAGGUUAAAUCUAUCAUUUUCCACCAAUCUCCUUCACAUUGCUCAAUUCCCCAAACAAGGCUAUUGUCUCAAUUAUUUAGUCUCAUUUAUUGUACGGCUGCAUCUAACAUCUCGUUAGAUUGCCUACGUACCCUAAACAAGGAUCAAGCCAUUCGUAGUUCACACUAGUACUUCAAAGCAUUCACAGUAAUUAUAUGUAGGUAAUAUGCAUAAAUCAAUUUAAAAACGCUUGUGGAAUUAUCAAUCAUAUAUAUAUAAUAUACACGAUAGAAAGAAAAAGACCCACUCACCUGAGGUCCGCACUACGACUCCCUAGCAUGCAUAUCGAGACAUCACGAACCAAUGUCGCCUAGAACAAUUAUCAAAUCAUGUCUCAGAGUUCUUACUGAUAGAAUACAUAAUUUACUGAAAAAACACAUCCCUACGUAAUUCACUCCGGAAGAUCUGCAUCACAGAUUUCUGAUCCGUUACUUCCAAAGAUUCACAUUAUGUUCCUAGAACCACCUCCUAAUAUUUCAUUAUGAUCCAAUGGUCGGAUCUCUGCCAAUUGCCAAAACUAAGUGGCGGUCAACAUUUUAUUUUAUGAACUUACAAAUCCAAUUCGGGAAGAUCCGUACUUCGGAUUCCCGAUUCGUAAGUUUCUAUGGUCCUCAAAUAUUAUGUACUAUAAUGUAUUAAAGUUUGGUGGCAAUCCAACGGUCGGAUCGUCGAUUCACACUUUUACCAAAUAACGUGACAUUGAGAAUUUAGGUUCCAACCAUCAACCUAAGUCAUACAGUUACCAAGAUUGAAAUCAAGGCAUCUAAUUUAUCCUAAGAAUGACAUCGAUGGCCCCCUAGCCACGCGCCGCCAUGGGUGGCGAUCGGCCACCCUAACUCGCUGGAAAAUCCAACUAUUUCUAAAAAUUACCAAAUUUUACAGAAAUGAAGAUCUCAAUAAGUAGAACAAGUUUUAUACCUGUGGCUAAGUCCAAUUUAGUCGGGAAAUGCUCCAAUUUCACUCAAACCCGCCGGAAACCCUAAGAUGGGUGUUCUUCGAUUCGACUUCCUCAAUGUUCCAACACCCCUACAACUGCUUGGGUCUUGUUCCUAAGUCCAAGAGGAGUUGAUUAAGGGUGGUGGUGGGUGGUGAAACUCGUUGGAUCGAAGGAAUCACCGUCGAACACCUUUGGUGCUCCGGUGAUGUUCUCUGCAUUUUUGGGCCUAAAACUCUUCAAUCUUGAGCAAAGAUGGAAGAAGAAAGAUUGGGGAAGAUGUUGCAGGUGGUGGAUAUGGUGUUCCACGAAACAAAAUGGCAGAAAUUGGCCAGAUUUUGACCGGUUUGGGUGUGUGGGUGCACUGCCCUACGGCAAGGUUUCUUUUUUUUUUUUUCCUUCUCCUUCCUGAUUGGUUCUCCUUUUCCUCUCUUAAAAUUGAUUGAUUACCACUCCCACAUGGUGGGAGUUUGAUUAAUUUAUAACUAAACUUUUAAUAACCAAUUUCAAAUGUCUGUAACUAUACCGAUAUAAUCCGGACUCACAAACGGCUUUCGCCUAUGCGUUCGUACCAACGAGUACUACACAAAUGCGCUAAGUGAAUAAGUCAUACGUUUCUCUACACGUUGGUCAAUGAAAGUCAAAACCUUCACCUCUAGGGUAUUUUUAUAAAUUCAUUCUUUUAAAAUUUAUAAAAUCGUAGAACUAGGGACGAGUUGUCACAAUCAAGUACCAUAUUCAAGAUGAACCGUUCAUUUAUUUGAUAUGUUUGAAUGGAUUAAACAAUUUUUUAUUCGAUUGAUUUUUGCACGAAUGAUCUUCAAAUGAUAUUAAGAAAUUGAACGCUGUUGAUCAUUGAGUUUAUAUACUUAAGACACGUCAUUUGCAAAUGGGGAAGACGAAUCAAAGAUCUAUCCAAAAGCCAGUUGAACAGAUGUACAGUCAAACGUCUAGAGGUUAAUUAUACUGUUAAUUUCCAAUAAUCAUAAUAUAAGAUCAUCACAAACUAUCUUUAUUAAACUCAUUGGCAUGGCAUGCAAUCAGUUAGCAUGUUAAGGUAACCACCAGCUAUGACACUACACUUGAACUUGAUACAGAUCGAACAAUCCAGAAACUUACUAUACAAAUGAGAAUUUUACAAUCUUGUCGGCCAACUUCUGUCCCUCGAUUCGUUAUUUUCUUUAGUUAUCCAAACCGUGCAAGAAAAGCAAUACGAAAACACGUACGCAGACUAAUGCGGGGAUUUCAGAAAUAUAAGAGUGUACAAGCUUCCAUAUGCUGCACGAAACCUAUGCAGUGGUGUCAAGGAACGGAUAAUCAGCGUAGCCAAUAACCAAUUCAGGCACGUAGAAUGUGUUUCUGUUGUACUUGUGCAGAGGAGAAUUUAGCUCAAACCUCUUCCGCAAGUCUGGCUUAGCCAGGAACCAUCAACCAUAAGCAAUAAGAUCUGCACGGCCCUCAGCCACAGCAUUGUUCCCAUCUUCCCUGUCAUAACCACUAGCAGCAAUGAAGGUACCAUUAAAAGCCUUUCUCAUGGGUACAAAGACUCUGGGGGCUAUCACAUUUUUCUCCAGCUGUCUUCAUCCUAGGCUCAACCAUAUGGCAGUACGGGAUCCCAUAUUUGUUCAACAAAUUGGCCAGAUAAAGGCCCAACGCUUUCGGAUCUGAAUCCCCUGAUUCCAUAUAGCUGGCAAAUGGAGAUAAUCUAAUUCCAACUUUAUCCGCUCCUAUCUCAUUAACAACAGCUUCAACGACUUCCAGAGCAAAUCGACAACGAUUAUCCAAUGAUCCCCCAUAUUAGUCUGAUCGAUCAUUCACUUGAUCUUUUAGAAACUGAUCAAUAAGGUGUCCAUGGGCCCCAUGAAUUUAUACUCCAUCAAAGCCUUUAUAUCAGACAAAUAAUUUCAGUGCACCAAAUAUUAUUUGUAAUCUAGCAUGAAUCACACAUCUAGUUAAACUGCAAUUAACGCCCUUAACUACAUUUAUAAGAUUAGAGAUGGUUUGUUUACUUCUGUUGAAAGUAAUUUUGAGUUCUCGCCAAUGUUUUAAAAGGCUCACCUCAGGGCGGGUAUAGACGCCCUAUGAGGCUGGACUUGAGGAUUGCCGCCUAGGUGGCAGAAGGCGUGCCUCAGGGCUUUUUUUUUUUUUUAAUAAGUCCCAAACCUUUUGGAUAGGGUAUUAACUGUCUCAUACCUCUUCCUUGCACUAUCGUCUCUCUGCCUUUUUUUCUGAUUUUUAUUUUUUAUAUAAUGGAUGUAUGUGUUGUCUACAUGCAUUGUUAUAUGUGUGCUCAUUGUGUUUUUUAUCCUCAAUUAUUGUUCGAGCCCAAAAAUAUUGGUUUGGGCCGAGUUUAGAAUUGUUCUCGGCCCAGUAUUGGUUGGGCUGAGUUUAGAAUUGUUCUCGGCCCAGAGGUCGUGUUUAGGUGUCGUUGGGGGUUAUCCAACUCAUGGGCCGCGCAGUCGAAGCUGGCCAUAUCUCGUCAAGAACCUGUGGGAUAUGGGUGAGUUCUAUUACGAGAAGGAGUUUCGACAUGAUAAGGAUGUUAGAGUUUGAGAUUGAAUGCGGCCUGAUAACGAGUAAGUUCAAAGUCCUAGUAGGAGUAGGACUGGCUGAGAUAAGGUUGGAUCGGGGAAAGGAAUUCUAAUCCAAGAAUGAUUGGGAUUCAAUACAGGUUGGCUACUAUAAAUAAGGAGGGAGGACAUCGAACAAAGCCCCUCCAAUUCAACACACAAAUUGCCCUACGCAAACCCUUACUCUACUCAAAACCUCUCAACAAUCUUGAGAUUUUUGUUUUCCUUUUUCGCCAACACAUCUUCAGUUUGGAUAAACAGCACUGUGAAGGCAACCGACGAACAUCUUCAGUUUGGAUAAACAGCACUGUUGCCGUAGAAUCAGCCGACUGUGAAACACCUUCAGUUUGGAUAAAUAGCACUGCGACCUGGCCAACUGGUUAUCUAUCCAAGUCUCGGUCGAGAAAGAUUUUUGAAUCCUUAUUGGCAGAGGUUAUCUCGUUAGCCUUCUCGGCGAAGUGAGGUGUUACAAGUUACCAUACUCAGCAUACUGAACGUCGAGUUGUUUAUGAUUGGGUAUUUACAAGUAGGUUUUAGAGUUCGGCAUUCUGACGGCCAAACCACUUUCACAAUCAAGACGUACAUUUGUUUUGAGUACUUGUGCCCAUAUAGUCUGGUGUCGAUUCGGCGUGUUUAUACUUUAACAAAUAUAAUCACCAUGACCGAAUCCGGCACCGAUGAUUUAUGAACUUCGCAGAACUAGUAGCCUUGUCUUCAGGCUCUAGAACCCGAAGGCCGAGAGUGGUCCUUCCUCAGCCACAGUUGCAAGAUCAAAAAGUCAGUCGCGCGCUCAAUGCAACAUCACCAUAUUUUACUCCUCGACCAAGCUCGGCCGACAAGUUGGCAUGCCCUGCAUACAAUUGAAGGACGUAGUUAGCUUGUUAAUUACUCGGCCUGCAUGCCACGUAGGCAUAGUAGUUUUUUGGGUCAACAUUUUGGCAAAACCGGUGGGACCCAGUGCUAAAACUACGAAGUUCAUGACCAUCGAGACACGAUCGGUAAAAAAGAAAACAACCAUGGGAAAAUCAGCGACCAAUCUGCCGAUUCAGAGUCCUGGACAAGAGGUGUCACAUGCGUGAAAUCCUAUUGUCGCUGUGACCCCUGAGGCUGCAAGUGUAACACACCAAGAAAAGGAAGUGUGCCUCGGUACCUAGCCUCGAAAUGCAUAAGUACCCAACCGAACCGCAGGCGUUUUCAUUGAAAGAAUAGUGGAUGACUGCGACGAAGAAGAUGGCGAAGGCUUUGACCCUCCGACUAGGUCGUUUCUUCGAAGAUGACUUGAUAAGCAAUCUCGACAAGUUGAACAGACAGUUGGUCAAAAAAUGAACAGUUUGCUCGAAGUGAUAUGAAGCAAUAGUGAGACCCACACCAGAUUACUCGAACUAUUAGUUAGCAAAGUCUUCGAAUGAGGAUCGGUUGAUCAGGCUCAGCCCAAAAGUAGUGUCUACUCGGUCCAAAACGAUUGACUUAGAAAAAAAUGGAGGAUCAAGUAGUAGGUCAGAUGGAUCCGACCAGAGAGUGGAAGCAACAUCCGUCGAUGUGACCGAGAUCCAACGAAUGAUCGAUUCAGCCAUGAAAAAAAGGCCGAAGUUCCCGAAAUUCAUGCACCCAUAUCCAGCUUAUGUGGAAAAGUUCAAAUAUCCUAAAGGUUUCGAGAUUCCAGAUUUCAACCUUUUUGUUGGAGAAUCAUCCUUAUCCACGUUAUAACACGUGGCUCGUUUCACUGCGCAAUGUGGAGAUGUCAAUAGUGAUUUUCAUAAACUACCGUUGUUCAACUUUUCGUUGAUAGGCUCAACAUUCGCAUGGUAUAUCAACCUCCCAUCUAAUUCUAUCCAAAGCUGGAAGGAGUUGGUCGAGAAAUUUCACGAACAGUUUUAUCGCCCGGGGAUGGAAAUGUCAAUUUCUUCAUUGGCUAGGAUGGCUCAAGCAUCUGAUGAGUCACCAAUGGAUUAUCUUACAAGAUUUAAAUCGGCCAGGAAUUGGUGCCGAGUACCUCUUCCCGAAGUCGAAUUUGUUAAGCUUGCCCUGAAUGGGCUCAACGUUGAGUACAAAAAGAAAUUCUUGGGGGCAAACUUUCGGGAUAUGUAUGAAUUAGCCCAGCAUGUCGAGCAAUAUGAUUAUUUGCUCCAAGAAGAAAAGAUCUCGAAAUCCCCAUCCCAAGGAACGAUUUACAAAAAUCUUACGAUCAACUACGUAUCGACCGAAUGCGAAGAUUCCCAAUACGUCAGUGUGGAUGCGACCGAGAUAGUAAUAGAUAAACCAUAUGUUUGCAAGGCAUUGACUCAACUUAAUUCCAAGGAUGCCAAAACCCGCUCGGCCACUGAGGAGACGGCGAAAACAUCGAAAGUUUACACUUUUGAUAUCACAAAGGCAGAGGCAAUUUUCGAUCAAUUGUUAUUAGCAAAGAUCAUCAAACUUCGGCCAUGACAUAACAUUCCCAAAGCCAAAAAGCUUAAAGGAAAGACGUAUUGCAAGUAUCAUAAUUCGACCAAGCACAAACAACUGUGUCGUAUUCCGUGAUGAUAUCCAGAGCUGGAGUGAUGAAGGCAAGCUAAAGUUUCCCGAAAAACGGAUGACGGUCGACGUUGAUCCAUUCCCUUCGGCAACAGUCAACAUGGUAGACGCCCGUUUACCCAAGAGCAAAGGGAAAGGGAUGGCUAAGUUUGUCCCAGUACAACACGUCCCAAAGAAACAUUCCCAGUCACGACUCAAGAUCAACCUAUUUUCCAUUGAACCACCUACCAAGUUUUUAGGACCAGCUAUAGUUGAAUCCAUGUCAGAUUCCAGUGUAGAAGAAAGUGAUGGGCCGAUAAACAGUCAAGAGAGUGUCCUCAUUUUUUUUAAAAAACGGGGAUCCAUCUUGUUAAGGGAUUCCUUUGCGUAUGUACCUUGGUGUAGUUUCGAUCCUCGCAGAUUCGCUUCCUCCUAAACCCAAAACCACUUAGACUUUCUUAACUUUCUUAACUUUUGAAAUCUACUACAUAUGUUACCUUCCAUCUUUUUUUCUGUAAAAACAUGUUGCCACUCACGUGGAGGGAUAUUUUUCCGUCAAUCCACUUCCUAGAGCUCACUGCAAUCAAUUUGCACAAAGACAAAAUACAUUUUUUUUAGUAGCGUUAGAGUCGGGUCACGAAGAGACGGGUUUGAUUUUGACAAGGGUUGUUGAAGAAUUGAAGUGAAAAUGAUUGUUGGCAUCUACAUUUGUAGAAUUUGGUAGAUGGUGGCUGCUUGUGUUUUUAUUUGGGGGGGGGGGGGGGGGGUUUUGGUUCUUUAUUACUUAGACUGACUAAAAAUUCAAAUUAUUUAUUGUUUAACAUUGUAGUAUGUGUUUUGUGUCAGUUUUGUUGUGUUGGUGUAUAGGAUAAUUUGCUAAAGACAAUAGUCUUAGUCUAUUAGGUCCUUAUGCACAUUCAUUGUUUUAAAAAUCUCUGCCUAGCAUAGCACUGUCUAGGCGUUAGGAGGCUGACCACCAUUCUGAUUAAUUAAUAAAUAGCGCCUAGACUGCUUAGGCACCCGUCUAGGUCGCAACUCUUAUUUAGAUAGAAAAUAGAUAACUUUCAUUUUACAUUUUAUUUGUUUCAGUAUAUUGUAAGAGACUUAUUGGAUACUGAGAUGGACAUACAUUAUAUGUUUAUUCCUCAUGUUUUCAUUAUGUUCUAAUACUUUAUAAUUUAUGUCAUUCUAUUUUAUAAUUUAUGUAUUUCAGUGAAAUUAUCUAUUUUUUAAGUAUAAGCAGAUACUUAUUUAUACGAUAUAUCGUAGAUACUUAUUUAUACGAUAUAUCGUAAAUUUUAUUCACAUCCGCCUAGGCCCCCGCCUAGGUGCUAGACCACAGCCAUUGCCUGACUACUGCUAAACCUCAGCCCGCCAUCCGACUAACACCUGGCGUCUAUUAGAAUCUUGUGCAGAAUUUCAUGACCCCCAUUAUUUAGUUUAGCUUCACUCUUGGAGGUUAAAGUGAAAGCAUGCCUUAAAUAACCAAAAAGAGAUUUAUGCAAUUUCAACAUUGAUUGUAAUAGAGGAGCAGUUAGCAUCAUGCUAAUGUUGGAGUAGAAGAGAUUUGUAACAGAGAAAGCUCAACCAAAUAUCUUACAAAGUAAUUUGGUGGAUGUGGAUGUGCGAGAACAUGAAGCAUAGAAAAGAUUGACGAAGCUGAUGAUGUACGUAGAUUACGCGCAGAAUGUAGAAGAACCAGAGAGCCUGAUGGGUACAACUUGGAAGAACUUAGAAGCCUAUAUGGGAACUCAUCUAGUGAUGAAGAACCGGAUUCAAUGAGAAGGAAUAGGAGGAAGAAGAAACGACCUAAGUUUAAACAUCAUAGAAAAGAAACUGAUGUCAGUACCAUAGAGUUUGAUUUGGGGAUGUCUUUUCUUGUUAGACUAAACAUAAAAACCAAGUUCAUGUAACAUGAAUCACAGCCAUCCAAAAACAAACUGUAGUUCAUAACUAUUGUACAGAGUAGAAAUCUGCAGAUGCACCAGAAGAAGAAGCCAUAGUCAAUCUCAACAGCAAAACUAGUAAACCUUCUCCUCUUUCUAGAUUCAAAAUGCUCAAACUAAUAAUAGGUCUUAGUCCAAGACAGAGCGUAAUAUCUGACGAAUUACCAAUUCUCCAGACUCAUGCUCAUAUUCUUACAUUUCCAAGUUCCAAGGAAUUCAACGAAGCUGUAAAUAGACACUUUUAUAAUAUGCAGGUCUUACAAGUUAACCACAAAUGGUUGGUACAAGGUUAAGGCUCAAAUUCAUGCCCUUGGCAAGUUAUGCUUCUAAUGACCAAUCUGAUAGACAUUCUCCUUUAUAUGUAAAAACAUUUGUUCCAAAUCACACUUGUGGAAAAGAUGAAAACAAUACAAGUGUGACCAGUACUUGGUUGGCUGAUGAUAUGAAGAUCAAUCCCUUUUUCUUUUUUCUUUUUUUUUUUUUGAAUAAAGGACGGCAUAUAUAUAUGCAAAUCAAUCCUAAAAUGGAUGUUAAGACAAUGAAAGCUACAAUGAGGGAUUAUCCAUUCUAAUCCCUCUCCAAAUGAUAGGAUUGUGAGGGAUAAGUUUGUUUCAUUCCAAUCUAAACCUAGAGACGAAACGCGGCCAGAUAUUACAAAGACAAAGAUUCUAAAACAGCCUUCACUCAGAGAAUAAAAAAAGCCAUGCAGUGAGAACAUUUAAGGGAAACGAGUUGAUCCUCAAUAAAUGCCUCAAUAGAAUGACGUAUCUUUGUUAAAGCAUCUGCCACAAAAUUAGCUUCAUCUAAAACAUGAUAGAAGCUGAUAUGAUCAAGCAUCCCAUGUUUGCUGAAAAGAUGAAAGAAGGAUCUUUCCAAGUUUAGGAAGGUGGGAGUUGCCAAAGAGAAACCGAUUUGAGCCGCAUCUGCUCCAAAUAUCUCAGGCAAACGGUCAGCUGACAAAAUGCGGUCAAUGGCUUCAACAUCUUGAGAAUAAAAGGCACAACUAGGAUCAAUUGGUUGUACUUAGGGAUAAGAAUUGAGUUUCCUCUUUCACAAAUGUUACUUAUUCAUUCCGGCCAUUAUACGGUCAACAUUGAACAGAAAGUAUAACUUUUCCGGCCUCUAAGUCCGGAACCCUCCCAAACAUUGGACAUUACAAUACUAGAUAAUGCAAUAAGAUACAACAGUACAAUACAAUAUAGUUGAAAACAACCCAUCUAAGAUAGUACAGACUCAAUUGGAUGAAUCAAAGGAACCCUAGUGUUCAAGCUUCCAUCUUUGCGGUAAACUUAAGUGGUGGCUUCAAGAAAUGGAUAAUCAGUGUAGCCAAUCACGGGAUCAGGUAUGUAGAAUGUCUCUCUGUUGUACUUGUUUAGAGGAGCAUUAAGUUCAAAUCUCUUUGGCAAAUCCGGAUUCGCCAAGAAAAUACGGCCAUAAGCAAUAAGAUCUGCACGGCCCUCCGCCACAGCACUGUUUCCAUCUUCCCUGUCAUAACCACCACCAGCAAUGAAGGUACCAUGGAAAGCCUUUCUCAUGGGAAGAAGACUAUGGUGGGUUUCAGCUUUUUCUCCAACUGUCUUCAUCCUCGGCUCAACCAUGUGGCAGUACACAAUUCCAUAUUUGUUCAAGGCAUUGGCCAUAUAGAGGCCUAGUUCUUUUGGAUUUGAAUCCCCUGAGUCCAUAUAGUCAGCAAAUGGAGAUAAUCUAAUUCCAACUUUAUCUGCUCCUAUUUCGUUAGCGACAGCUUCAACAACUUCCAGAGGAAAGCGGCAACGAUUCUCUAGAGAUCCACCAUAUUGGUCUGUUCGAUCAUUCACAUGAUCUUUCAGAAACUGAUCAAGAAG
rnacentral:lncRNA from 1 species